AAGUUGCCUCCAACGAUUUUACUCUGCCUUGGAUCUCAACCACUUUAGGACAUCACUGCAGAUAAAAUUUCUGGAGCUUCUUCAGGUUGGUCAGGUCAGGCAACUUGUCCACAGAUGGAACUCCUUCAAGCUUGAAGGCAAUUGGGUUCUCCAAAACUUGGAGGCUUCUGAACUCUCUCACUUUAGGGCGACGACCAACUUCCAAAUCUGACAGCGCCUUCCAAUUUGAAAGCUCUAUUCACGUUUUUAUUUCCUUGCAUGAUUCGGUAUCUAAGUACAACAAAUUUGGGGGAAGGCCAGGUCGGCAGUGCAGCUUCUUGGAGGGGACCAGUUCAGGUUCCUUGAGCUGUGAAAGAAAAAUGAUGUCUGAAGAUGGGGUGAUGAAAUAAUGAGAUUCCAACAGCAAGGAUUCCAGCUUCCCUAACCUUCUGAGCAACGAAGGACUUGGAGCUUCAAUGAAAUUAGAAGCAUCAUCCAAAUUGUCAAAACCUGAAUUUUACAUGCAAUUUGAAUAUUGAAUUAAUAAGUUACUUAUCAUCAAGUGAAUGUACAUAAUUUUUUUUACUACUUUACGUAAUUAAAACCUUGUACAGAAGAUCUGCCUUAAAAAGAUAUGUAGAAGCGCAAAUCUAAACAUCCCUAAACUCCGAACCAACCAAUAUGUAUAAUAUUUUUGAGGGAAUGAGUUGACAUUCAGUAAAUGAUAGCUCUACUUCCAAAAUGGGAGGCCUACCCACUACUCAACCCGAGAACAUAACAAUAGCAAUUUGCAAAUAAGGUCAUAUAUUAUUAUCAAUAGGAAAACCAAUAUUCACCUAAGACAGUGUAAUCCGUGCAUUAUAUAAAAAUGACUAUAAUUAUCUGUGCAAUGAAUAAAAUAGAAGCAAUGUAUGAUAUUCGUUUUAACGCUUAAAUGCACACAAUUGAUCAUACCAAAUCUCAUGAUGUAUAGACAUCAACAGCUCAUCGAUAGACACAAGUAUUUAUCUAUUACCUACUUGCUACUAGCCACGACUCAUCUUGACUACCUCAACUAACAAGACAUUGUGACCACUAAAUAAUGCAAGAAGAAAUCAUAAAUACAUAUUUACCACGCUUCAUCCCAUUCAUCACAGGUAUCCUCCAACGAUGAUAAAUACAGUACAAACGCAUAAUGACAGCUAUCCUAGACUCAAUUCUCAUCAAGAUUCAUACCCAUUCUAUUUUCUUUCUUCUCUCAAUCUUGGACCUCAAGUUCAUAAUAUCAUACAUAGGCUAUUCAAGUCACAUCAGGUUACACAAGUCAUAUAAUUUCAUGUAUAAAUCAUUGUACUUUACAUUUUCUCAAUCUUAUAGAGAACGGUAGAACAUCUGUCUUUUCCCAGAAUCUUAUAUACAUACUCAGAAAAAUUAAUUAUAGUGUUGGUAUAUUGCUAACAACACUCGUAGAAUUUCAAUGGAGUUGGUAAUUUACUUAAUAUGGGGAACAAGCACACUUGGAAGGUGCAGCACAGUGGAAAGUUGUAUGCCAUGUUCAAAAGUAUUGUUAUUAAUUUACUUACGAUACUGGUUAAAUUUCAAAUGAGUUGAUAAUUUACUACUUCAUUGAAAUAUUAGUAAAUUUCUGAUAGUGUUGUUAAUUCACUUACAACACCGGAAAGUUUCCAGAAGACUUGGUAAUUUACCAAUCUAGUGGGAAAUUGCUAAAUUUCCGACAGCUUUGGUAAUUUACUACCUCCUUACCUAACAAGCAAGUAACCAGUCAUUUUCUUUUACCUAACAAUUCCAAAUUUGCUGGUAAUACCACCAAAAAUUUCAAAGGAAGGAACUAGAAAGGCAGUAAUGAAUCCACUGAGAAGCAACUGCAGAAAUCUGUUUUAAGUUAUCAAAACUAAAGAACCUUGGUGACCAUUGCACAUGAUCAUUACCUAGGGAGCGUUUUAUGUUUACGCUGGACACAAUGUUUUGCCCCUGCUUCUUCGUUUCUUCAAUGUGGAAAUUUUGAUGGGAAAUCAGCGACAAUUCUGCGAAUAUGGUUGCUGAUGUCUGAUAGAAUUCGCGACACUGAAUGCAACACAUUCUCAGGGUAAUGCCUCAUGAACAAUAAUCUCUACGAAUGAAAUCUGGAGCAAGUGAUUUAAUCACUAAGUAAAGUAGGACCACAACAGACCAAGAGAAGAAGAAAGAAAUUGCAGAACCAAUCGAUUAUAGUAAGAUUUCAUGCCUUCCAGGACAAUAUUUCGGUUUUAGCUAGACCUUGACAAGCUCAGAAGAACAACUGAUUCGCCAUGUAUGGUUUGAACUAGUUCCUAAGGAGCGAAAAUCAAUCCCCUCACGGGUGCAGAACCGAACUGAGGCACAGGAGUAGCAAUGUGUUUCAAUAGAAUGCGACUUGUGGUUUAGACCAAAGCUAUGCAGAUGGAACAUAAAUUCAAUCCCCUACUUGGAGAAAUCUGAGUUUUAUUGAGAAGCUGGUGGAUAGAUGUGGCAUUGUGUUUCCAGAUCUAAGGCCCAACUGUAGCAUAGAUGGAAGCAGAUGAGCAGGGUUUAGCAUGUGACUAGAACUAGGCAAAAGCUAUUAGUGUUAGAUGCAAAUGACAGGGAUCAAUCAUCGAGUCAACUAUUUAAAGAACUGAUACUGAUUUGAGAAUCGCUCUAUUGUUUCCAUUGCAUUAUAUACCUAGUUGCAUUGCAGAACAGACCCAACUCAUGAAAAUGGCAGUAGAUGAGAGGAAUUACUGGAGGUGGAUGGGGUGAAGGUGAAGUGUCUGAAUCAAAUGCUGAGAAGCCAAUAAAAAUCUUGGCUCUGAGUUCAGCUGAAGAAAGACUCUUUAUUAGAUAGUCCACUCACCCUUGUGUCUUGCUUAUGCAGGAAGGUGAGGACUUAUUAGUUGCAGGUACACUGAAAGCCGAUGACUAUUGAUGACCGAAGGUGCCAAAACAAGGAAGUUGGGAUGUAAAGUAACCCUCCUGCACAGAAUAGUUGCCUGAGUUAUGACCUUGCAAGACAAACAUUUGAAGGUUGAGGGCUCUGGAGUGUGUGAAACUGCUUAAUACAGUUAACCAUGGAUGGUUCGAACAGUACUUCCAAGCCAUACUGGUGUGUUUGAUUAGCACUUAGGAGGUGAGGCGGUCAACCACCCUCUUAUCUAGUUGACUUGGGGUAAAAUGAAUUGUCCAUAUUACCGCUAGAAGGAAUCCUCAAAUAUUUUUCUUUUGAACAAGGAAAAUUUAAUUAUCGUAUUAUUUAGAUUUUAAUGGUCCAACCAUUGGAAAUUACAAUUGGUUAUUAAUAUUAUGCUAUUAUAAGUAAACAAAAUAUAAUCAACUUAUAUUUAUAUAUUAGCUAUGAAUACUGAUAAAUAAAUAAUAGAUUGAUACCAAAAAUAAAAUAAAACAAUAGAUUGAUAUAUUGAUGCACUCCACCAUCUGUACCAAUUCCAUAAGACACCACUUACUGUUGACAUAGCCUUUAGAGAAGAUGGGUAUCAAGAUUUUGGACUGCUCAAUUGCUUGGAGAAGCACUGAACCGAUCUCUUCGCCAGUACGAAGCUCUUCGUUAUCUCUGUAUGCUCAAAUUCCAGCAUCAAUGAGACUGGUAUACAGGAUAUCAGCAAUAUCCAAGUGUGUAUCGGGUCCUCUAAAGCUCAAGAAUACUUUGUAACAUGUUGACAUGGCUUCACAACUUCCAGCGUUUGAGAUGAUUCCUCAGUAGACAAGCAGCAGCAGAAUCGCCAACGGCUUCUGUGAUCCCGUUGUCUGUUUUCACCUCUUCACUGGUUUGUACAGAAAGAUGGAAACAAUGGAAGCGACGAUCAAUGCUGAGUGCGAGGACCGACCUCGGUGCACCCUCUAAACUUAUAAAAACAAUGCUGUGAAGAUGUCUGUCAGGAUGGGAAACAAAUGUAUGUGAGAUCUGCUCAGGUCAAUGAUUGAUGUCAGCCUUUUUCUGGGUAACAUUGUAUCUAAUAUAUAUUCUAUCGUCUUCAAAAACUAAAGAAGGAUGCUUCCUCUUCACUUCAAUCGAGGCAUACACGAUUUAGUUAUUUUUGUUGGCCAUAUACACAUGAUUAAAACGCGGCCUCUCUAUGGCAACCACGAGGGAGGAUAAGAUAACCUCAACGGAGCAUGCCAACAAAAGAGACAGCUUUUACCGUAUUAGUGAUGAUUACCUUGGAUUUUUUACUAUCAUUCUUCGUAUACAAAAGCUACUAGUCCCUGAUAUGUUGAUGAGUCCGUUAAAACUUCAAAAAUUUCUCACCCCUCAGAGGAGGAAUUGCUUAUAGCAAACAUUGGUAUGUCCAUUAAAUAUUUUUAUUAUAAUAGAUAGGGCGUGAAAAGGGGUUUACUUCGACCAAAAUUCAAGCACGACCCAAAGAUUUCAAGCCACAGAUCCUGAAACCUCGAACUUAGGCUUGGCUCAAGACAAUAUGAAAUGGCAUGACUCGUAGUAGUUUGAUGCAACUGGUUUUCACACACCUCAAUAUUAGUCCAUCUCACAGGCAACCGCAAUGGGGCAUUCUCUCAUAUUGGCAAGGUGCUUCCUGAAGUGCUUCUAACAAGGUUUGAACUAACACCACGAGGAAAAAGGCAAACUCCCUUGCUAAUUUCUAAUAGGCUAAGAGUGACUUUUUCAUAUGAAAAUAAAAUUGCUCACGUGAAAAUACUAGUAAGUGAUAGAUAUGCACUUGCUUUUAGGAGCAACUACUAAUCAUGAUGAAAAGAUCCCUUCUUAGAACAAUUGACAUACAGAUGAAAAAACAAAAAAUAUGAAGAGUUAUUGAGGGAAGACUAAUAGACGAAAGACUAUUUAUCCUUACUAAGUACUAAUGAUUACUUAUUUUCUUCUAAUCACGGCAGAAAAUUUACUAAUAAAAGUACCUAGUACAUUGACACUUACUUUUUCAAGUGAUUUGAUAUCAACCGAGUGCAGGUUUUUCUAUCUGAUAAAAACAUAUUAUAUCUUAAAUGAUAACUUCCUAAUCAUGUGAAAAAUAACUUAUCAUAAGUAUCUAUGUAUUCUCUUCUCUAGAGCAAGCAUAUAUAAGUAGUUAUAAGUUUUAGGCCAAUUACCAUACAAAAAAAAAAAAUUCCCAACUUUACACUUGUGCUAAUUUUUUUUGUCAAGUAUAAUGCAUAUGAAAGAGACGUCAGAACUUAUUCUUUUGUGCACAAUCCAUCCUCUGUUAGUCCAUCAGCCAGCAAAGAAAAAAUGGUCGUUGCCUUAUUGAUGUGGCGACUAAGGUGACUAAUUAUCACCAUGAAGCGUCAUUAUAAGUAAUUAAUAUAAAUCGAUAGUUAAAGAAGUUACUUUUGAAGAUUAGAGAAAAAGGCAACAGAGGAAAAAAGCAUCGAUAUGAUUUAGUGGUCUUUUCGAUUCAGGAAUUUCUAUUAGCUCAGUUCAAAGAAGAAUAUGCUAGUAUUUUGCCAGGUAUACUAUUGAGGGCAUGCAGCUGCAACCUCGAAAGGUGGUACACAUUGUAAAGUUCUUAGAUACAAUCGACAUAAACUUAAGGCCGAAAAAGAGAGCUAGUGCAAAGUUCGGUUAUCAAAUUUUCCAUCAAUUUGGUCCUUCAAAAGUUUUGUGUUCUUUGGACUCUAUAGCUUCUUCCUGAAGGUGGGAAAUUCACAAUCAAUCUUUAUACUCUUUCACUGUCUCGACCGCCACAUGAAAGAAUACGAACUGUGGAGAGAGCAGAAGACUUUCAUAUCAUUGACAGUCUGUACAUGAGAAAAUGGUAGGAACAGAAGAUGCACAGCAGAAGCAAUAUGAAAAAUAAUCUUCGAGCCUUAGCUCUUAUUCAACAUUAGAAUAACAGUAGAAGGAGCUUGCAAUACUUAAAGCUUCUGUGAUGCCGCCCAACCCCUGAAAUCAGGCGGAACCAUCGCCUACAUUCUUCCAUCCACCAUACUUAAAAGUCCAGGAGAGAACAAAUAUCCUAAAAAAUUACUCUGACAAGUCGGAUUCCACAAGAUCAGACUGCGUCUCCGCCUUCAAAGUCCUCCACCGAUCAUCAUAACCCAGAGAAUCUUCUACCUUCUCACACUUAUGUAUAAGCAAAGAAUUCAGCUUCUUGUGGCUUGAUGGAUCGGGUAACUUUCCAGAAGAUUUACAGGAACCAAUCCAGACCGUCUCCAACAAUUCUGGUCUGCCUUUGAUCUCGAUCACUUCGGACAGCACUGCAGAUAAAGUUUCUGGAGCUUCUCUAAGUUGGUGAGGUCAGGCAACUUGUUCACACAUGGAACUCCUUCAAGCUUUAAUGCUCUCAGGUUCUCCAAACCUUGGAGGCCUCUGCACUCACUUUAGGGCAAUGAGCAACUUCCAAAUCUGACAGCACUUUCAAAUUUGAAAGGUCUAUUAAUGUUUCCUGCAUGAUUAUAUAUUUAAGUACAACGAAUUUGGGGGAAGGUGAAAUAGGCGUUGCAGCUUCUUGCAGUGGACCAGUUCAAGUUCCUUGAGCUGUGAAAGAAGAAUGAAGAUGGGGAGAUGAAAUAAUGACAUUCCAACCGCCAGGACUCCAGCCUGCCUAACCUUCUGAUCCAUUAAGAACUCGGGAGCUUCAUUGAAUUCAGAAGCAUCCUCAAAAUUGUCAAAACCUGGAUUUUCCAUACAAUUUGAAUGCCAGAUAAGUAAGUAAUUUAACAUCGAAGGACACACAUUAAAGAUCCACCUUUGUAGAAACACUAAUCUAAAUGUCUGUAAACUCCGAACCCAACCAAUAUAAACAAUAUUAUGGACAAUAUUUUGGAGGGAUGAGUCUAAUCUCAGUAAAUGAGAGUUCUAGGUCCAUGUACCCAUCAGUCAAUCCGAGAACACAACAGUAUAGUAACGAUUAUGGUCAAUUGGAAAAACAAUACUCACUUGAGAUAUGUAAUCCAUGCAUUAUAUACAAAUGACUAUAAUUAUCUGUGCAAGGAAUCAAAUAGAUGCACUCCAAUGCAAACAAUUGAACGUACUAAUCUCAUGUGUGCAAUACCUGUUGCUCAUCCAUAUACACAAGUGAGUAUUUAUACCAUACUUGUCACUGGUCAUGACUCAUCUCGACUAACGAGACAUCGUCACCAACUCAUGAGAUGAAAUCAUAAAAACAUUUUUGUCACGCUUUAGUCCAUUCAUCAGGGAUAUCCUCCAGCAAUGACAGAUACAAUACUCUACACCCACAUGAUGAUGGCUAUCCCAGACUCAUUCUCAUCAAGAUUCUUACCCAUUCUAUUUUCUUUCUAGUUCUUGGACCUCAAGUUCAUAAUAUCACAUACGGGCUAUUUAAUUCACAUUUUUUUACACAAAUGUUAUCAUUUCGUGUAUGAAUUAUUGGACUUCAUGUCCUUUCGACCAUAUAGAGACCUUGUUUGAAAGGUAGAAUAUUCGUUUUUUCUAGAGUCUUAUAUAUGUACUUAGGAAAUUCAUUGCAGUGUUGGUAUAUUACUAACAACACUUGCAAAAUUUCCAUGGAGUUGGUAAUUUACUUCAUUAUUAGAAAAUUACUAGCAAGAUUGGAAAAUUACUGAUAAGAUUGGAAUUCUACCAACACAGAAAGUUUUCGAUUUUCCACUGCAUGGGAUCGUAAAAUUUUGCAAAGCUUCGUAAGUCUCUACCUCUGCAACAAGAACUUAAAUCCCAACUGAUAAUUUCAAUUGUUGAAACUAGAAAUGCAGUAAUGAAUCAAUCAGAAGCCCCUUUAGAAAUCAAUUGUAAGUUAUCAAAACUAAAGGACCUUUGUGACCAUUGCACAUGAUCAUUAACUAGGAGGGUUAUGUUUGCACAUGAACAUUACCCAGGGAGGGUAAUGUUCAUGCUAGACAAGAUGUUUUGCCCUACUUCUUCAUUUCUUCAAUGUGGAAAUUUUCAGGGAAAUCAGCAAAAAUUCUGCGAAUACAGUCACUGAUGUCUAAUUGAAUUCACAACACUGAAUGCAACACAUUGCACAUUAAUCUCCGCGAAUGAAUUCUGGAGCAAGUCAUCUUGAAUCCUCGAUGAAUUUCCCCCAUGACGAUAUUAAUUAAUAAUUACACCCACUAAAAAUUUCAGAGGUAAGUAGGACCACGGCAGACCAAGAAAAAGAAGAAAGAAAAUUGCAGAACCAAUCGAUUAUUCUAAGUUUUCAUGCCUUCCAGGACAAUAUUUCGGUUUUAGCCAGACCUCGACAAGCUCAGAAGAACAACUGAUUCCCCAUGUAUGUUUUGAACUAGUUCCUAAGGAGCGAAAAUCAAUCCCCUCGCGGGUGCAGAACCAAACUGACGCACAGGAGUAGCAAUGUGUUUCAAUAGAAUGCGACUUGUGGUUUAGACCAAAGCUAUAUUAAAGAUUAGAUGCAGCUAUGGAAGAAAAUCAAGUGAGUCAGCUCCCGAGCGAGUUCAUCGAAAGGCUGUUUUCAUUUCGUAGGUAUGACAAGUCACGACUGAAAAUAAUAAAAACCAACUCAAUCCGUCCCAAAUCUUUUCCUAAUCUAUCACAGAUUGCAUCCAAGAUUCGCAUGCGGACCCAAUUCAUGAAAAUGCGAAGAGAAAAUUACCAGAAAACCAAAUAAAGAUGCGAAGAAGGAAAAAGCAAGACCUUUUUUUAAGACUCGUGGGAACAGAUGGGCGGGCAGGAAGACGGGGGUGGCAGUCCCCGGAGGGAGAUCUCCGCCUGGUCGAAUCGCGUCUCGUUCUUGCUUGCGCUCGGGGUCGCCGUCGCGUUCCUUCACAAUCGGAGUCCGUCGCUGCUUGUUCUGGGUGAGCUCCUCGCUCGGGUCGUCGCCGAUGACUGAUGAGGGGAGGAAGACGAAGGAAGGAGAACGAAAGAACGUGAGCAGACAGAGGGGGGGCAGCGGGAGAAAAAACGAAACAAAAAAAAAAAAAAGGAGAGAGAAAAAGUUGAUAUUUCUUAAAGAGUGGGUCCCACCUUUACGCGUCAUUUGGAGAUAAUAUUCCUCACUAAUCUGAUACGGAAUCUUCUCUCCGUGAUUUCAGUUCUCUAAACCAAAAUUCUUGAUAGGCUCUCCCCACUUUUUCACUUCGAGAUAAUAUUCCUCACUAAUCUGAUAAGAUUCUAGAGAGGCUCUUCUCACUUUUUUCAAAUGUCCGUACUCAUCGGAUUCCAGAGUCUCCUCCAAUCUCUCACAUUCCUUUAUACGCACGCACUCUAGAUUCUUUAAGCUUAAAGGAUCAGAAAAUUGAUGCAGAGACCCGCAGCCACUUAUAUUAAGGAUUUGCAAUGAUUCUAGCCUACCUGGAAUCUCAACCACACGAGGGCAAUGUUCUAAAGAAAAAGCAUACAAGUUCUUGGUAUUGGUCAGGUCAGGCAACUUCUGUAGCAACAGAAGAUUAUAUAUAAGUAACCACUCCAAGUUCUCCCAAGCUUCCAGGCCUUGAAUCUCUUCUACCUUCCAACAACUAGCUAUACGAUAUAUUUGUAUAUGCUUGAAGCUCAAUGGAUCAGGCAGUUGUUCGAGUGAUUGACAACGCACUAAAUCAAAAUACACCAACGAUUCUAGCUGACCUCGAACCUCAACCAAUUUAGGACAAUCAUUUAUGUAUAAAUCCUGGAGCUUCUUCAAGCCGGUCAGGUUGGGCAACUUCACCAGUGACGGAAGAUACCCAAGACUAAGCAAUCACAGGCUUUUCAAAGGUUCCAGAACUUGAAUCUCUAUUAGUUGUUCACAAUAAGAGACUUCCAAUUCUGAUAACUUCUCCCAAUAUGAAAAAUUUAUUGACUUUUCCAUUAACCCACGCCCAUCCAAAUGGAAGUAUGACAAAUUCUGAGGAAGCUUAGGUAGGCAUUUUAGAUUAUUUGCAAGGAGUUUAAGCUUCCUGAGCUUCGAAAGGAGAUUAAAAUCUAAAGGUAGGGUGACCAAAUAAUCACAAUACAACCCCAAGGACUCUAGCUUUCUUAACCCUCCGAUCCAAUUGAGGCUUGGAGUUGGACGGGAAGGGCUCUGAUACUCUAAUUUCAACAUCAAAACUCUCAAAUUUAUUAGGUUCGAGAGAUCCGGGCGUCUCAUCUGUAGAUUAUUGGUUAGGACUAGUUCGGUCAAACUUUCAGGAAGCUUAGGUAUAUUGGAAAUUCUCGUGCCUGAUAACGUCAAGAUUCUUAGAAAUGAUAGUUUUCCGAUCUCACUUGGAAUUUCCCCACUCAAAUAUCUACAACUGCUGGCAUGGAUCUUUUCAAGCUUCUCCAAUGAUAGUCUUCCAAUCUCACUUGGAUUUUCCCCACUCAAACAUCCAUAACUGCUGGCAUAGAACUCUUCAAGCCUCUCCAACUUCCCAAGGGCGCUAGGUAGCUUUUCUAACAUGGAGUCAAAGAUCCUUAGUAUUCUCAAGUUCUUCAUCGUCUCUAUUGAGUCGGGUAACUCUCGUAUGCUUGAACAAGAAAGAUCUAACUCGACGAGAGAUCCAAAAUUUCCAAGUGGAAGUUCACUCAGUAAGCGACAUGACGCUGCACUGAGAGUUUCCAAUUUCUCCAUUCCGUUCCAUUCAGGAAUUUUGGUAACAGAUGUCCCAUCAAGAAGAAGUUCUCUCAAGUCUUCCAUUUCUUCCAUCUCGUCUGGCAAUGUCUGAAGUUUCCCACAAUAUUUCAAGUUUAAUAACACUAAAUGCUUUAACCUACCGAUAGACCCAUGGACUUCAACCAGUUCCAUGCACCCUUGAAGAAUCAGUUGCUCUAAAUUUUCAUGAGCAGAAAGGUCAGGAGUUCUAUGCAAGUUUCCACAUCCAGUCAAAUUUAGAACCUUCAAAUUCUUUGUCAUCUGUAAUGAAGAGAAGAGGUUGAUUCUGAAUAAAUUUUGAGAUACUGGACAGCAAAGUCAAUAUAGCAAAUUCAUGUCGAAAUAAUACCGUACCUUGAGGUGGUUCCAUCCCUCCCACUCAUCAGUAAUUUCACUCCUUGAUAGAUCAAGAAUCAUUAGCUUCUUAAGACAAAUUGUGAUGAAUUUGAAAUAGACAGGAAAGUUAUGCCAUGAGAGCAUUAACAAAUUAGGAAGCAUGAUCAGAUUCCUCUGGCACAAGUUAGUAGAAGGAAAAUGCUGACCGUUGCUCUCAUCCAAGUCUACACAAUCCACUUGAAGAAAUCUUAAUUUUGAUAGGCUUAUAGAUUCUUCCUUCUCAAUGAAGUCUUGAAAUUGACGAUCAAACCUUAGACAUAUUGCUUCAACGUUUUCUCUUCCCUGCCAAAAAAGAAAAAAAAAAAAAAACAUCAAACAAAAGCUAGUGAUCCCAUAAUUGCCUAUUGAAGGCAUUCGUGUUGAAUAUACUUGAUAAUGUACUUCUUACAUAUAAUUAAAAAUUAAUUUGCAAUAUAAUUUAUAGAUGAGCAUGUGAUCAUACUAAGCACACAAGUAAUGACUCGGUUUAGAUAGAAGCAAAUAAGCAAAUUCAAUGUGUAUAACUCGUCUCUUUGAAUAGGAACAACAUUGAAAAUACUUUACCUCCUUUAUUUCAAGGACAUCUAUCAAUUCCUCAUGAUCCCACACCCGACUUUGCUUCUCUAGCUUAAAAUGAGCUCUUUGACGAACAAUGUCUCGCCCAAGGUCUCUUAGCUGAUCAUGCACCCACAGUCGGUUACCUUGGACAAUCUUCAUUAACGAUUUCCGUUUGAGGACUUCAAGAGAAUAUUUAGGGAAAAGCUUAUGGCUGGCCCACAUGUAAGUCACAAUUCUCACAUCAAACCCAACAUAGAAGCAACAAAUAUCAAGAAAUAUUUCCUUCUCUUAAGGUUCUAAUGCCUCAAAACUGAUGUUUAGCUUCCUUUUAACCUCUGUAGAGGGAAUAGCUUUCAACCUUUCUAAUGUGACCACCCAAAACUCUCUGUCUUUUCCAGCUAAAAAUGAACCUAUUAUCUCUAGAGCCAAAGGAAGAUGACCGCAGAUUUCUAACGCUUUUUUCGAGAGGGAAACGUAUUCUGCUGGGGGACGAUCUCUUCUAAAGGCAUGUUUGCUAAACAGUAGAAGAGAAUGAUUGAAAUCCAUUUCAGUAAGUUCGUACUUAAAAUCAACAUCUUUGAGAACUUCCUUGUUUCUUGUGGUAAUAAUAACCUUACUUCCUCUGCUGUACCAGCAUUCACCUAUCCCUACAAGAGUGUUUAGCUGAGUGUUUUGGUCGACAUCAUCAAGCACAAGUAAAACCUUUUUAGAGGAUAACCUCUCCCUGAUCUCAGUAAUCCCUUCAUUAAUACUAUUGAUGGAUGGCCAUUCCAUUCUUAGGACUUUAGAGAGAAGCUGAUUCUGCAAAAUCACAAUCUUUGUCUCUCGAAUGUUAGACAGGAAGCAACAGUUAUCAAAAUCAGCCGACAGUUUAUUAUAGACGAUAGUGGCAAGAGUUGUCUUUCUGACACCACCCAUACCAUGGAUGCCAACAAUCUUUGUUCCAGUGGCCUGUGUACCCAUCUUUUCCAUGAUUUUGUCCACAUAAUCGAGUUUUGUUCCAGCGGUUUGUGUACCUAUCUUUUCCAUGAUUUUGUCCACAUGAUCGUCCAUUUCAACCAAGUAAUAAGGUUCUGCCAAGUUGUUCUUUUUUAACUUGAUCAACAGCGUCCGAACAACUUCUUCUGUGAACUCCCCUUUGCCUCUAACAAUAGUGAAGGCAAAAGGACCAAACUGUUAAAUUGAGAUGAACAGAAUAAUACCAAGCUACAAACAAUCAUGAACAAUAAUAAAUUCAAAUACCUCUCCUUGAGUUCCCAUCCUCUUAAAUCUCCAACCUUGCUGAGAGCUGUCUUCCACUUCUCAAUAGUCUCAUUAGUGAACCGCUUCUUAUUUUUGUGUGAAGUAAUGGCCUCACCGUAACUUCCAGUUUGGUAACGAACCUCAGCUGGUGUUAUGUCAUAGAAAAUUGGCAUGAUCUUUUGUCCCCACUUUUCCUUGCACUCCACCAUGUGGACCAACUCCAUGAGGCACGAUGGACUGGCAGCAUAUCCUUUAGAUAAGAUAGGAAUCGAGAUUUCCGACUGCUCAAUUGCUCGGCGAAGCUCCGGAUCAAUCUCUUCCCCAAUGGGAAGCUCUUCAUUAUCUCUAUAUGCUCGUAUUCCGGCACGAAUGAGGCUGUUGUAAAGGUAAUCAACGAUGUCACGGCGAGUGUCUGGUCCUCUGAAACUCAAGAAUGCUUCAUAAACAAAUUCCGUUGGCUUCUCCGUUUCCUGAAUUCUCAGAGGACUCGCAAUGACCUGACAAUAUUCCAUGUGAAAAACGUUUACUAUGAAAGCAGGGUGAUAAUUAUCACCAUUUCUCUCAGAAACUCUUCUGUUUUAAGUCUUUCUAGGAAGAAAACCAAGAUGACAAAUGCACGAGCUCCUUCGUGGCCUUGCACUACACACCAAAAUAUGACUGAAUAUUUUAAAAUAAUAUAGUAGAGAAGUGGACCCAUCUCAAUUCUAAAGGAAGAAAUUUUCAAAGUAUUGUGGAAUUAUGGGUUAUAGUUCACACUUGAAAUUGAUUUGAGAGAAUAAUAUUUUUUGAGAAGAUAAAUCACUAUCAACCUAUAUUAGUCCGCACAUCAUGCCUGCUUCCGCUUGUAGAUUGACUAAUUAUUUUAUUGUUUGAUAAGAAAUUAUAAUGAAACAUUCCUCUUUUAUUUUACCAAAAUAGAUUUGACAGACAUACCGCGACCCUCAAUUAGUGCUCCCUUGGCCUUAACGGACGCAAGCGAAGAAUCGCCCCCAAUGAAGAUCUCUAAUUGGAAAAGUGAAAUCAAGACAUUGCACCGGAGCUAAUUCAACCCUCUCCGUUGGACCAGUUUCUAGAAAGCAUUAACCGAUCUCCAAUUGCAGUCAAAUCUUAGUUUAUUAACAUACCGGCACAGGGUCAAAGGCGAGCAUUAGAAGCUAACGUUCGCAUUUGCCAGAAAGUAUCAGCAUAUCAGAAAAAGAGGGGUGAAUUACUAACCAAUAAUGUAGUUGAUGAAAUUUCAGCAGAAAAAAGAAGCAUGAACGCUAUAAUUGUUUUUCCAGAAAAUAAGUUUGAACACACAGGAGCGCAGGAACGAGAACUGUACUUUACAGAAGCGGAGACUUCCAGUGGACCACAGAGUGCUACGUUAUAGUCCUAUUCAUUUCGUCUCUACUGUUGAAUACAGUGUUAAGGGUAUCUAUUUUCUGCGUAGGAGCGUUCUUACUGCUAAUCACUAGACAAUAAUGUACGAAUUUGUCAUAUUGAAGUCUCUUAAAGAUACCACUAUCACCGUUCGCACAAAAUAGCUUUUAGCGCCAGCAAUCCACGCGAAAACUCAGAGAGACAGAGAGAGAGGGAGAGAGUAUACCCGGGUGGCGAGCUCGUAAGACUGAGCGUUGUCGAUGAUGGAACCGGACUUGCCUCCGCCUUCGCCGCCCUCCCUCCUCUUCUUCUUGCCGCUCCUCUUCUUUGGCUCGUCGUCGCGAGGGCCGCCGCCGGCGCCGCCGAGGAGCUCACUCCGAGGCUCGACACCGCUCGUCUCCGCUUCAGCUUCGUGCGGUCUCUUCUUCUUCGCCAUUCCCGCUCUCCGAUAUCAGAAAGUUUUGAUCUUUCGACACGGUAAGAGGUCGACUGGUGAAGGGAUUAGGCGUCGAUGUUGGUGGUGGUGGUGGUAUUGCGUUUCAGGAUCUGAGGCCUGACAGUUGCAUAGAUGGAAGUGGGUGGGCAGGGUUUUAGCAUGUGACUCGUGAGUUAGAGGCUAAAGCUAUUAGUGUUAGACGCAGCUGGCAGUGGUCAAUCAUGGAGUCAACUAUUAGUUGUUAGACGCAGCUGGCAGUGAUCAAUCAUGGAGUCAACUAAGGAAAAAAUUGGAUGCUGAUCUGAGAGUCCCUCUAUUGUUUCCAUCAAAUUCUGCAUCUAGUUGCAUCACAGAACUGACCCAAUUCAUUAAAAAUAAGGCAAUAAGCGAGAGGAAAUUACCGGAGAUGAAGGGGGUGAAGAUGAAUAGUCCGGAUCAAAUGCUGAGAAGCAGAUGAAGAUCCCAGGAAUAAACGUUCUUGGCUUUUGAGUUCAGCUGAAGAAAGACGAGACUUAUAUAAGACGGUGAAUUCACCCUCCUUCGCCGUGCCCUUCCAGGAAAGUGAGGACUUACUAGUUGCAGGGAAACUUCGGCCCGACCGUGAAAAUGUGAAUACGCGUUUUGCUCUUGACUUUCGAGUAAACGAGUUGAGUUACUGGGAAAUUUCUCGAAGUCCGGAAACCUUUUGGUACGAAGGGCGAGAGUACAAGAGGAUUUUCAUUGCAUGUUAUUAGUUUAAAAAUCAUACAAUUUAUAUUAAUUGAUGUUCUUUUAACGACGAUGAAGGUGAAUCCUAGGCCCAUUCAAAUUUUAUAUAUAUUAAACCAAAAAAUGUAGAGUCCAUGUAUUCUACAUAUGUCAGAGUUACACACAAUGGGUUCAAAAAACAAAAAGAAAUUAGAAAAAAUAGCGUCACUAAUGUGAUAACUUCCUCACAAUACUUACUUAAAUUUAUUACUUUUUUGAGAUUGAUUAAGUAAUAUAAUUUUCAUUUGACGUUCAUCUAAAUACCAUAAUUAAUUUUUUAGUCACUUGUGCCAUGACUCGUCAAAUCGUGAGGACCGCUGGUCUACCACUGUCCUUCUAGGUUCUCCACUUUUGACGCUUCCUCUUUUCUCCAAAUUUUUACUUUAUUCUUUUUAAUUUUUUCUUAAAAUCUGCUGACCUAGCAGCUAUAUCAAUGCCUCCAUCUUCAAGGAAAAAUAAUCAUGAUCAUUUUUCCUAUUAACUGAAUCAGAUGGAGUUAAUAGCAGGACUUAACCGCACUAAUUUAAUGAAUUUUAAAAUUUGAUUACACUUUUUAAAAAAUUUAAAAUUUGAAGGCACUUUUGCAACAUAUUUUAAGAUUUAUGGAGCAUUUAUCCCCUCUUAUGAGAUAAUAACACAAAUGAUCUUUAAACUUUGAUUUAAUAUGUAAUGUUAUCCUUAGAAUUUUAAUUUGUUCAAUGGGAUAUUUAAAAUAUUGAUAGGUGUUCAAUUUAGUCUUUAGAUUGAAUGCAUUAUUUCCAUAUAGUUUAGCAACUAUAUUGGAUAUUUGUUAAUAGUUCAUGGAUCACAUUAAAUAAAUUAAAAAAAUUUAAAAUGACAUAACAUAUUUUGCCAAAUUUCAAGGAUCACAUAAAAUAAAUUCCAAAUUCAGAGACAACAUUAGAUAUUGGACAAAAUAUAAGGAUUAUUUAUGUCUUUUUUUUUUCAUUUUUUAAAUCUAAAACUCCAUAAACUUAAGGAUAGACAAAUAAUUUACAUAUAAUUUUUUGAUAAUUUUCCGAGAUUUGAACAAUAAUUUAAAUUUUGACAAAAAAGUAAAAGAACUAUUAUUUAAGUCCAAGCAAAGAGGCAUUAGAUCAAUUAAUUUUCGCCAUUUCUUUACAGUGUCACUUCGCGUGGGCACCAUUUUCAUGGGAGAGACGAUUGCUGCGUUGACGCCCAGGAAAGUGAGGACCCGCUGGUUGCAGGGAAACUUCAAGCCAACCGUGAAAAACGGAAUACGUGUUUUGCUUUCGACUUUUGGGGAAAUGGAGUUGAGUUUCUGGGAAAUUUCUCAAAGUCCAAAGAUUCUUCGGCACGAAAGGCAGGAGUACGAGAGAUUUUCAUGGGUGUUAUUUGAUUAGAAAUCAUUCGAUUUAUGCUAAUUGAUAUUCUUUUAAUGACGAUAAAACCCUAAUUUUGUAGGUGAAACCCAAGCCCAUUCAAAUUUUACAUAUACUAAACCCAAAAAUGUAGAAUUCAUAUAUUUUAGUUAAGGGAAAAUGCCACAAAAAAUCCCAAACUUUAUUAACCGUGACAUAAUUACUCCACCAAGAACAUUUUCGUCUUAUCUUUUCUAUUCUUGCUUUUUCUUUUUCUUUUUUUCCUUUUUCUCUCUCUAUCUUCUCGCCGCCAAGAGAAGAAGAAGAAAAAAAGAAUUUUUUUUUUUAUAAAAAAAAUAACGAAAAUAUUCAAUAAUUUAGAGUAAAUGUGUCACACAAAUACAAGUUCAUGAAUUUUUGUGUCACAAAAAAAUUUGAGGUAAAUAUGUCACGGUUAGCAAAGUUUGGAGUUUUUCAUGUCACAACAAAAAGUUUUUGAUAAAUUUGUCACUUUAGGCAAAAUUUGGGAUUUUUGAUGGUUUUUGAGUUUGUAAGACAAAAAGGUUAGGAAAAAUAACACCAUAAAUGCCAUAACUUUUGUACAACACUCACUUAAGUACUAUAACUUCUUCUUUUUUGGAUUAUUUGAGUGAUAUAACUUUUGUUGGGCACUACUUAAAUGUCAUAACCUUUUUUUUCGAUCACUUGUUCCAUAACUUUUUAAAAUCAUUCACCAAGUGUUGAAAAUUUGACUUGAUAUAAUAUGCUUGAUGAACAUUUUUAAAAGUCAUAGCACUUAAGUAAAGUUAUGACACUCAAGUAGAUUUUCUUUAAAGGUUACAUCACAUAAAUAAUUGGGGAAAAAAAUUAUGGCAGUAAAGUAAAUGUCUUACGAAAAUAAUGACAUAUAGGGUAUUUUAUUUGUCAAAAGUUGCAUUCAGUCAUAUAGGAACAAAGCUCCAAAAAUAUUAUAAUACUAGUGAAAGCUUACCAACUAUAGAUGGUUUGAACAUGACUUUCAAGACCAGGGACAUCAAUAUGUGCAACCAUAGUAGUGUGUUUGGUUAGCAUUUAGCAAGUUGGGUAGCCACCUAACCGUUGUGUACUUGGAAUAUUUGGGGUGAAAUGGUAAUGUCCAUAUCACCACUGGAAGGCAAGGCAUCGAGAAACUUAUUUUUUACCAAGGAAAAUUUUAAGAGAAACUCAAUUAUCUUAUAGUCCAAAAAUUGGAAAUUACGAAAUUAUAAGUAAAUCAUUAACUACAAAAUGCAACUUAACUUAUAUUUAUAAAUUAUUUAUGAUUAAACAUAGAAUUAAUAAUAUGUUGAUAUGCAUCGAUGAUGAUUGAUCAACAAAAGAAUUAUUCCAUUGUUUUUAAACAAUGACUGGUAAAUUAAUUUAAAUUACUAUCAUGAUAAUGUACUAUGGAUAUCUAAAUCUAAAGGAAAUGCAAUCAUACUGUAAAAUCUAUGUUAAAUAUUGUUAUUUUUAUUGCAUUUUAUUCUCAAUUUGGUUUUCAUAAAAGUUGACGUGGCAUUUUUCAUUUGUGUUUAUUUUAAGAGAGGCGCUUAUGAGGAUGCUAAUGCCAAAUGUUCAAUUUUCUAAUCAAGAUAUGAAAAAUUGUUUGAAAAUUUUGGAGAAAUAAAGAUCUUAAAAAAAGGAUAGAAAAAUCAGACAAGAAAUCAUUCUUAAGAGGUGCAAAAGUCUCCAUCAAGUAGCUUGGAACAUCAUUUAUUUAAAAAUUAAAAAAAAAAGCUCCAAACAGUGUUCAUGACGGUGGAGAUUGCAUUUGUUGUUGCAUGAAUUCAUCCUACCAUAAUCAAAUUUAAUUCGUGAAAUUUAAUCUGCUUUUGGUUUCGUGUGAAAUUUAUUUGCCCACGUCAUUGACGAAGCUCUUGAAGAAGCAUGGGAAGGUGGUAGAGAGGGCCAAGUUGGCUUUGCCGAAGUCCGGCGAGGAACGUUGGCCAACCACCGUCCUUCUUGGUUCUCCACUGUUUGACUCUUUCUCUUUCUUCCAAAUAUUUUUUUUUCCAGGAUUUUAUUUCUAGAAAUCCUGGAAUCAAUUUUUUUCCCUUUUUCUUACAUUUUUUCUUAAAUUUUGCUGACAUGGCAGACAUUUCAAUGCCUCUAUCUUCAGAAAAAAAAAAUCAUGUUAUUUUCUCCCAUUAGGUGAAUUGGACAGAGUUAAUAGCAAGAUUUGAUUACGCAAAUUUAAUAAGUUUUAAAAUUUAAUUGCCCUUUUUGAAAAUUAUAGAAUAUGAUUGCACCUUUACAAUGUACUUUAAGACUUAUGUUUAUCUCCCCUUAAGAGAUAAUAACACAAAUGAUCAUUGAACUUGACUCAAUAUGUAAUAUUAUUCCUAAAUUUUUAAUUUGUUUGAUGUGAUCUCAAAAUUAUUUAUAUUUGUUCAAUUUAAUUUUUAGACUAAAUUUGCCAUUUCCAUAUAAUUUAAAAAUUAGAUUGAACCAUAUUAAUAGUUCAUGACUGCAUUAUAUAAAUUAGAGCUUAAAAACAAUAUAACAUAUUUGGACAAAGUUCAUCAAAUUAAACGACUUAAAAAUUUGGGGGUUAUUUAUGUCAUUUUUUCCAUUUUUUUAAAUCAAAAACUCUAGAAACUUAAGCACGACACAUAGAUUCACAUAUAAUCUUUUGAUAAUUUUUUGAAAUUUGAACAAUAAUAUAAAAUAUAACAAAAAAGUAAAAAAAAAAAAAAACUAUUUUUCACUUUUUUUUUAUAACUCCAGACCAGCAUUAAAUCAAUUACUUUUCGCCAUUUCUUUACAAUGUCCCUUCGCGUGCCGGAUGUUAUAAGAGUAAUAAGAUGCAGAGGACACCUUUUUCACGGGAGAGACGACUGAUGCAUUGCCAUGUUCUUCAGCGAUAUCCUCCCAACCAUCCAUCACUAUGUCUCUCUCCUCGCAAGAUGCGUCUCCAAGAAACACCUGAAGCUCGGCAUGACCGUCCACUCCCACCUCAUCAAGACCGCACUCGCCAGCGACUCUUUCCUCGUCAACCAUCUCAUUGGCAUGUACUCCAGAUGCUCUUCCAUCCCAAGCGCCCACAAGGUUUUUGAUGAUCUUGAUAUAAAGAACAGUUACUCUUGGAACACCAUCAUAUCUGCAUAUGCCCGGAUAGGCGAUUUCAAUAAAGCACUCGUCUUGUUCGAUGAAAUGCCGCAGAGGGCUCUUGUCUCUUAUAAUUCCUUGAUUUCUGGGUUGUCCCGUCAUGGGUUUUAUGUGGAGUCUCUGAGCGUCUUCAUGCAUAUGCAACAAGAAUAUGAUUGGCUAUUCAUGGAUGAGUUUACUUUUGUGGGUGUUGUGGGUGCCUGUGCUCACUUGGGUGCAUUUAAGUUCUUGCGCCAAGUUCAUGGAGUGGCCAUCGUAAUGGGCUUGGAAUUUGCUAAGAUAACUUACAAUUCCCUGAUUGAUGCUUAUGGUAAAUGUGGUGGAGUCGAUAUAUGCCGUGUCUUGUUCGACGUUAUGCCUGAAAAGGAUGUCGUGUCGUGGACUUCCAUGGUUGUUGCUUAUACGCGAGCUCAUAACAUAGGUGAUGCUUGUGCAAUAUUCAACAGUAUGCCAGCGAAGAACACAGUCUCUUGGACUGCACUGAUCUCAGGCCUUGUGCAGAAUGGCCGUGGUGAUGAAGCUUUGGACCUUUUUGUUCAAAUGCAUGAGGAAGGAAUACAGCCAAGUCCUCAUACUUUUGUCAGUGUUCUAUGUGCCUGUGCUGAUCGAGCACUUGCUGAAAGAGGCAAACAGAUCCAUGGUUGCAUCGUUAGGACCUGCUUUAAUGGAGAUUUGGAGAACAUAUUCAUAUGGAAUGCUCUAAUUGACAUGUAUUGCAAGUGUGGUGACAUGAGAUCAGCUAAGAUCUUAUUCUUGAGGAUGCCAAAAAGGGAUAUUGUUUCAUGGAAUUCGAUGAUAACUGGGUUCGCACAAAAUGGGCUGGGGCAUGAGUCACUUGUUUUUCUCAGGACCAUGCUAGAGACAAAUGCAAGACCCAACCAUGUCACGUUUCUUGGCGCUCUAUCUGCUUGCAGCCACACAGGUCUAGAUAUUGAAGCGCUUCAGAUUUUCAAUGCAAUGGAAAAGGAUUACAGCCUUCAACCCAGAUUAGAUCACUAUGCUAUUUUGGUCGAUCUGCUCGGGAGGAAAAACAGACUUGAGGAAGCCAUGGAGUUAAUAGAGAUUGUCUCAAACAAAUCAAACCAUGUUGGAAUGUGGGGUGCACUUUUAGGUGCAUGCAAAGUCCAUGGUAAUCUAGUUAUUGCCCGAAAAGCUGUGGAUGCUCUACUGAAUUUGGAACCCCAAAAUGCUGCGAGAUAUGUCAUGAUAUCAAGCAUAUAUGCUGCAACUAACAGAUGGGAUGAUUCCUGCAGAGUAAGGAAGCAGAUGGAGGAGAGAGCUUUAACAAAAGAUGUGGCAAACAGUUGGAUUGAGGUAAAGAAUGAAAUGCACAAAUUUCCAGCAAAGGACCAAUUCCACUAUCAGAUGGGAGACUUAUACGAAGUGCUCGGGAAACUAGCAUAUCAUAUGAAGGAAUCUGGAUAUGUUCCUGAGCCCAACUUAAGACUCAUCUUAGCUAAUUAUGAUGAUGAUGGUGGGUAAUGAAUACAAAAAGGGUUCAGACGGAAGAUGCUGGAGAAAAAAUAGAAGGCUACAACUGCAAGGUGAUAGUUCUCGUACUAAUGAACAAUUCAUACCUUCCUGGAGAACAUCAAGUCAAAGAUACCAUGAAGUUUCAGGAAGGACUUAUGGUCCACAGAAAAUCGGGCAUCAUGAAAGCCUCUCGUUGUACCUGGAGGUUUUGCGUGAGGUAGGUGGAGAUUGCUCAGAUGCUAUCUGGUAAUGGCAUUCUGUGUACAUAUUUUCGGAUUCUGACCUCAUUGUGUCUGGAACAAUGGAAAGCGUCUACCUUGCCAUUAUUGGUUCUUUUGGAUGCUGCCUGACCGGAUCAAAUUUUUCUCUUGGGUUAUGUCCAUAUCCCUUUGAGGGAAUAGAUAGUACUGCAAAAUUUUUCUCUCAGGUUAAACAUGAUGUCCCUGACCAUGGCGUGACCUGGAACAUCUCUCAGAACUAUAUACAGCUUGAAGCUCCAUACUAGUCAUUGUCCCGUGAUUUCUUGUCAGGCUUAUGCUUCCGCAACAACCAGUUUACAGCUGACAAUUUUCCAUGAAGUGUUGAUGAAAGGUCUAACUACUACAAAUCUGGGAUGGAGUUCCAUUCUUUGUUUUCUUCUCAAUGAGUGUUUAUUGUUCUUCAGGAAUUCAGGAAAGUAUGUGCAUGGUCAAAUAGAGGUUAUUGGCUAUGAUUUUUUUAGUUGUGGCUGAUGGUUUCAUUAUUGUCCUAUGGGAUCGCUUAGGAGCGACCUGUAUUUGUUUGUGGUGCUGGUCUGCUCCCAACAGUAGAAAUUACCUCAGGAUUUGACUGUACACGUACAACUCAUGGUAUUUUCUUCUACAUCUUGACAUAACUACAUCAAGAAACCAGAGUGGAUUUUUUAAAUCAUGCUAAGGACAGAUGUAUUUGUUGACAGAAGGUGUAAAAUAUUUUGCAUGCAAGGCACUGUGCGAGCGUCAUUGCAUCAGUUGAUUGAGGCAAUUGGAAUUGCCGUCUGUAAUGCAGUUGUUCCAACAUCCCUGAUUAUUUUUGGCCCCUACUUAUGCCAUGCUUCAGUUUCUUCCUUUGCAUCCGAACUACUUUUUCUGUUUUGACAAUUGAGUACUCUCUUUCCGAUGGAAGAAACAAACAGCUGUAGAGGUGACGAUUCUCUUAGGGUAAUCUCCUAGCAAUGUGAAAUAAUAGAAUUUACUAGCACAUCUGGGAAAUUACCAUCAUCCACUGAAAACUACAAAUGUAAGAUAAAAUAUCAUUGGCUUUAGCUCAUGGAUUUGUGGAAUUUUUCGCUAUAAGAUAUAUACAUGUAUAUAAUAUUUUUUGGUUGGAAGAAUCCCAGGACAACACUUAUUCUCUGCAAGGUCAAUCCUUAAUUUUCUAAGCAAGGGAUGGAUGGAGCACUCGAGUACUGUGAAUUUUGUAUACGAAUCUAAGAAGAUUAUCAAGUUAAAUUAGUCUUCGCAAGAAUGAGCUAGAUUUUUAUAGGUGAUAUGUCUCUUUCAAAUGUUUGUGGUCUAGACAAUUUCCUUAUUAAAAGAUCCUGUGGAUGUCUUAGUAAUCUUGGGUUUCAGUUUCAAAAUUCAAACAACUACAUCUUUCAUGACCGUCCGCAACCACUUGAUCUUGCUAUUUAUAUGUACUUUAUUCUAAUGUGCACAAUAUACAACCAUAAUGGUGCCUCUGGUUAUAGAUUCGAAAUGAGUCUGCAAUACGGUAACUAAUAGUAAUGCUAUAAGUUACUAUUUUACUUGGUUUGUUACUAGAAUAAUAAAGGUAUGAUAACGUCCAAAUUGCUUCAUCAUCGUACCUAACUAUUUUACUUGGUGUGUUACUAGAAUAAUAAAGGAAUGGUAACGUCCAAAUUGCUCCAUCAUCGUACCUAUUCUUUCUCCCUCUGCCAAGACCGCCACCAUGGCUAGUGAUUGCUCCUCAUGAGGGGUUGCCGCCUUGUAGGCAGUGGGUUGCUAGCGGGGUUGGUGGUGGUGGGCCAAUACCGGUAAGCCAGCAUGGGGCGAUGGUGGCCGUUAAUGUUGAGCAGCAAUGGUCUUUAGUCGUGUGCGGGCAAUCCAAAUAUCCCCCGAGAUUAGGAAUAAUAUUUUCGAAGCGCUCUAUUCCAUUUAGCUCCGUAGAUACAAUUACCACUUGUGAGUAGGUAUUACCAUAAGCUGAAUACGUAAUGACAUGUGAUCGAUGUCUUUCUUUAAUCUUUUAAAAAAUCAAAUUCAUAUCGAAUACCGGCGAGAAUAAAGGAAAAAAAAAUCCAAUUGGCAAGGAAGUGCCAAAUUCGAUGUCAUGUGACCUUUUGGACGCGAUAUGAGAGAAAAUAUGGGAUGGGUUCCUGGAAGACGUCCGUCAUGGGGAUCCAUGAAAGUCCAUGAAAAACCGUUCGUCCUGAAGAUGUUUUCUUCAUUUCAACAUAGCAAUCCUCAAAAUUCUUCUGUUACUUCUGAUUUACUACUUGUAGGUCAAUAUUUCUCCUCCAUUGGAUUUGACAGGAAAGAAAAUGGCACUCGGUCAGCCUAGUUAUAGCAUAGAUGAAAGUUCCAGAGAGAGACUAUUUUAGCAUUGUUUCCGCCUCUCCGUGUUUUUAUUUAAUGAUGUUUGGGGGGUAAUUUGAUUUUAAAAAAAAAAUUGAAGCGACAAAGAAAGAGGUUUCUUUUGUCAAGGCCGCGUUCAUGUUAUUGUCCUUUUUCUCUGCAAUGUGAAAUGUACGGGCAGGUAUUAUUAGCCAUACCUAGCAAUUUCACCAGCUUAGUCUAUGUGGGGACACAAUCCCAUGGUUCCAUAACUUUGAAUAAACACACUAAAUUAGCACCAAAUAUUUAUUUAUUUAUUUAUUUUGCAACAUGAAUUGGCCCGCCCACAAGUAAUCCGGUGCGGGCUGGGCUGAUUUUGCACCAGAGUUGCUCUUCAACUUUACCGGUAGCGUUAGUAAUUCACUUAUGACACCGAAAUUUUUUCCAAAAGAGUCGGUAAUUUACCAAUUUUUAUAAUUUACUAUCUGUUUACCUAAUGAGCAAGUAACCACUCAUUUUCUUUUACCUAACAAUUCCAUUUUUGCUGUUAAUCCCAUCCAAAAAUUCAAAUUAUGAAACUAGAAAUGAAGUCAUGAAUCCACUCUGAAGCUGCUGUAGAAAUCUGUAUCAAGUUAUCAAAACUAAAGAACACUUGGUGACCAUUGCACAUGAUCAUUAGCUAGGGAGCGUUUCAAGUUUAUGCUAGACCCAAUGUCUAGCCCCUCCUUCAUUUCUUCAAUGUGAAAAUUCUCAUGGAAAAUCAGCAACAAUUAAGUGAAUAUAGUUGCCAAUGUCUGACUGAAUUCGCAACACUGAAUGCAACACAUUCUCAGGGUAAUGUCUCGAGAACAUUAACAUCUACGAAUCAAUUCAGCAGCAAGUCAUCUUGAAUCCUUGAUGAAUUUCUUCCAUGACGAGAUUAAUCACUAAGCACACCCGCUAAAAUAUUAGGAGUACGUAGGACCAAAACAGACCAAGAGAAGAAGAGAGAAAUUGCAGAACCAAUCGAUUGUAUUAAGGUUCCAUCCCUUCCAGGACAAUAUUUUGGCUUUAGCUAGACCUUGGAAACCUCAGAAGGAUAAACGAUUUCCCCUUCUCAAACUAUUCCACCCGUAAGGUUUGGACUAGUUAGCUCCUGAAGGGAAAAAAUCGAUCCCCUAAUUGGUGCAGAAGUGAACUGAUGCAGAGGAGUUGCAAUGUUUUUCGAGAGCACGCGACUUGGUUUGGCUUAAAGCUAUUACAAUUGGAGGAGUUCAAUUGAGUCACAGCUCACGAAGGAGUUCAAUGGGAGGCUGUUUUCAUUGCAUAGAACUCAAUUCAAUCCCACUCUUUUCUUAAUCUACCACUAGUCGAAUCAAAAUUCACAGACAAAACCCAAUUAAGGCAGAGCAGAAACAAAAUAAGAGAAUCACCAGAAAAGGAGUGGGUGACGAUGAAGAAUCAAAUUAGACAGCUGCCGAGUCUGAAUGAAAAUGCAGGAAACCAAAUAAAGAUGCAGAGAAGGGAGAAACCCUUCUUGGCCUUAGUCAGCUGCAACCAAAAUGACAAAAAAUAAAAUAAAAUGAAGGCUUUCCAGACAAUCUAUUAAACCCUGGGGGAACAGAUCGGUUGGCAGGAAGACGCGGUCGCUUUCCCGGAGGGAAAUCUUCGCCAGGUCGAGUCGCGUCUCGUGCUUCCGCUCAGUGUCGCCGUUGAGGGCCUUGAUGGUUGGGGUCCGUUGCUGCUGCUCCUGGGCGAGCUCCUUACUCGGGUCGUCGCUGAUGAGGGAGGAAGAGAAGGAAGAAGAAGGAAAGAAUGUGAGGAGAGACAGAGAGAGAGCAACGGGAGAAAAAACAAAACAAAAAAAUAAAAAAAGGAGAAAAAAGUCGAAAUUUCUUAAGAGUGGGUCCCACCUAUACACACGUCAUUUGAGAAAAUAUUCCUCACCACCACUCUAGUAUGGAACAUUUUCUCCGUGACUUCCUGCCCACCACCCUCGGCUUAUCCGGCUUUCCGUCAGGAUCCUCGCUUUUUUCAAAUCCCUGUACUCAUCGGAUUCCAGAAUCUCCUCCAAUCUCUCACAUCCUCUUAUUAUUAAAUCCUCUAGCUCCUUGAAGCUUGAAGGAUCAGAAAAUUGUCGCAGAGACUCGCAGCCCCAAAUUUCAAGUCUUUUCAAUGAUUCUAGCCUACCUCGAAUCUCAACCUGACGAGGACAACGCCUUAUCUUGAGACCCUCGAGCUCCUUGGCAUUGGUUAGGUCAGGCAACUUCUCUAGCAACGGAAGAUCCCCCACACAUAACACCCUCAAGUUCUCCGAAACUUCCGGGCCUUGAAUCUCUUCUAGCUUCUGACAUUCAUCUAUAUAUAAUGAUUUUAUAUACUUGAAACUUAAUGGAUUAGGCAUCUUUUCGAGUGAUUUACAGUUAAAUAAAGUGAGGUCCUCCAACGAUUCUAGCUGACCUCUAACCUCAACCAAUUUAGGACAACUUUCUAUAUGAAUUCUUCGGAGCUUCUUCGAGUUGGUCAGGUCAAGCAACUUUGCUUGCGACACAAGACAACUAAGACGAAGCUCUUUUAGGUUCUUCAAAUGUUCGAGACCUUGAACCUGCACACAAUUAUAGACUUCAAAAAAUGAUAACUUCUCCAAAUAUGAAAGAUUUAUCACUGCAUUGUCCAUUAACCUGCCCCCAUAUAUCACAAAGUAUGACAAAUUCUGGGGAAGCCUAGGUGGGCAUUCUAGUUGAUGUACACAGAGUUUAAGCUUCCCGAGCUUUGAAAGGAGAUUAAAAUCUGAAGGUAGGGUGAUCGGAUUAUCGUAACGCAACCACAAGGUUUCUAGCUUUGUUAGCCCUCCGAUCCAAUCGAGACUUGUAGCUAGACAGGAAGGGGUUUGAUACCUUGAUUCCAAUGUCAAAACUCUCAAAUUUAAUAGAUUCGAGAGAUUUGGGCAUCUCAUAUUUACAUUAUAUUCCAGGUAUAAAUCGGUCAUACUUUCAGGAAGCUUAGGUAUAUCGGAAACUCUCGAGCUCGAUAACCUCAAGAUUCUUAGAAAUGAUAGUCUUUCAAUCUCAUUUGGAAUUUCCCCACACAAAUUUCUACAACUGUCAACAUGGAUCUCUUCAAGCUUCUCCAACAACCCAAGGGCACCAGGUAGCUUUUCUAAGGGGGUGUGAGACAUCCUUAGUACUCUCAAAUUCUUCAUCGUCUUUAUUAAAUCAGGUAACUCUCGUAAGCUCGACUGAGAAAGAUUCAACUCAACGAGAGACCCAAAAUUUCCAAAUGGAAGUUCACUAAUACUUGUUUCUGACAAGUCAAGAUACAAUAGUGAUGUUGAGCAACUAGCUAAAUUGCAUUCACUUAGUAAUUUACAGUAAGUUGUACUAAGGGUUUCCAUUUUCUCCAUUCCUUUCCAUUCAGGAAAAUUGGUAAUAGAUGUCCUACCAACACGAAGUUCUGUCAAGGCUUUCAGUUCCUCCAUCUCGUCUGGCAAUGUCUGAAGUUCCCUACAACCUUCCAAGUUUAAUAAUACUAAAUGCUUUAACUUACCAAUAGACUUAUCAACUUGAACCAGUUUGUAGCACCCUUUAAGAAUCAGUUGCUCUAAAUUUUUAUGAUCAGAAAAGUUAGGAGUCCUAUGCAAGUUGUAGCAUCCAGUCAAAUUUAGAACCUUCAACUUUUUUGCCAUCUGUAAUGAAGAGAAGAGGUUAAUUUGGAUCGUUUUGAGAUACGGGACAGCAAAGUCAAUAUAGCAAAUUCAUGUUGAAAUAAUACCGUACCUUGAGGUGGUUCCAUCCCUCCCACUCAUAUGUAAUUUUACUCCUUGAUAGAUCAAGAAUCGCUAGCUUCACGAGGGAAAAUGCGGUGAAUUGGAAAAAGAUGGGAAACUCAUGCCAUGAGAUAUACUUCAAAUUUUGAAGGAUGGGUAGAUUCCUCUGGAACGAGUUGGUUGAAGGAAAAUACUGAAUGAAUUUAGACCAUGAGAGCCAUCUCAAAUUCAGAAGGGUGGGUAGAUUCCUUCUGAACCAGUUGGUAAAAGAAAAAUGCCGAACAUUGUUCAUAUCCAAGUCCCCACACUCCACUUGAAGAAACCUUAAAUUUGGUAGACUUGCAAAUUCUUCUUUCUUAAAAAAGCAUCGAGAUUGAUGAUCAAACGUGAGACAUAUUGCUUCAACGUUUUUUGUUCCCUGCCAAAGCAAAAAAGGGAAACAUAAGCUGGUUAUCAUAUAAUCACCAGUUGAAGGCAUUCAAGUUGAACAUGCUCAAGGACUCAAGGAAUGUACAUCUUAUUCAUAAUUGAAACUAAUUUAAAAUAUAAUUUACAGAUGAGCAUGUGAUCAUAGUAACCACACAAGUAACGACUUGGUUUAGAUAGAAGCAAAUAAGCCAAAUCAACGUGUAUAACUUGUCUCUUUGGAUAGGAAUAACAUUGCAAACACUUUACCUCCUUCAUUUGAAGAACAGCAAUUGCUUCCUCAUGAUUCCACACCCGACUCUGCUUCUCCGGUUUUAAAUUAGCUCUUUCACGAACGAUGUCUCGCCCAAGGUCUCUUAGUUGAUCAUGCACCCAUAGUCGGUUACCUUCUACAAUCUUUAUUAACGACCUCUGUUCAAGGACUUCAAGAGAAUAUUCAGGGGAAAACUUAUAGCUGUCCCAUAUGUGAAUCACAAUUCUCACAUCAUACCCAACAAAGAAGCAACAAAUAUCAAGAAAUAUUUCCUUCUCUUGAGAUUCUAAUGCCUCGAAACUGAUGUUCAACUUACUUUUAACAUUUCCAUUUGGAAUAGUUUCCAGCUUCUUCAAUGUGAUCUCCCAAAUUCUCCUCUCUUUUCCAUUUAAAAGUGAACCUAUAGUUUUAAGAGCCAAAGGAAGACCAUCGCAGAUUUUUAGUGCUUUUUUGGAGAGGGGAACGUAUUCUGCUGGAGGAUUGUCUCUUCUAAAGGCAUGUUUGCUAAACAGUUUAAGAGAAUGUUUAAAAUCCAUUUUGAUAAGUUCAUGCUGAAAAUCAACACCUUUGAGAAGUUCCUUGUCUCUUGUAGUAAUAAUAACCUUACUUCCUCUACCGAACCGGCAUUCAUCCGCCCCCACAAGAGCAUCCAGCUGAGUCUUUUGGUCGACAUCAUCAAGUACAAGUAAGACUGUUUUAGAGAACAACCUCUCCUUGAUCUCAGUAAUUCCUUCAUUACCGUUAGUGAUGGACAUGCAACUUGUUCGUAGGACUUUAGAGAUGAGUUGAUCUUGCAAAGUCUCAAUCUUUGUAUCUCGAACAUUUGACAGGAAGCAACAGUUAUAAAAAUCAGCUGAUAGUUUAUUAUAGAUGAUUGUGGCAAGAGUUGUCUUUCCGACACCACCCAUACCAUGUAUACCAAUAAUCUGUGUUUCAGUGGUCCGUUCACCUAUCACUUCCAUGAACUUGUCCACUUGAUUGUCCAUUUCAACCAAGCAAUUAGACACUGCCAAGGAGUUCUUUUUCAACUUGAUCAAAAGCAUCUGGACAACUUCUUUUGUGAACUCGCCUUUGCCUCUGGCAGUAUUGAAGGCAAUAGAACCAAACUAUUAAAUCAAGAUGAAUAGAAUAAUAUCUAAGGUACAAACAAACCAUGCACAAUAAUAAAUUCAAGUACCUUUGCUUGAGUUUCCAUCCCUUUAAUGAUCCAACCUUGUUGAGAGCUGCCUUCCAGUUUUGAAUAGUCUCAUCAGUAUACAGCUGCUUAGUUAUGUGUGACCGAAUGGCCUUGCCGUAACUUGCAAUCUGGUCACGAACCUCAGAUGGUUUAACGUCAUAGAAAAUCUGCAUGAUCUCUUGUCCCCACUUUUCCUUGCACUCCACCAUCUGGACCAACUCCAUUAGGCACCAUUCACUCUCAGCAUAUCUUUCAGAAAAGAUAGGAAUUGAGAUUUUCGAUUGCUUAAUCGCUUGGAGAAGCUCUGGGCCAAUCUCUUUCCCAACAUGAAGCUGUUCAUCAUCUCUAAAUGCUCGUAUUCCGACAUUUGUGAGGCUGUGGUAAAGGUAAUCAGCGAUGUCGUUGCGAGUAUCAGAUCCUCUAAAACUCAAGAAUACUUCAUAAUAAGGCUCCACUGGCUUCUCCAUUUCUGGAAUUUUCAGAGGACUUGCAACGUCUUGAUAUCCCACCUGAAAUAUUCUGUUUUAAGUCAUUCUAGAAAAGAACCUUGAUGACAAAUGCAUGAGCUCCUUCUAGGGCCUUGCACUAGACACCAAAAUAUGUCCAAAUAUUUUAUUAACAGUACGGUAGAGAAGUGGACCCAUCUCGAUUCUAAAGGAAGAACUUUCCAAAGUAUUGCAGAAAUUAUGAAUUUUAGUCACACUCGAAAUUGAUUUGAAAAAAAAAAGAAUAUUUCACGCAGAGAUAAAUCACUGUUAACCUAUUUUUGUCUUGAACUCUUUCUUUAGGUGAUAAAAUUUCUCUUGAAAGAUGACGUUGAAUGUCCUUUGCACAUAAGCACCUAAAGUUGCUUGUAGCUUGACUAACUUUGUCAUUAUCUAAUAAGAAAUUAUAAUAAAACCUUCCUCUAUUAGUUUAACCAAAUUAGAUUGGACAAAGACAUUCCACAACACUCAAUUACUAGCUCCCUCGACCUUUACAGAUGCGGGCAAAGAGUUCAUUCCCCUACGACAAUCUCAUUAGAAAAAUGAAAUCAAGAAAUUACAAUAAAGCAAAUGCAACUCUCACCACCGGACUAGUUUGUAAAGAGCAUAAACCGAUCCCUAAUUACAGCCAUCUCAUAGGAUAUAAAAAAAGAAGAAAAAGAUACACGGUCAUGGGCGAGCAUCAGUUAGGCUUGAAGCUAUUAUCCACAUUUGCCAGAAAGUACCAGCAUAUCAGAAAAAAAGGAUUUAAUUACUAAUAAAUUAUGGAGCUAAUAAGGGUGUGCAUGCAAACGUUUCUGUUUCUCAUGGUUUCUGUUCUUUUGUUCCCCGGAACAAAAAAAGAACAGAAACCUAUUUGCUAACGCCACAUUGUUUUUUUGUUCCCGGGAAUAAAAACUUAGCCCGGGAAUGCUUUGGGAACAGAAACAAGAAGCAAAAAAAAGUUGCUUCUUGUUCCCGGGAACAAUUGCUAGAAAUAAGCUGAUUUUCUUUUUUAAUUUUCUUUUAUUUCCUUUUCUUGCCGCGACCACCGUCAACCGCCCGGAGCCACCGCCCACCGCCGCUGCCGCCGGUCGCCGCCGCCGGUCGCCUGCCGUCCGGCGGCCGCCGGUAGCCGGACGUCGCCGCCGCCGACCGCCGGACGUCGCCACCAUCCGCCGUUCGCCACAGUCACCGGCCGCCGCCGUCCGCCGCCGUCGCCGGUUGCCGCCGGUCGCCGUUCGCCGCCCGCCGGCAGCCGUCUCCGGCCUCCGGUCGCCGCUGCCGUCCGCCGUCGCCGCCGCCUCCGUCCGCCGGUCGCUGUCCCCGGCCCGCCAGCCGCCGCUGCCGCACGACCACCGGCCGCCGACCGUCACCGUCGGGCGCCGCCGGAAGCCCAUCGGCCGCCGACGACGGCCGGUAGCCGACGGUCCCAUGGAAAUAGAAUCUUGAUCCUUCUAAUUUUUAAAUGACCAUGGUUCAUGUCAUACACCAACAUAAUGCCAAUCAAUGAAAUGAUGCAAAUCAUGUAUACAUGAAGAUCAUCUCAAUGGGAAUAUAAAUUAAUAUCCCAGUUUCAAAAUGCAAUGAAAAGAAUCACUAACUUGAUAUACUCAACUUUAGACAANNNNNNNNNNNNNNNNNNNNNNNNNNNNNNNNNNNNNNNNNNNNNNNNNNNNNNNNNNNNNNNNNNNNNNNNNNNNNNNNNNNNNNNNNNNNNNNNNNNNCGGCAAUCCGUCGGCAAGAUUAACAAAUGAAUAAAUACACAAAGACAUUGUUGCGUUAUCAAACGCACUUCUAUUCUUUUUCUAUUUCCAAGAGUAGAAAUUUUGUGUCGUUAUCAAACGGGGUUCUUUUACUCAGAAAAUUGUUCCCCGGAGCAGAAAUAGAAACGAACCAUUUCUGAAAAAAAACUCCUCCCCGGAACAGAAACGUUUGCAUGCGCUACCUAAGAUUUCAACAGAAAAUAGAAGCAUGAAUGGUAUAUAACCGUUUUUCCAGAAAAUAAGUUGGAACACACAGGAGUGUAGGGAUGAGCUAGGUAGCACAGACACGUUCAAAGGGCCUCCGUGUCAUGUUGAACACCCCGACAUGUGUCCGACACGCUCGGACACGCUCGAACACGUGGUCAACACGUGUCUGAGUUUCCGACACGUGGUCAACUCUUUCCGACACGCGCAUCGGAGCGUGUCCGGAGGUUUGUGGGCGGAUCCGCAGGUGCGAAGGGAAGAAAGUGAUGGAGGGUGAAGGCAAGGGUGAGGGAGCUGAGGCGAUGCCGCGAGCGACGACGAGGGAGGGCUCCGACCGUCGACUGCAAGGGCUUCGACCGCCGACUGCAACACUGAGAAGCUUUCUCGAUCGUCUUGGAUGGUUGUGACUGCCAACUGCAACGUCGAGAUGGAAAACGGAAAGGUUGCGAUGGAGGGCUGGAUGCGAGGCUACGACGGCAAAGGGGGGAACGGAGGCGAGGCAGCGGUGAGAGAGGUGGAGACCGAGCGAGGGAGAGGAGAAAGAAGGCGAUCGCCGAUUGCUAGGGUUUUCAAUUUUUGGAAGAAGAACAAGGAGAGAGAGGAUGUGUCGACGGCUAUGUAGCACCAACAUGGGACACGACACGAGUGUCCGACACGACACGACACGUCGACACGUUAUUUCUAAAAAAUAGAGAAUUCCGACACGUUGCGACACGUUGUAUAUUAAAUGAAUAUUUUUAUUUUUAAUUAAUUUGAUUCAAAUUCAUAAAUAAAUAAUUAAUUAAAAAAAGAGCCUAUAAUAAAUUUAUACUAAUAAUAUUAACAAAUCAAUUCAUUUGAAAUUCAAAAGAUAUAUUCAUAAUUAAUGCAAAAUGUUUUUUUAAUUUUAACAAAAGUUAUAUGAAACUAAAAAUUAAUAAGAAAUUAAAAUCAAUUUAUCUAAAUAAAUCCAUGAUUUUCUACCAUAACCAAAAUUUAUCAUUAUUCAAAAUUUAACAUUUUUAUUUUUCGAAAUCAUUUUUUAAUUUUAUUUAUUUAUUUUUCCGGUUAAAAAAAUAAUCCCCAAAAUCCAACCCUUCUUUCGUUCCUCCUUUUCCCUCCACCCCACGUUUAUUUUAAUUUUUUCCCUCCCCCCACUUGACAGUGACAGGUGAGCUGUCACUCCGUUCGUCGCUUCGUCUCGCCAGCGCUCGCGACCUCUGCUCCCUCGCCCUCCCUCGCCUCCACCCUCCAUCAGUCUUCCGGACAUGCGUCGACACGCGUGUCGAUAAAAGUUGACCGCGUGUCGGAAAAUCCGACACGCGUUGACCGCGUGUCGGAAAAUCCGACACGCGUUGACCGCGUGUCCGACCGUGUCCGAGCGUGUCCGACACGUGUCGGACACGACACGGAAGCAUGGACAACGUGUCCGUGCUUCAUAGGUCGACGGCUUCUUGGGGGAAAAAAAGAAAGCCUCGUGCAGUGCAGCGUGACUUUGGGAAGAGACGUGUGCAGGCGGUGGGUGGGGUGGGGGAAAUAAAUGGAUGGGACCAUUUAACCCUAAAAAGAAAUAUUAAAUAUUAAAUAAUUUUAUUUUUUUUGGCAAAAUCUGUAAAAAUUCUCUCUUUCUUUUCAAGACGAUGAGAGAAAUGGAUCGAGAGCCUUUGCGUACGUUGAAUAACUUUAUUAAUACAUGUCACUAGUAUAGAUUUAUUAUAGGCUUAUUUAUUUAUUUAUUUAUGAAUUUGAAUAAAUUAAUUUAAACAUAAUAAUUAAUCAUGUAUAUAUAAAAAUAUUUAUUUAAUAUUUAACGUGUCAAAAUUUUCUAUUUUUUGAGAAAUGACGUGUUGCGUGUCGUGUCGUGUCGCGUGUCCAUGUCGCCGUGUCUGUGCUACCUAAGGGAUGAGAGCUGCAUUUUACGAAAGCAAGAGAGUACCGGUUCACCACAAAGUGCAACAUUGUAGUGUAUUCAAUUGUCUUUACUGUUAAAUACAGAGUUGAGGGUACCAAUGUUCUGCCUAGGAGCAUUCUUACUGCUAAUCACGUGACAAUAAUGUACGAAUUUGUCAUAUCAAAGUCUCUUAAAGAUACCACUAUUUCUGUUUGAGCAAAAAAAGAAUAAAAUCCAAUUCGUAAUUACCAGAAUUUGUCGUAUCAACAGACCCAAUCAAAUUAAUUUAGCUUUUAGCCCCGGCCCAGUUCCUAAAGAGCGUAAAUCCGAUUCCUAAUUACAGAAAUCUCUGAGAUCUGUCGACAAACUAAUGCAUAGGAGUGGCAUUGCGUUUCAGGAUCUGAGGCCUGACAGUUGCAUAGAUGGAAGUGGAUGAGCACUGAGCAGGGUUUUAGCCUGCGACUCAAGUUAGAGGCUAAAGCUAUUAGUGUCAGACGCAACUGGCAGUGAUCAAUCAUGGAGUCAACUGAGGAAAGAACUGAUGCUGAUCCGAGAGUCCCUCUCUUGUUUCCAUCAAAUUCUGCACCUAGUUGCAUUACAGAACAGACCCGAUUUUAUUUAAAAGAAGGCAAUAAACGAGAGGAAAUUGCCGGAGAUGGAGGAGGUGAAGAUGAACAGGAUCAAAUGCUGAGAAGCAGACAAAGAUCCCAAGAAAAAGCAUUCUUUGACAGACCUCAUUCGAUUCAGCUUUCUCGAGGGCCCAAAACACUUAGGGAAAAUAUUAGGCGUUUGGUAAGUAUUUUUAAAAGUCCCUUAGCUAAACGUCAGCAGAAAUGGGAAUGCUGAAAGUAAUGGGAAUGCUGAAAGCUCAACGCAGGUCGAACCUGCUUUUGAGCUUUUAGCAUUUCAAACCUACUUUAUACUAAUCAUCCGCGUCACUGUUCACUUUCUUCCCGUUCAUCUUAAUCUCCACCGAUUUACCACCUAAGAGUUAGGUCUUCUCCGGCAACCACCGCUUGGGGUCGCGCGAUCCGCGACUCAGGCGACGCCACCUGAGUGCGUGACCUCAGGCCGCCAGAUCUGGCGGUUCGGAGGCUAGAUCAGGCCUCCGCGACCUCAAGCCGCCGAAUCUGGCCGUCCGGAGGCUAGAUCUCGUCAUCCGGUGGCCACAUCUGGCGGUCUGAAGGCCAGAUCUGGCCGUCCGGCGAUUAGUCGGCGGCGGCCAACAGCCAACCUACACCGAAUUAAGUUUUUAGAUUAAAAAAUUAAAAAAUAAUAAAAAACCUUUAUAAAUUGGGUUAAUACCUUGAAAAACCCCAAACUGGUACACCUGUGACAAAUUUACCCAAAACUAUUUUUUUAAUCACCAAAAACCCAAAAUUGGUAUACCAUUGACAAAUUUACCCUAAACUGAUAUACUUGUGAUAAAUUUACCUUAUGUUAGUUUUUGUUAAAUUUUACUAUUAAAUUAUUAAGUUAAAUGACACGUAAUAGUUCAUCGGUACACUGAUUUGGGAUUUUACGCUCCGUUUGUCACAGUUUACAAUAUUUGUGAUUUUUUUUGCGGCAUUAAUCCAAUUUAGGGAAUGGUAUAUUUGUCAUAAAUUUAUCAGUUUGGGGUUUUUUGCAAUCGAAUAAAUUAGUUUGGGAUAAAUUUGUCAUAAAUGUAUAAGUUUAGGAUUUUUUAUGGUUAGUCUGGAUAAAUUUGUCACAUGUGUACCAGUUUAGGAUUUUUUAUGGUAAAAAAAAUAGUUUUGGAUAAAUUUGUCACAUGUGUACCAGUUUGUGGUUUUUCAGGGUAUUAACCCUUAUAAAUAUGGAUUUUACAAAAUGAUAUUUAUGCUAAAACUAUUUUCUAAUAUUUGGCUCGCUGUGCCUCAAAAUGGGAGUCGGCUUUGGGCUUACCGUCCCUCUCGCGGUCUCGGAAGGUCGCGGGCUGAGCGGCGCCGAGGACGAUCGGGACUUUCUUCUGCUCGCAGAGGCAGGAGGGAGAGUAACAGCUCGGGUUUUGUUGCGCUUUAACUAGCUUGGGGCUUGGGAAAUGGACGGCCCUGAUUUCUCCGGCUACCAAAUGGAGAAUCCUCGCUGUCAAAUGAGAGGGCUGGUUAAGUUUCUUGGGCCUUGACGUUGGUGAUUGGAGAUGGGCAAGGCCCACAAUCCAUGUGGGUAAUGCAGCGCAUAAAACAAGCAGUCUGGCCCAAGGCCUUAAGAUCCACAGCAGAAGCAAUACGAAAAAACCCUUCUACGUUGGAAGCUUAGCCUGGAUUUAAUGGUAACACAAUCGAGAGAAGAAACAUUUGUACUGAUAUUUUCUGAUUAUUACAUAAGGAGCUUGCAAUAUACAGAGUUUUGAGUUGCUGGCCAACCACUGAAAUCAGGUGCGCAUCCAACAUUUACAUUCUCUACCAUUAACCAAACUCAGAAGUCCAAGAGAUAAAAGUAUCCUGAAAACAACAAAAAGAUACUCGGACAAGCUGGAUUCUGCAAGAUCAGACUGCCUCCUUUUCUUCGUAUCCUCCAUCGAUCAUCAGAACUCAGAGAAUCUUCUACCUUCUCACGCUUGUGUAUAUAAAAAGACUUUAGCUUCUUGAAGCUUGAUGGAUCCUGUUUAGUCUGCCUUGGAUCUCGACCACUUUAGGACAUCACUGCAGAUAAAAUUUCUGGAGCUUCUUCAAGUUGGUCAGGUCAGGCAACUUGUCCAUAGAUGGAACUCCUCCAAGCUUGAAGGCACUUGGGUUCUCCAAAACUCGGAGGCCUCUGAACUCUCUCACUUUAGGGCAAUGGGCAACUUCCAAAUCUGACAGCGCCUUUGAAUUUGAAAGGUCUAUUGAUGUUUUUAUUUCUCUGCAUGAUUCGGUAUUUAAGUACAGCAAAUUUGGGGGAAGGCCAGGUCGGCAUUGCAGCUUCUUGGAGGGGACCAGUUCCUGUUCCUUGAGCUAUGAAAGAACAAUGAUGUGUGAAGAUGGGACGACGAAAUAAUGAGAUUUCAACAGCAAGGAUUCCAGCUUCCCUAACCUUCCAAGCUACGAAGGACUUGGAGCUUCAAUGAAUUUGAAAGCAUCAUCAAAAUUGUCAAAACCUGAAUUUUACAUACAAUUUGAAUAUCGAAGUAAUAAAUAACUUAACAUCAAAUGAAUGUCUACAGUGAGAUCCUAACAGCAAGGAUUCCAGCUUCCCUAAACUUGUACAGAAGAUUCACCUUAAAAAUAUAUGUAGAAGCGCAAAUCUAAACGUCCCUAAACUCCAAACCGACCAAUAUGUAUAAUAUUUUUUAGGGAGUGAGUUUAAGUUCAGUAAAUGAAAGCUCUACUUCCAAAAUGGAAGACUUGGGGCACGUUUGGUAACGUUUCUGUUCAAAAAUUGUUCCAGGGAACAGAAAUAGAAAAAAAGUGUUUCUGUUCCGGGGAACAAUUUUUUACCAGAAAGAUGCGUUUGGUAAAUUUGUUCCGGGAAAAAAAAUGAAUAGAAACACGUUUGAUAAAUUUAUAUUCUUUUUUUGUUUCUUUUAAUUUUUUAAUAUUUUUAUUUUAUUUUUCCUUUUUUCCUUUCUUUUUUAUUUUUUCUUCUUUCGGCCGGUUGCCGGUCUUCGGCGACCGGCCGACGGGGCCGGCAGCCUCGCCCAGCCACGGCGAGGCUCGGCCUCGCCAGGGGCCGGAGACGCUUCGGCGAGGUCGCCGACCCUCGACAGCGUCGCCGGCCCUCGACAGCCAGUCGCUGGCCAUGGCCGAGGCCGGCGACCGGCCAAAGAAAAAAGAAGAGAGAAGAAAAGUGUUUCUUCAAAAGUGUUUCUGGAGCAAGAAACAAUUUUUUUUUGUUUCUCAUUUUUGUUCUUUUUGUGUUCCAGGAACAAAAAAUCUGAUUUUGAACAAAAACGCAAACAAACGCGUUUCUGUUCCUUUUUUUGUUCCCGGAAACAAAAAAAACAAAAUUUCUAUUCAUAAACAAAAAAAAAAGAAUGAAAACAUGCAGCCCAUUGACAACCAUUAUGUUCAAAAAAUAGUUUCUAGAAUAGAAAUAGAUUUUUCAAUUUCUAUUUCUAGAAGAGUUUCUAAGUAAAAAUAAUCGUUUGAUAACAACACAAAAUUUCUACUCUAAAAAUAGAAAUUCGUUUGAUAACGACACAAAUUUUUUUCCUUUCGGACAAUAAUGGACCGACAAUCAGCAAGGAUGGACGGCCGGUGGCGACCGGCGACUGGCGGCCGGCGGCGGCGGCAACCGGUGACUGGCGGUGGCGGGGCCGAUGGCGGCAGCGAGGUCGGUGGCCGGCAGCAGCGGGGGCGAAGAAUUUUUAUUUUUGAUUUAUAUUCAAGAAAUAGAGAAAUAUAAAAUUUUAGCUUUUGAUUUCUCUUCCAAACCUAUUUUUGAAAUAGUAAUCUAUUCCAGAAAUAGAAAAACUGAAUAGGUUUAGCAAACGGAUUUCUCUUCCAAAAACAGGUCUGGAACAGAAAAACUAUUGCUGGAACAGAAAUGUUGGUUAUCAUGCACCCCCUUACUCGCUACUGGACCCGAGCACACAACAAUAACAAUUAGCAAAUAAGGUCAUAUAUUAUUAUCAAUAGGAAAACCAAUAUUCACCUAAGACAGUGUAAUUCGUGCAUUAUAUAAAAAUGACUAAUUAUCUGUGCAAUGAAUAAAAUAGAUGCAAUGUAUGACAUUCAUUUUAACACUCAAAUACACACAAUUAAUUAUACCAAAUCUCAUAAUGCAUAGAUAUCAGUAGCUCAUCGAUAUAAACAAGUAAAUAUUUAUUCCCUACUUAUUACUAGCCACGACUCAUCUCGACUAACUCAACUAAUGAGAUAUCGUAACCACUGAAUAAUGCAAGACAAAAUCAUAAACACAUAUUUACCAUGCUUCAACCCAUUCAUCACAGGUAUCCUCCAACGAUGAUAAAUAUAGUACAAACGCAUAAUGAUGGCUAUCCUAGACUCAUUCUCAUCAAGAUUCAUACCCAUUUUAUUUCCUUUCAUUUCUCAAUCUUGGACCUCAAUUUCAUAAAUUCAUAUAUAGGCUAUUCAAGUCACAUCUGGUUAUACAAGUCAUAUAAUUCCAUGUAUAAAUCAUUCUACUUUAUGUCUUCUCAAUCUUAUAAAGAACGGUAGAACAUCUGUCUUUUCCCAGAAUCUUAUAUACAUACUCAGAAAAAUCAAUUAUAGUGUUGGUAUAUUGCCAACAACACUUGUAGAAUUUCAAUGGAGUUGGUAAUUUACAUGAUAUGGGAAACAAGCACACUUGGAGAGCGCACCGCAACAGAAAGUCGUAUGCUGUAUUCGAAAGUGGUGUUACUAAUUUACUUAUGAUACUGGUUAAAUUUCGAAUGAGUUGAUAAUUUACUACUUCAUUGAAAUAUUAGUAAAUUUCUGAUAAGUGUUAGUAAUUCACCUACGACACCGGAAAGUUUUUAACAGACUUGGUAAUUUACCAAUCUAGUGUUUCAAGAGCAUUAGACUUGGUUAGGCUAAAAGCUAUUACAAUUAGAUGCAGAUUGAAGAGUUCAAUUGAGUCACAGCUCAUGAAGGAGUUCAAUGGGGGUCAUUAAUCAUUCAGAAGCCCCCCGUAGAAAUCUGUUUUAAGUUAUCAAAACUAAAGGACCUUUGUGACUAUUGCACAUGAUCAUUAACUAGGGAAGGUUAUGUUCAUGCUAGACACAAUGUUUUGCCCCUACUUCUUCAUUUCCUCAGCGUGGAAAUUUUCAUGGGAAAUGCACAACAAUUCAGUGAAUAUGGUCGCUGAUGUCUAAUUGAAUACGCGACAUUGAAUGCAACACAUUGAACAUUAAUCUCUGAGAAUGAAUUCUGGAGCAAGUCAUCUUGAAUCCUCAAUGAAUUUCUCCCAUGACAAGAUCAAUUACUAAUUGCACCCUCCAAAAAUUUUAGAAGUAAGUAGGACCACAGCAGACCAAAAAAGGGAAGAAAGAAAUUGCAGAACCAAUCGAUUAUAGUAAGGUUUCAUGCUUUCCAGGACAAUAAUAUUUCGGUUUUAGCUAGACCUUGAUAAUCAGAAGAAGAAUCGAGUCCCAGUCGACUAUAUUACAUAAGAUAAAUGAAAUCAGAUAAAUCCCUCCCCCCACCCAAAAAAAAAAAAACUGAUUCCCGAUGCAUGUUCUGAACUAGUUCCUAAGGAGCGAAAAUCGAUCCGCUAAUUGGUGCAGAAGUGAACUGACGCACAGGAGUUGCGAUGUGUUUCAAUAGAAUGUGACUUGGUUAAGGCUAAAGCUAUUAAAGAUUCGAUGCAGUUACGGAAGAAAAUCAAUCGAGUCAGCUCCCGAGUGAGUUCAUCAAAAGGCUGUUUUCAUUGCGUCUGUAUGAUAAGUCAUGACUGAAAAUAAUAAAAACUAACUCAAUCCGUUCCAAAUCUUUUCCUAAUCCGUCACUGAUUGCAUCAAAGAUUCGCACGCGGACCCAAUCCAUGCAAAUGAGAAGAGAAAAUUACCAGAAAAUGAAGACGGGUGAAGAUGAAGAAAACCAAAUGAAGAUGCAGAGCAGGAAGAACCCUCGUUGGCCUGAGUCAGCUGCAACCAAAAUGGAAAAGGAAGACCACAAUCUAUUAACCCCUCGUGGAACAGAUCGGCGGGCACGAAGACGUGGUCGCAGUCCCCGUAGGGAGAUCUCCGCCAGGCCAUAUCGCGUCUUGUGCUUCCGCUCAGGGUCGCCGUCGCUGCUGGCUCUGGGCGAGCUUCUCGCUCGGGUCGUCGCUGACGAGGGAGGAGAAAGAAUAUGAGAAGAGGGGGGGGGGGGGGGGGGGGGGGGGAGAGAGAGAGAGAGAGAGAGAGAGAGAAAGAGAGAGCAACGGGAGAAAAAACGAAACAAAAAAACAGAGAGAGAGAGAGUUGAAAUUUCUCAAGAGUGGGUCUCCCGACUCUCCCCUACACCUAUACGCACCGUUUCGAGAAAAUAUUCCUCACUACUCUGGUAGGUAAUCUCUUCCCCGUGAUUUCCUGUCCGGUGGUAUUCUUACCUCAAAUACUGCGAAGGGUCCUCUCACUUUUUUCAAAUCUCCAUACUCAUCAGAUUCCAGAAUCUCCAAUCUCUCACAUUCUUUUAUUGCCAAUUUCUCUAGCUUCUUGAAGCUUGAAGGCUCCGAAAACUUUUGCAAAGACCUGCAGCCUUCAAUAGAAAGCCUCUCCAGUGAUUCUAGCCUACCUGGAAUCUCAAUCAAACGAGGAAAAUGACCUAAAUUAAAAUCAACAAGCUCCUUGGCAUUGGUCAAGUCAGGCAACUUCUCUAGCAACGGAAGAUUCCUCACACAUAAGUAACUCAAGUUCUUUGAAUAUUCCAGGCCUUGAAUCUCGUUGAGCUUCGAACAGUGACUUAUCAUUAAUACUUCUAUAUGCUUGAAGGUUAAUGGAUCAGGCAGCUUUUCAAGUGAUUGAUAGUGCCAUAAAUUGAGAAGCUUCAACGAAUCUGGCUCACAUUGAACCUCAACCAAUUUAGGACACUUACUUAUAUGAAGUCCCCGAAACUUCUUCAAGCUGGUCAGGUCGAGCAACUUCACCAACAACGGAAGACGAACAAGAUGAAGGGCUGCCAAGUUUUUCAAAUGUCGGAGGCCUUGAAUCUCCAUUAGUUGUCUACAGCAAUGGAAUUCCAAUCUCGAUAACUUCUCCAAAUAUGAAAGAUUUAUCGACUUUUCCAUUAACCCACGCCCACGAAUAAUGAAGUAUGACAAAUUUUGGGGAAGCUUAGGUAAGUAUUCUAGGUUAUGUGCGAUGAGUUCAAGCAUCCUGAGCUUCAAAAGGAGAUUAAAAUCUAAAGGUAAGAAGAUUAGACCAUCAUAACGCAACCACAAGGUUUCUAGCUCUCUUAAUCCUACGAUCCAAUUGAGGCUUGGAGCUAGAGGGGAAGGGGUUUGAUACUCUAUAUCCAACGUCAAAUCUCUCAAAUUUAAUAGGUUUGAGAGGUCUGGACAUCUCAUCUGUAAAUUAUGGCGCAAGUAUAUAUUGGUCAUACUUUCAGGAAGCUUAGGUACAUCGGAAAUUCCCGUGCUCGUUAAUCUCAAGAUUCUCAAAGAUGAUAGUCUUCCAAUCUCACUUGGAAUUUCCCCACACAAAUAUUCACAGUCAUAAGCUUCAAUCUCUUCAAGCUUCUCCAACAUCCCAAGGGCGCUAGGUAGCUUUUCUAAGAUGGUGCCAGAGAUCCUUAGUACUCUCAAAUUCUUCAUUGUCUCUAUUGAAGUGGGUAACUCUCCUAUCCUCGACAGAGAAAGAUUCAACUCAACGAGAGAACCAAAAUUCCCAAUUGGAAAUUCACUAAUACUUGUACUCGACAAGCGAAUAUAUAACGGUGAUGUUGAGCAACCAACUAAAUUGCAUUCACUCAGUAAUACACAUGAACUUGCACCGAGAGUUUCCAAUUUCUUCAUUCCUUUCCAUUCAGGAAUUCUGGUAAUAGAUGUCUCGUCAAGAAGAAGUUCUGUCAAGGCUUCCAGUUCCUCCAUCUCGUAUGGCAAUGUAUGAAGUUUCGUACAACCUUCCAAGUUUAAAAACACCAACUUCUUUAACUUACCAAUAGACCUAUCAACUUGAACCAAUUCCUUGCACCCUUGAAGAAUUAGUUGCUCUAAAUUUUCAUGAGCAGCAACGUUAGGAGUUUUACACAAGUUUAUGCAUUUAGUCAAAUUUAGAACCUUCAAAUUCUUUGCCAUUUGUAAUGAAGAGAAGAGGUUAAUUCUAGAUCAUUUUGAGAUACAGGACAAUAAAGUUAAUAUAGCAAAUUCAAGUUGAAAUAAUACCAUACCUUGAGGUGGUUCCAUCCCUCCCAAUCAUUUGUAAUCUGACUUCGUGAUAGAUCAAGAAUCACUAUCUUCUCAAGGGAAAACGCAGUCAACUGGAAAAAGAUGGGAAACUCAUGCCAAGAGAGAUAUCUCAAAUUCGGAAGGAUGAGCGGAUUUUUACAGAACUGCUUGGUUGAAGGACGAUGCUGAACAAAUUUAUGCCAUGAGAGCCAUCUCAACUUUGGAUGGUUGAUAGAUUCCUUUGGAACCAGUUGGUUAAAGAAAAAUGCUGGACAUUUUUCUUAUCCAAGUCUCCACAAUUUACUUGAAGAAACCUUAAAUUUGAUAAGCUUUCAAAUUCUUUCUUCUUAAAGAAGUGUUGAGAUCGAUGAUCAAACUUGAGACGUAUUGCUUCAACAUUUUCUGCUCCCUGCCAAAGCGGAAAAAAAAAAUUAAACAGAAGCUAAUGAUCACAUAAUUGCCUGUCGAAGGGAUUCAAAUUGAAGAUACUUUAGGAAUGUGCAUUUUAUUCGUACUUUCAAAUUGAUUUAUAAUAUGAUUUACAGAUAAGCAUGUCAUCAUGGUAAGCAAACAAGUAACGACUUGGUUAAGAUAGAAGUAAAUAGCCAAAAUCAACGUGUAUAACUCGUCCCUCUUUGAAUAGGAAUAACAUUGCACACACUUUACCUUUACUAUGAGGAUAUCAUUUGCUUGUUCAUGAUCCCACACUUGACUUUGUUUCUUUGGUCUAGAUGUACCAAACCGACGAACGAAAUGUCACCCAAGGUCUCUUAGCAGAUUAUGCAUCCACAAUUGGUCACGUUUUGUAAUCUUUAUUAACGACAUCUGUUGGAGGACAUCAAGAUAAUAGUCAGGUAAAAACCCACAGCUUUUCCACAUGUGCCUCACAAUUUUCACAUCAAACCCAACGAAGAAGCAACAAACAUUGAGAAAUAUUUCCUUUGCAUUUGGUUGUAAUGCCUCGAUACUGAUGUUUAGCUUUUCUUCAACAUUUUCAUCGGGAAUAGUUUCUAGCUUCUCUAAUGUGGUCUCCCAAAAUCUUCUAUCUUUUCCAGCUAAAAAUGAACCUAUGAUCUCGAGAGCCAAAGGAAGAUGACCACAGACUUUUACCACUUUUUCGGGGAGAGGGGCGUAUUCUGCUGGAGGAUGAUCACUUCUAAACACAUGUUUGCUAAAUAGUUGAAGAGAAUGAUCAAAAUCCAUUCCAAUAAGUUCGUGCUUCAACUCAACAUCUUUGAGAACUUCUUUGUUUCUUGUGGUAAUAAUAGCCUUACUUCCAUAGCCAAACCAACAUUUACCCAUUCCCACAAGAGCAUCUAGCUUAGCCUUUUGAUCGACACCAUCAAGUAGAAGUACGACCUUUGUAAAGGAUAACAACUCCUUGAUCACUUUUUUCCCUUCAUCGAUAUCAUUGAUGGUCGCUUGUCUCUUUCCUAGGACAAUGGAGAUAAGUUGAUUCUGCAAACUUUCAAUUUUCAUAUCUCCAAUGUUGGACAUGGAGCAACAUUUAGUGGAAUCAGUGGUCUGUUCACCUAUCACUUCCGUGAUUCUGUCCACUUGAUUGUCCAUUUCAACAGAGGAAUUAGACAAGAUGUAAUCUUUAGUAGAAUCAGACAACAGUUUGUUAUAGACGAUUUUGGCAAGAGUUGUCUUUCCAACACCACCCAUACCAUAGAUACCGACAAUCUUUGUUUUAGUGGCCUCACCUAUUAAUUCCAUGAUUCUGUCCACGUGAUUGUCCAUUUCGACCAAGAAAUCAGGUACCGCCAAGUAAUUCUUUUUCAAUUUGAUCAAAACCUUCUAAGCAACUUCUCUUGUGAACUCACCUUUGCCUCUGAUAGUAUUGAAGGCAAAAGAACAAAAUUAUUAAAUCAAGAUGAACAGAAUAAUAUCUAAGGUACAAACAAAACAUGCACAAUAAUAAAUUCAAGUACUUGUCCUUGAGUUCCCAUCCCUUUAAUUCUCCAACCUUGUUGAGAGCUACCUUCCAAUUCUGAAUAGUCUCAUCAGUAUACAGCUGCUUAUUAUGUGUGACUGAAUGGCCUCGCCAUAAGUUGCAAUCUGGUUACGAACCUUGGAUGGUUCAAUGUCAUAGAAAAUUGGCAUGAUCUUUUGUCCCAACUUUUCCUUACAUUCCACCAUCUGAACCAACUCCAUAAGGCACCAUUUAUGCGACAUCCCGAUUUUCCAAUUCUAAUUUUAAUAAAUUGAGACGGGCAUUUCGUUGGUAUGCAUAUAGUUCCUUUCCUUGAGUCAGCCACUCAUGUGAAAAUUAGUCUAUCAGGUAAAGCCGUUAAGAAAUUCUAAUGCAUCAGACUCGAGAAUUUGAUCAGGAAGCGACCUUUCGACCGAGAUAAUCUGCAAGGGUCAUUACGGCACAAAUAAAAAUCGAUUAGAAAUUGGAGAUAGGUCGGCUCGACAGAGGCAUGUGAUCAGGUGUGGGUGAUUCCACUGGAUCGCACAAUUCUUGUCGAUCGGCACCGGACCGACUUUUCUAUUGAUUGGGUACCCUGUGCCCGUAUUUGAAACCUUGAGAUUUCCCCUACAACAGAAAGUUGCGAAUGUGCCAAAGAUGUAUAUUGUGGCUUGAAUUGAUCAACCACAUGUCAAAUGCACAAAAAUUUCUAAAAACUACUCGGUAGGUUGAGCCGCGCUAGUAUCGUGCCAAAGUGAAAUUAACCGUGAAAUUGAGAUCGAAUUCUGAAAUUGGAAGUCCUGGUGUGUCACAAAUUCUAUUAGGAACAUUGGAUUAAAUUAUGAAUUUUAAUUUGGACUCAAUCGGAAGAGAAUUGAUGGGAAUUGAAGAAAUUGAAUGUACAAGAAUUGGACCCCGACGGAAAAUGAAAUUUGCACCCAUUGGAAGAGGUUGUAGAGGAUUGAGUUAGUGGAGUGAUGUCAUGGUGUGGGGACAAGAGUGACUAGGAUCUUGACAAGUGGAGGGAUGAGAUGGGCUCUUGAAAAGGUGGGCUUUCACUUCAUCUUCUUCCUUGAAUCAAGGGAAAUUGUUGGAUUUUGAAGAGAGAGAGAGAGAGAGAGAGAGAGAGCAGCCGGCCAUCAGAACCUCCUUCAUCCGCCCUUCUUCGCUGCUCGGUUGCUCGCUCGGCCGGCCACCGUCUCGCCCGCGUUCCUCGUCGCUCGCCGUUCGUCGGAGCUCGCACGUUGCUGUCCCAUGUGCGAGCUGCCUUGUCUCCAUCCGCCGAGCCUCCCGCGUUGUCGUCUCUCCUCGCCAACAGCUAUUCGUCGUCGCCGGAGUCUCCAUCACCGCCGUUCGUUGCUGUUAGCUGCCGUCCCGAGCCUUAGCUGCUUCCGCCGGUCUUCCUCCGCCUUUCCUCCACCCGAUCAGCCACCGUGCCGCCUCCCUCCAAGCUCGGUUAGUUGCUGGAAAAUCCAGCAAGACCCAGCCCCUUCCAAGCUCGAUUUGGUCUCCUAUUAGUUCUCAUUUGGUGUUGAUCCGUGUAGGUUUGUCGUCGACGUCGUCGUGCUCUUCGCCGGAGACUCAUCGAUUCUGGUGAGUUUAGCUCACUAAACCUCGAUUAGUGGGUUAAUCAUGCCUUAAGUGUGUUUAGCUUGGGUUGAUUGAGAUUAUGUUGUUAGAUUAGUUUAUUUAGAUGUGGAUUAGAUUAAGUUGUUUAAUUAAAGUAAAGUAUGUUUAGUUUAAGGGUUAAGUAGGUUUAUUUUAAAAUAAGCCUUGAUGUGACUUAAAGGAAUUUAUUUAUGAUUUAAAUAAAUGUUUCAAAAUUGUUAGAUUAUUUAAUAAUAUAUCAUAUUCCGAAAAUCAUUAAAAUAUUAUUUAAAAAAAAACUUGAAAAAAUUAUUUUUGAUCCUAAUUGCUCAGAAUUUCGUGCCGAUCGCCGCUGUAUAGUUAGAAUUUGAAAUUGAUGAAUGGUUAAUGCAAAUUGAGUGUUGAUUGUGGAAAAUAUGGAUUUUAUUUAAAAAAUCUCAAAUGUCGGGUUUGACAUCGAAAUUGGAUUUUUAAAGAUUAAUAUUGUAAUUGGGGUAUGUGAGUGAUGUGCAAAGUGCCUUGGGUUGAUUAUGAGUUGCUGCAUGAUAAUUAUGAGGAAUUGUCUUGUGCUAUUAAGCUGGAAUUGCCCCUAUAUGGGAUGCCACAUACAACGGAUGCAAGUCGCAGUUGAUUCUGGGCCCAUGCUCCUUUAGGAACGCCGCCGAUGUACUGACGAAGCCACGCUCCAAGGUGGGGAGGCGAUGCCUGGCUAUAUGUCAGUAGAUAACCGAACUGUGAGUAGGCUAUGCCUUUGUGUGGCAGUGAACAAUGAUUGGAAUGCUUGUUGUGAUUGCGAAUUAAGUGAAAUUGAUUGUGUUCCAAUGAUUUAAGUCCCUGUUGUUACCUGUGAUUGAGUGAUAUGAAUUGUACUAAUCUGCAGGAAGGCAAGAAGGUGAGGUAAGUCUUCUGUGCUAUGUGGCUAGACCACUCUAGGGCGUAUUUUCUUUGUAAUAGGGGUUUAGGAGGGGUGAACUUGCUGAGACAAUGUCUCAUCCCGGUUUGGGGAAAAUAUUACAGGACCGUAGAUGGCGGGACCCCCAGAGACGAAUGGCAUCCCAAUGUAGAUCAUCGAGCAGGUGCACAACUUCCCUGAUCCUGGGAGCCAUUGGGUCUACGAGCUGAUCAGGACUACCAUAUGGAUCCAGGAGCCUGAAGAUGUUAGGGUGCCCCAUAAGUAUAGGGCUUGGUUCCGUUUUUGGGCCAAUGGCUUUAUGAUUGGUCCACUUGACAGUUUUGAUAUUCCACUGGCCGUGAUGGAUGCUAUUCUGGGUGAGGGUGUAGCUGACCUUCCUGAUGGUAGGGUGGAUAACCCAUCGUCUCCGGACCCAGUGCAGUCAGAUGUGGAGGAUGUGGGAUCGACGAACGAGUCCGAUUAGUAGUUAUAGGACCGUUCCUCUUUUUGGUGACCGAUCCAUGUUGCGUAAACUGACCCAUUUUGAUGCACAUAAACUCUGACUUAUUUUUGGUGCAUAUAGUCUCUGAAUCCUAUUUGUGUAUGUAAACUCUGGAAUGAUGAUAUGUGAAAGUAUGUGGUUUGAUUUUGAAUUGAUCUUUCCUGCUGUCCUAUCCCAUAUGAUUUUGAUAGGAGUUUCUUAGCACGUUCCGCAUGCGCAAUAAUAUAUGAAUGGGGUCGGCAACACUACCUGGGAAUGUCGCAUAUUCAUGACCAUAGCGGGUUGUUCACGUGUCUCGAGGUUCGGGGCGUGACAAUUUACUAGCAGCGUAUUCUUUAGAAAAGAUAGGAAUUGGGAUUUUCGACUGCUUAAUCGCUUGGAGAAGCUCCGGGCCAAUCUCUUCCCCAACGUGAAGCUCUUCAUCAUCUCUAUAUGCCCGUAUUCCAGCAUCAAUGAGGCUAUUGUAAAGGAUAUCAGUGAUGUCGUGGCGAGUAUCUGGUCCUCUAAAGCUCAAGAACACUUCAUAAUAAGGUUCCAUUGGCUUCUCCACUCCCUGAAUUUUCAGAGGACUUGCGACAACUCGAUAUCCCACCAGGAGAAACGUUUACUAUGAAAGUGGAGUGAUGAUUAUCAUGAAUGAGAGGAGAUUACCAAAGAUGGAGGAGUGAAGAUGAAGAGUCCGGAUCAAACGCUAAGAAGCAUAUAAAGAUCCCCCAGAUCAAUCGUUCUUGGGUUUGAGCUCCGCUGAAGAAAGACUUUUCGCAAGAUGGCUCGCUCGCCCUCGCAUGCAAUGCUCUUCUAGGAAGGUGAGGACUUGCGAGUUGCACGUAUACUUAAAGCCAGCCGUUGACUUGCCAAUGAUUUGUUGGCGCAAACCACCAGAGUUCAAAUAGACGAGAUUUUAACGCAUGUUAUUAGUUUGGAAAUCAUAUAAUUAUAUUGAUUGAUAUUCUUUUAACGACGAUGAAACCAUUCUUUAGUUGUAGGUGAAACCCUAGGCCCAUUUAAAUUCAACAUAAAUUGAAUCUACAAUUGUAGAAUCCACACUUGUAAGUCUUUGAGAUAAUUUAUAUUAUUCAUAGUAAACUUAUAAGACUGGAGUUAGUUUUUAUGCUCUGUUUGUUUCGUAAAAAAAUAAAUAAUUUGAAAAUAAUUUCUUAAAUAUGAUUACUUGUAUCGCGUGAAAUAAUUAACUAAUGAAAUAUACUUUCAUUGUGAAUGACAAUUUAUGUCUAAAUAAUUUCGUGAACGAUAAAAAUAUCUUUUGUUUAUUCAUUUUUGUAAGCGAUAUAAGUGAUCAUUUUAAAAAAAUCCGUUUCAAAUUAUCAACUUUCCGCAAAACAUACAUACCUUUGAAAAAGUUACAGUGCAAGUGGAUGGUAAUCAACAAUCAUUUUUUAAUUGGCUAUAAAAUCUUAUUAAAUUCAUUAAAAAAGAGAGUACAUCUUGGAUCGCCCCUGGGAGCGGAGAAAUACAACGAUCUUCCAAAAGAAGUAUUGAAAAUCCUAAUUCUAACCUAAGUCUAAAUUGGAAAAUUACGUGAAAAACAUAAACCUUAGUCAACAACCCUUUGGGAAGAUGUGCAUAGCUCAUCAUGCACGGCGCACGGCACAUGUAGAGCACUUGCAUGCCACAUGUAAGACACAUGGAAAUUUCAACGACUGCCGAGGAAAAAUGCGUCGGAAUUGCAUAGGGUCGAAGGCUCAAAUGGGCUAAAUUUAAGAAUUCAAUGAUUUAAAGAGUGCAAUUUGAAUGAAAUUCAUAAAAUCGACUCGGUUUAAAAUUAAUACAUUGAAAUUAUUGUGGAUCAAAUGCUAAGAAGCAGAUAAACAUGCCAGAACAGAAGAAAGACUUUCAUUAAAGAGUCUACUCACCUUCAAGUGCCAUACCCUUGGAAGGUAAGGACUUGCUACUCAUCCUAGACGCAUUAUAAUUUUACAUACAUUAAACCUAAAAAUAUAGAACUGAUACAUAUAACGUAUUUGAGAUGGAUUAUGUUAGACUUAUUCACAAUAAAUUCAUAGACAAGAAUUAGGUUUUAAUUUCAAAAGCUGCAUUUGGCCACAAAGGAAUAACGCUCCAAAAAAUUUACAACAAGCCUUCAAAAAUAGCUAUAGUUGAAAUAUUCCAGAUGAGUUUACCAUGAGGCAGCAAUGCUCUUUUUACAUAUAUAUAUAUAUGGUUUUGUCCCAAUUUAUUUCUCAUAUGCGGGUAAUGGAAACGCUUUCAAAAUAGACAUCUCUCCAAACUGUUCAGAAGCCAUUUGAGUUGCUAAUAAAUCAAAGUUUCCCUAAGCAUGGAGAGCAGAGGGAGCGUAAGUUCUAGACACAAGGUUUGCAGUAAACAUGACCUCUAUGGUCUUUGGCCAAAGCGGCAAUGGAGGUAUUAGAGUCUUGCAUCAAUGUUCACUUGAAGUAAGGGGGAAGGAGUCCAUUUUGGAGGUUCAUUGUUCACAACUCGUGACUACGAGCAACGUUCCAUCACAACUCAUGAUAGAUGUCCUGUAUGUGUCGAAUUACUGAAGAAAGAUCCAUUGGGGAGCGAGCUUCCAGAAUUUUGUUUCGACGCUUCCAUAAACCCACUAAACUAUCUCGACCAUAUCGCAAAAAUCUUCGCAAUAAAUGUCAGGUGGAAGGCCGAAAGCGAGGAGGCGCAGAGAUCACAUAGCACACGUGUAAAAAACAGAACCGCAAAAGAAGUUGAUAUGUCCAAGCCCCAGCCAACUCGACUCCAUACAAUUCAGGUCAUCCACUCUCUUCCCCUUUUGUCAGGGCGAAUUUGACUGAUCAUUAUUUUUCGAAGUAAAAGAGCAGUUUUGUUCUAACUAGAUCUUAGGGAGAGAUAUGACCUUUACCUAUUUAUGGAAUAAAUACGACAUCUUGCCCAUGGAAUGUUGACAAGACAUCGAAUGCAUUUUGUGCAGAUCUCAACAACCGAGAGCAGAUUCUUAUGAAGACUGUACUUCUGAUUAACUUGGAGGUAAAGGACAACCAUGAGGAGGCAGCAACUGGAGCUCAGCUUGCUUUAAAUCUUUGUCGAGAGGUCUUUGACUGUUUGUACUUUAUGUAUUAAUGAUAGUAAGCUUAAUUUCUGUAUGCUGAGAAAUUGCUUAUUGUAAUUUCUGGUCCACAGAUAGAAGCAGCCGAGGAGGAAUCCAUUGAUGAAAUUGUUUCUAAUUUUCAGAACCAGAACAGGCGGAAAUUUUUAUUCAGCAUUUCCUUCUAUUGAUGACCGUGGUGAGGGCAAGACUCUUGCUCUGAAAGCUUUAUGAUCCAUGUCGUUGUUCUGUUAGUAUUUUGUCUGCAAAUUUAUAUGUCGAUGUUCUGUUAGUAUUUUUAUUCUGUCUGUCCAUCUACUUGCACAAUUGGUAAUAUACUUAAAUACAUUACCAGAUUUCUUCCAACGCUGUUACUGUUUGCUUUGCACGAAGCCUUCCCUAGAAAUCUUACCUUUCUAAGCCCAGCGAGCCCUAUUUAAUCCAUUACACAGCUAAUCAUUUCAAUAUACCCUAUCCUGAAUUUGAUCUCUUCUUAUGUCAGGAAGACUGAAUCAGGCUCUCCCAUGUUUCUACGCCUUUGCUUGAUCUUGGUAUUCCAUGCGAAUUGUUGGGUUUGAUGAGCACUUUCCUUGACUACUCGUUAGAGGUAGGUCAUUUUGCAACAGUAUCUCUAUCUGCAUAAUGAGAAUUGUCAUUCUCACGCUUUGAAUUUAAUUUGCUAGAGAAGCCUAUUCUUUGCUGUUAUCGCCAAGCCUAUCAUACUAAUGCGCUGCAUCUAUCCACUUUCAGAUAACACUGCAUCGAUGUGGAAAAGAAAUUCUGAGUCGAACCCUUUUACACUCACCUUAUCUCUGGAAUGUCGACGCAUGAUGAUGUAUUAGUAAUUAGAAGCAAGCCAUGUAUUAGUAAUUAGAAGCAAGCCAGUCUUGCUUAGGAGUGAAAAUUCUAUUAUUUCUUGUAGUUUUUUUUUUUUUUUUUAAGUUUCUUUGUACUGCAGAACUAAUUCUGCGAUGGUACUCAUGUCGAGAGAGUGGGAAGAAAAGGGAUUCCGGCGUAUUGCAUAUAAUUUCUUUGAAUGCAACAGGUUCAAAACCGCCUCUAUUUUCAUUUUUUCUGUAUCGUGCAUAUGAAAAGAAAAACAAGAGAACAGAACCAACCUGACCUGGUCAGUCAUUUGAUGAUUUGGUCCUGUGUUUUUGGCAGGGUUUACAAUUCAAUGGAUCCUAUUUAUUUGAGAUGAGUUGGUUUUUGAAAAGAAAAUUACUAAAAAGCAGAAACUUCUAAUUUGAGUUCAUAUAGAGAUCGUCAGUUUUCUUGCUGGCUUGUUGGUCAUUCCUAGGAUCCUGUCCUUCAACUUGCUUUCCUCACUUCCUGGAUAAAAAUUCCCUUGCGUAUUCAUUUAAAAUAAUAAGCUCUGAUAAUUUGUCGAGAUUACCUAGUACUGACACACAAAAGUCAUCUCCAUGUAUGGCUUGCACCAAGGUUUGCAGUUUCACAUCUCAAAGGGGAGGAUGCUUUCUUGACCUCGGCGCAAGUGUCUUUUUCGGAAUGUUCAAAUGCCAGUCUCUUGAGCCAGUGAAUUCUUCUAUUCUGCUGUUACUUUGAGCCGGUGAAUUCUUCUUCUUCUCUGCUGUUCCUUCGGGAAGACAAUGCAGUCCAUUGAUCCGUCUGUGGAAAUAAAAUUUCUCCUCUUUCUGAACCUUCAAUCUCCUCUGCAUUAAUUUGUAUAACACCGAACGCUCCAGUUAGUUGUGGUAUGCUCUACCCUAAUGCAGAUCUUCUGCUCCUUAUGUACAAAUAGGCUUGUGUUUGCAUCGUGUCAGCUACAACCCAACAGUGCCAGUGAAACUUGGCCAAACAACAGUGCGCAUUAGACACAGAAAAGAGAGCUCUUCUGCUCACACAUAUGAUCAAAUGUUACUAUGGUAUGAAUGAUGAAGAGAAAUUGAAGGAUAAUGACUCUCCAUGAACUAACAAACAGCGGCAUCAGCCAGCAUUUCCAUUUCAGAAUGGCGACAUACCAAUCUCGCUUCAUCUGUCCUAAGAGAUCUUAACAAAGAAUAAAUAUCACCCUUAUGAGUGUGCCUCUUGUCCUUGACAAUGAAGACAUGAACUUGACCCUGAAUUUCUAUCCAGCUACAACCAGGCUGCUUGACUACUCCUCGUUGCCUCAUCAGCUUCCUUAUUCUGACGACAUCGCCCCAUUUUUUGCUUUCCACGUACAUGUUUGAGAGCAGAACAUAAGGUCCAGAGUUCGAAGGGUCAAUCUCUAAGAGCUUCUCCGCUAUGUGCUUUCCUAGCAUUAUAUCCUUAUGAACUUUGCAGGCUGCGAGCAGCGAACCCCAAACGACAGCAUCGGCUUGCAUGGGCAUUGCCUCUAUUAAGUCCUUUGCUUCACUGAGACAACCAGAUCGGUUGAGCAAAUCAACCAUGCACGUAUAAUGGUCCUUUACCGGUGCCAGACCAUACUCCUCGAUCAUCCGCUUGAAAUAAUGGCACCCCUCUUCGACCAGCCCUGCAUGGCUGCAUGCACAUAGAACCCUGAUCAUAGUGACACAGUCUGCUCUCUUGCCAGAUACCAACAUUUUCCUGAAUAUUUCAAGCGCCUUUAUCCCGUAACCAUUCUGCGUAUAUCCGACAAUUAUGGCAUUCCAUGAGACCUUGUCCCUCUCCAACAUAUUUUUGAACACCCAUAAACCAUCUUCCACAGCUCCACAUUUAAAGUACAUGUCUAUAAGAGAAUUUCCAACAAAAAUAUCAGAUUCUUCUCCAGACUGGAAGCGAAAUCUGUGCUUCAAGACAUGAGCAUGAGCCUGCAGCCCCAACUGCAGAUCAGCAAGAUUUGCACACGCAUUGAGCAAAUUUCCAAAUGCGUAGUGCGUCAGCACAAUGGCUUCCCUCUUCAAAAGGCGGAAUAAACCAAAUGCUUCUUCAUUCUCUCCAUUCUGGGUAUACCCUGCAAUAAGGGCAUUCCAAGAAACUACAUUCUUCUCCAUCAACCUUUGAGACUUGCUGCCUUUGCAUACCCACUUACCAUGGAGGUGGCUGACACUAUAUCCCUGGUAGGCAUGCUGUCAAAAACUGCUCUGGCCUCACUAAUUCUAGAGCACUUAGAAUACAUAUCAAACCAAUGCAUUUCCUAAAACGACAUCAUUUCUAAAUUUGUCACAUUUUACAACAUGGGCUUGAAUUUGCAUCCCUUCCUUAAGUGCCGACAGGCUAGCGCAUGCGCUGACCACACUGGCUAAAGUGACCUCAUCUAUAUCAAACCCACAAUCCAUCAUGCUCACGAAAACCUCAAGAGCUUCACUGGCUGGACCAUUUUGUUCAUAACAUGUAAUCAAGCUGUUCCAAGAAACUACGUUUCGAGAACUCAUUUCAUCAAAAGCCCUCUGUGCACAAGCCACGUUGCCACACUUGGAGUACAUGUCGAUAAGAGCAGAGCCCAUAUGAACAUCGGACGAGCACUUGGACUUCGAUAUCAAAGCCUGGAUCUGCUGGCCCAGAUCCAUAUCCCCUAACCCGGCGCAUGCACUAAGAGGACUACGGAAUGAGUACUCAUUAAGCACAUAAUUCUCCCUAUGCAUCUUACCAAAACAUCGCAAGGCUUCUUCGAAUCUUUCAUGCUGCACAUAACCUGACAGCAUCGAAUUCCAUAAGCACUGGUCAGGUUCCGGCAUUGACCCGAAUAUCUUUUCCGCUUCAUCAAGAGAACCCAGUCUGAUCAACCCUCCUAAGAUCGCAUUCCGCGUGAAGGUAUUCUUCUCAGGCAUUCUAUCGAACAUCCUGUGGCCGUCGUCGAGGCACCCGCAUCUCACAUAGACAUCGAUGAGCCGGUUCUGGAUGAAAACCUCGGCGGAGAACUGGGUCUUAAUGAUCCGAGCGUGGAUGUGGCACGCGUCGCGCGCUGACAUGGACAGACCGCAGCCGUCCGGGAGCUUGGCGAAGGGGGACGAGGUGGCGAAAGACAGAUAGCCCGCCAGAGCCUUGACCUGCGCAUGCCUCGCCAUUCCAUCAUAUCAUCGUAAGAAGGGAACUCUCUCGGAGAAGAUUCGCAAAGGUGCAAAUUGAAUGCGAUGGGGAGUUUCUGUUGACCGUUAUAUGCUUCCCCGCUUCAGCCAGACGCGCGGGAACAUGACACGAGCGCUCAUAUGAAGUGGGGCAAAGUUGCAGUGGCAAAAUGGUAAUUUAGCAUAACAGUCUACUAAUUAGACUCAUGACUAUGAAUUAAAUUUUUAACUAUGAGUAAAUCUAAGCUAUAAAUUGAAAUAUGUCACCCUUAAUGGGUAUCUUGUUGUAAGUCACUAAAUUAAGAUUAGUCAUAUUUAAAAUCUAUACUUAUUGCUUUAUCAAUUAUAGUCAUAAGCUUAAUAUAUGACAAGUCAAUUUUAUUGAGAGAUAGCUGGAUUAUUUACAAAUCAAACAUAAAUUCUUGUUUAGUAAUUUUGAUCAUUCUAAUUAUAACUCAUUCUGACCAAAACAAAAAAAUUGUAACUCAUCAUUGAAAAAAUGCAAAAACCAAUUCUAGAGAAUGAAAAUUAGAUCUAUGCUGGAUUAGAUGGGAUAUCUUUUCAUCGGCCCCCUCCCUCGAGGAAUAGCUAACCUUGAUUUUAAGAGAAUAGCUAUUUCUUUGAUGGAGCUAAUCUUGAUUUACUUCUUAACCAACUAAGGACUAUCUUUUCAUGAGUAGAUUGAGAAUAAUGUAGCUAUUGUGAUAUUUUUGUAUUAACUCACAAUAUUGGUAAUGUUCUAACUUAAUUGCGCUUAACUUUAGAGUAAAACUACCAAGAUAGGUGGCUGUACCUUCAUGAGGUCACUUAUCUUGAUAAUGCUCUAACUUGACCACGCUUAACUUUGGAGUGGAAAUAUUUAUUGAUCUCAUGGGGAAGUGCUUGUCUGCAUGCCAAAUGAUAAAAUCGUGAAGUUUGAAAUGGGAUGGGUCUCAAUAGAUUAUAUCUCAAGUGAAUUAACUCAAAAACAUCACAGUUAUCUGUCCUAGAACAAAAGGUGCAGUUGGAUUUUCAAUUAAGACGCUUCUUGUUCAAGUAAGGUUUGUCCCUUUUGUUUUGUUUUGUUUUUUCGCUUUUUAUUUUUAUUUUUUAUUGUUGAAUGAAUAAUUUGGACAUCGUCCUGUUAUGGUAAGAAAAAUCAAUUGAUCUUCUAAAAUGUGCGUUGCUGUGAGCCUUUGUGAGGGAGAGCUUCAUGAUAAGAAAUGAAGCCCAUCUGAACGCACAUCCAAUCUGUCAAGGCUUUGAAACUCUUUCGGCUUUAUGCGACCAAGAACCGUCACAUCUGGGAGUUGUCUCCGGUUUUAGAAAGGUCUAUUGAUGUUCUUAUUUCCUGGUGAAGUAGGAUAUGUAAGACAGACAAAUUCCUGGGAAGCCUAGGUAAGAACCUGAGGUUCUUAAAAACUGAGGACAAGUUUCCUGAGCAGAGGAAGGAGAAUGAGAUAUGAAGAUAUGGUGGUGAUUUGCCGGGCUUUCAAGACUCUAGUUUGCUUAACCUUCCAAUCCACCAAGGAUCAUGGAGCUUCUUUAAGUCCGUAAGUGUCCUCAGGAUACCUCAACGCAUAUAAACACAGCCCAACUUGGACUGAGGUGCAAUAAUAAAAACGAACAUAUUCAUAACUUAUCUUUCUGUAACUCACCUGAACUUCAAGUGCCUCCUCGUAAUUUCCUAUACUACUUAGCUUCUCGAGUUUCAUAUCAUUUGCUUCACGAACGGUAUCUCUCCCAAGGUCUCUUAACCAAUCACGCAUCUGCAGUCGAGAGUCUUUUCUAAUUUUUAUUAGUCAUCUGCUGGAGAACUUGAACAGCUUCUUCAGAGAAGAGAUUACAGCUCUCCCACAUGUGACACAAUUCUUUUAUCAAACGCAAUGAAUAAUCGAGCAAUAUCUAAGAAUAUGUUUUCUGUCAAGAAUCUAAUGCCUCAAUCCUGAUCAUCAACUUCUUUUUAACAUCCUCAUGAGGAAAUUUUUCCAACCUUGUCAAUAUGGUAUUCAGCUUUGUUAUGGUUUUCCCCGACAAGAAUGAACCUGCAACCUCAAGUGCUAGAGGAAGACCAUCGGAAAUAUUCACCACUUGUAUUGAAACAAGGAUGUACCACUUUGAUGGAUAAUCUCUUCCAAAGGUGUGUCUGCUGAAACGUUGGAAAGAAUGAACAAAAUCCGUGCAAGUAAGUUCAUAAGUGCAAUCAACCAUAGUCGCACUGAGUACUCCCACGUUUCUUGUGGUAAAACCAAUCAUGCCUUGCCACGAGAGCGUGUAAGUGUAUUCUUAUGUCGACAUCAUCAGGAAGUAGAACUCUUCCGGAGGAUUACCUCUCCUUAAUUGUAUUUAUCCCUUCAUCACUAUUAUUGAUUUCUGACCAUUUCCAUACUAGAGAUGAGUUGAUUCUGCAAAUACUCUACACUCUUUUGCUUUGACGUUUCUCGAAUGUCAGCAAGGAAGCAAUGGCAAUUAAAACCAUCUCAAAAUUUAUUGUAGACAAUUUCGGCAAGUGUCAUCUUUCCAACACCACCCAUUCCAUAAAUUCUGAUCAUGCUUGUUUCAUUCGUGCGAGCGCCAAUCAUCCUCAUGACUUCAUUUACAUAACUAUCCACUGCAACCAAGAAAUCUGAUAUUACCAGUAGGCCUUUUUCAACUCCAUCAAAACCCCCAACCAAAAAACAAAAAACAAAAAAAAAAACUCAAUGAACUCCAUCAAAACCUUCCUGACAACUUCCUUUCAGAACUUACCUUCCCUCUGAUGGCGUUCAAUGCAAAAGAACCAAGAUGUUGAAAUGAGUUAAACAAAGUUCCUUCCAGGAAACAAACAAGUCAUAAGGGAUGAAUUUAGUUACCUUUUGGGAUUGUUUUGGAAGUCCCUUCCCUUUAUUGCUUUAACCUCAAUGAAAGCAGCCCUCCAAGUGUGGAGAGUCUCAUGAUCAAGCCGCUUCUUGUUUUCAUGAGAAUCAAAGGCUUUGUUGUAGAAGCCAGUUUGAUAUCAUACCCCUCAUGGUCCAACAUCAUAGAAAUUACGUCCUCUUCUUUUCCUGCACUCUGCCAUCUGCACCAAUUCGUUGAGGCACCAUUCACUGGCAGCAUAUCCCUUAGAGAAGAUGGGUAUCAAGGAUUUUUAACUGCUCCAUCGCUUGAAGAAGAAGCCCUUCAUCAUCUUUACAUACUCGAAUUCCAGCAUCGUUCAUGUUGGUAUUCAGGAAAUCAGGUAUGCCAGAGCAUAUCUGGAUCUCUAAAGCUGAAGAAUGCUUCUUAAUCAUAUUUUAUUGAUUUCCCCCUUUCCUGAAUAGUAAGGUGCAACAAUAGCACAUCAAUAUCUGAAAUUACAUAGUCGAUGGUCAUGAUGCGUCAUCAUAAUUAUCUUCUCUUCCUUUUUGGUACAUUUCUGUCACCAAGACUUACCCCAAGACAUUCAUACUGCACCUGAAAAUGUUAAAUACGUAGAUGCAGUGAUGAUCAGGCUAAUUUCUUUCAGAUGCCAAUGCAGAAAUCUAUUCUGGUAUAGAGAACCUCUUUGACAAAAGCAUAUUUUUUUUUCUUGGCAUUUUGUGCGAGCAAUUAGUAAAGCACAGCACCCUCUUUCUUUACGGGCCUCGUAACAGUGAAAGGGGUAAAAUGAAACCUAUAUAAAUGAUAUGUAACGAUUUUCUCUGGAAAGAUGAGCCAUUUCAACUACUCAGAUUUACUAUCCAGACUGCCCAUAUUAGUUUGUUAUAUAAAUGGAAAUACAGUCCUAUUCACUAAAAAGAUGCAAACACUAUUCUGAGUAAUGCUCCAAAUGGCCAAUGAAAUAAGAAAACAAAGAAAAGUGGAGCAACAUUAGUAGUCUGUUUAUUGUUUGACUUAUUUCUGUUUUGAUGCACUACUAAGUGUGAUUAUAAAAAAAAAUGACUUAUUACCUGAUGAUGACUCCUUUGAUUUCAAGUGACGAGGAAGUGGAGUUCUGCAAAAACAUUGUCGCUCAUUACAAAGUUGGAUUCUGAAGCAGAAAUAACAAAGACAUGAGACACUACUUAAUACAGAGGCCAAGAGUUCAACAAGAAGGAAUACGUAUUACUUGGUCCAUCUUAAAUUUUGGUCAAGGCUUCACAACUUUCUUAUCAGAAAGCACUGCUCAAAGAUUGCCUUCCUCCGCAUUCUUUUUCAUUUUAUGCAAUUGAACCUAUAAUUGCAGGUCAAAAGAGAUUAAUCAUAAGUGCAAUUUGCCGCAAAAAAUGUCCCAUCUUUCUGAGCGGCUUAAUUGAUUCUUACUAGGUCAUAGAAAGGAAGUGUGAAUCUACAUCACAGUUAUCUUCAUAACCUCCCUUCUUUGAUGUUAGCCACAUAUUUGACAGACAAAUUAUGUCAAAAGAACAACAUUCAACUAGAAAUUCCGUCAAACAACUCAAAAUCUGCAGGUUAGAUACCAUUUCUAGUUCCCAGAGGAGCUUGGAUUCAUCAUAAGGAAUUCUGCAGAAAGGCAGAAAACAAGGGAUUAUUGAUAGCCAACAUUCAGCUUUGCUAUCCAUAUAAACUCACAAAUCAGCAGACAAUUUAGCAUUAAUUAGCUCAGGUAAUAGUAGAGACACUAACAUUCAUUCAUGAGAGAAUAGGAAAGAAAUAACAGUAUGAUGGUUGACUUGCAACUGAUGGAAAAUCAGAGAUUGGUGUACUGAAGUUCGAAUAAAGUGAAUAAAAUCAAUGGCUUUCCUGUCUCUCUCAUGUGCUUAAAGUUCUCCAAGUUGGCUAUUAUCUCAUCUCUCCAUUUCUGUCCUUAAUUUCAUCUUCUUGAAUCACUAUGUACUAACUCAGAAGAGACUGUGUCAGGCUAUAACUAAAUCCCAUUAGCCAAAUGAAAUCAAAUAAUUCCAAUAUAACUAAUUUAAAGGUUACCUCGGAAACCAUCGAGGAUGUGUGGUGCCAGGCAACACGACGUCGAGAUUGUGCGACCUCUGCAACCACUGCCGAAGGGCUGGAUUUGGGUCGAUCGACCCUCAACCUCAACACACAGUGGCUCAGGCAAAGACAGCAGCUCGACAGUCAGUGCGGCCCAAGUGAGGGCCAUUAGGGCUUCUCGAUGCCAGGUGAGGUGACACCGAGGUUACGUGGCCUCCCCAACACCUGUAUAACUCCACAUUUCUUCCUUUUUUGUGAAAAAAAAAAAGGACAACUAGCCAAAAUGUUGACUGCUCUGCAUGUCUCAUUUGCUAAUGUCAAUGAUACACUGGCUUCACAGUUGCUUCCUCUCUUCAAUGCGUGGGCCAAAAAAUGGUUCAUUUUUCCCCCUUCCACGCUGAUCAACAACUCCAAAUAAUAUAUUGCUUUAAGAUCCUAAGAAGAAGAGAGAUUUGAAAACUGAUUGAUUCAUCAUGAAAUCUAAAGCAGUAAUCAUUACACUUUUCACAGAUCAAUUUGCUGGUUAAUUCCAAUCGGUAAAUAGACUCUCUCUUUGGCUGAUUCCUUGGCUCGACCUAUUUACUUCCUUGGCUCAGACUUGGUGACUUCCUUCAAAGUCCUCCAAUCAUCAGAUCCCAGCAAAUAUUUUAGCUUCUCACACUCAUGUAUCCUCAAAUAUUUUAGCUUCUUGACGCUUGAUGGAGCCGGUAGCUUUUCCAGAUCUCUGCAGAACUCUAUACGAAGUAUCUCCAGUGAUUCUAGUCUGCCUUGAAUCUCAACCAUUUUAGGACAAUUAUACAGUUCAAGUUUCGUGAGCUUGCUUAAGGUAGUGAGGUCAGGCAAUUUUUCCAGUGAUGUAACUCUAACAAACUUCAAUGAUCUCAGGUUCUCCAAGCCUUCGAGACCUUGAAUCUCUGUUAUUUCACAACUUGUAACUUCCAAAUCCGCUAGUACCCUCAAGUUUGAAAGGUCUAUCGAUGUCUUCAUUUGCCAACAACCUUUUAUAACUAAGCUCAACAAACUCGCAGGAAUCCUUGGAAGGCAUUUCACGUUUUCGCACCUGAGCUCAAGUUCCUUGAGUUCAGAAAGGAGAACGAGGUCUGGAGAUAGGGUGGUCAGGUAAGGAGAUUCCAGCCAUAUAGCCUCUAGUUUGUGUAACCUUCCAAUCCACCAAGGACUGGAAGUUUUCUCAAGUUCAGAAGGGUCCAUCCUAGAACUCCACAAGACCAAACUCAAAUCUCUUAAGUUCAAUAGGUUUGAGAGAUCUGGGAAUGUCUUCAUUGACCAAGUGCCAAAGUAAAGACUGGUCAGACUUUCAGGAAGCUUGGACAAUCCCGAAACUCGAGUGUAUGUCAGUCUCAAGACUCUUAGAAACUUUAAUCUCCCGAUAUUGCUCGGCAUUUCCCCUUCCAAACAUCCACAGCGGUCAGCAUCUACCUCUUCAAGCUUAUCCAAUAGUGCUAUGGCACUGGGUAGUUUUCUCAAGGUACUGCAGCAUAUUCUCAGUACUUUCAAAUUCUUCAUAUUUCCUAAUGAAGAAGGUAGCAUUUGAACCUGUGAGUGGGAUAGAUCCAACUCGACUAGUGAUUGCAAGUUCCCAAUGGACUCUGGAAGUUGAGUAAUCUCAGUUGCUACCAACGAAAGCUUCAAUAAUGAUGCUAAGCAGCCAACUGAACUACAAUCAUUCAAAUUUUUACAAUUACGAACACUUAAGAAUUUCCAGUUUCUUCAUUCCUCUCCAUUCGGGAAUUUCUCUUAUUGAUGUGCCAUCCACAAGAAUUUCUGUUAAAGCUUCUAGUUUAGCAAUCUCAUCUGGCAGCUUGCUGAGUUUAGUGCAGAACUUUAAGUUUAAGAAAACUAACUGCUUUAGCUGACCAAUAGAUCUAUCAAUAUGGACCAACUUCUGACAUCUUUCAAGAAUUAAUCUCUCUAAAAAUACAUGAGAUGAGAAGUCAGGCGUUCUAUUUAACUUUCUGCACCCAGUCAGAUUUAGAACCUUUAAAUUCUUUGCCAUCUGUAAGGGAGAACAACAAAAUUUCAAUCCCAUUAAGGAAAUAGGUAAUUAAAAAAAAUAUAUUGAAAUUAUUUUGAAACACCUCCUAGGCUUCUACCUUGAUGUGGCUCCAUCCACUCCAUUUUUUUUUGUAAUUUUACUCCAUGAUAGAUCAAGAAUCACUAGCUUUGUCAGGGAAAGAGCGGUCAGCUCAAAAGUUGCCGGAAAGUUAUGCCAUGAAAGCCAUCUCAACAUUAAAAAUAUGUAUGGACUCCUUCGGAAAAAAACUGGCUGGAAGAACAUUCAAGCAGCAACCACACCGAAAAGAACUGACUUGAGCAAAACAAUGCAGAUUUGUGCUUGUCUCAUUGGAGUUUAUGCCAUCUACUUGCAAGAACCUUAGGUUUGAUAGACUGGCAAAUGCUUCAUAUGUAAUGUUGUAUUCGCAACUACUUUCAAACUUGAGUCAAAUUGCUUCAACAUUUUCUAAUCCCUGGCCAUACAAAAAGGGAAAUAGCAGUUAGAAAGCACAUAGUUCUUGUUUGGAAAAUUAUAUUCACUUGGGGUGCUAUCUUUCCUCGAAAUUUAUAUAUUACUUUAGGAGAUGUGUCGGUACUGUGAGCGGAAAAGAAAUAAUACACAAGAAAUUCUUUUAAUUGGUGAGUAGUUAAAUAGAACGCUCUUGAGAAUGAAUUGACUUUGUACACUCACCUUCGUCCUCAUAAGCAGAUCAAACACUUCAUCAUGAUUCCAUACUCUGCUUUGCUUCUCUGAUUUCAUAGCACACUCUUGACGAAUGAUUUCACGUCCAAGGUCUCUUAGCUGAUCAUGCAUCCAAAGACAGUUGUCUUCUUUAAUCUUUAUUAAAGACAUCUGCUGGAGGACUGCAAUGGCUUCUUCAGGAAAAAGCUCGCAACUUUCCCACAUAUGGAUCACAAUUCUUUUAUCAAAACCAAUGAAGAAACAGGCAAUAUCAAAGGAAUAUGCUCUUUUGUCUAUCAUCUAAUGCGUCAAAACUGAUCUUCAACUUCUUUUUUAUGUCCUCAUGAAGAACUGUUUCCAGCUUCUUUAAUGUGAUAUCCCGUUGUGCUUUGCUUUUUCCAGAUAAAAGCGAACUCAUAACCUCCAGAGUCAGAGGUAGACCGCCACUAAUGUUCACGGUUUUUGCGGAGUAAGGGAGGAAUUCCUCCAAAGGAUAAUCUCUUCUAAAUGCAUGUCUGCUGAAAAGUUGCAGAGGAUGCUUAAAAUCCAUGCAGGGAAGUUCAUAAGUCCAAUCAACUUUGGGCUCAUGAAGAACAUCCUUGUUUCUGGCGGUAAUGAUAAGCUUGCUUCCUUUGCCAAACCAUUUGCGCUUCCCCAGGAGAGCAUCCAGUCGAAUCCUUUUGUCAACUCAUCAAGUAGAAGUAGAACUCUUUUAGAGAAUAACCUCUCCUCAAUUAUCAUGGUCCCUUCAUCCACAUUAUCAAUGUCCAGCCAUUUCCUUCUAAGGAGUAUAGAGAUGAGCUGAUUCUGCAAAUACUCAACACCCUUCUGCUCGGAAGUUUCUUGUAUGUUAAGCAACAACCCUCAAAAUGAUGGGAGAGUUGGUUGUAGAUGAUUUUGGCAAGUGUCGACUUCCCAACACCAUCCAUGCCGUGGAUUCCAACAAUCGUAGUUUCAUCAGUCUCGGCAAACACCAUUCUCAUUAUUUCACCCACAUGAUUGUCCAUUUCAACCAAGCAAUCAGAUACGACUAAGUAGGCCUUUUUCAACUCAAUUAAAACCUUGUUGACAACUUCUUUUACGAACUCACCUUUACCUCUGAGCAUUAAAGGCAAAAGAACUUAGAUACUAGAUUAAGGUGCAAAAAAACUAACCAAAAAAAGCAAUAACAGAAAUUCAUCACUGGAGCAAAACACAUAAUAGACCAUGAUGAAUAGCAAGACCUGUUCGGAUUGCUCUGGAAAUCCCAUCCCUUUAACGCUCCUACCUCAUCGAGGGCAGCCUUCCACCCAAGGAUGGUAUUCGCAUCAAACUGCUUCUUCUUCAUGUGCGAAAGAAAGGCCUCACCAUAAUCCCCAAUUUUGUUUUCGAACCUCGGAUGGCCUGACAUCGAAGAAAAUGGGCAUGAUCUUCUGCCCCGUAGCUCUCUAGCACUCCAACAUCUGUACCAAUUCCAUAAGACACCACUUACUGUCAGCAUAACCUUUGGAGAAGAUGGGUAUCAAGAUUUUGGACUGCUCAAUUGCCUGGAGAAGCACUGGACCGAUCUCUUCCCCAGAACGGAGCUCUUCGUUAUCUCUGUAUGCUCGAAUUCCAGCAUCAAUGAGACUGGUAUACAGGAUAUCAGCGAUGUCCAAGCGUGUAUCCGGUCCUCUAAAGCUCAAGAAUACUUCGUAACAUGUUGACAUGGCUUCACAACUUCCAGCGUUUGAGAUGAUUCGUUACUAGACAAGCAGCAGCAGAAUCACCGACAGCUUCUGUGAUCCCGUUGUCUGUUUUCACCUCUUCACUGGGUCGUACAAAAAGAUGGAAACAAUGGAAGCGACGACCAAUGCCAAGUGCGAGGACCAACCUGGGUACACCCUCUAAACCUAUGAAAACGAUGCUGUGAAGAUUUCUGUCGGGAUGGGAAACAAAUGUACGUGAGAUCUGCUCAGGUCAAUGAUUGCUGUCAGUCUUUUUCUGGUUAACCUUGUAUCUAAUGUAUUCUAUUGUCUUCAAAAACUUGAGAAGGAAGCUUCCUCUUCACUUCAAUCGAGGCAUACACGGUUUGGUUAUUUUUCUUGGCCAUGAACACACACAAUUAAAACGCGGCCUCUCUAUGGCAGCCACGAGGGAGGUUAGGAUAUCCUCGACGGAGCAUGCGAACAAAAUAGACAGCUUUUGCCGUAUUAGUGAUGACUAACUUGGAUUGUUACUAUUCUUCAUAUACAAAAGCUACUUAUUCCCGAUACGUUGAUGAGUCCGUUAAAACUUUGAAAAUUACUUACCCCAUAGAGGUGGAGAAGUUGCUUAUUACAAACAUUGAUAUGUUAAUUAAAUGUUCUUAUUAUAAUAGAUAGAGCUUGAAAAGGGGUUUGCUUCAACCAAAAUUCAAGCCCUGAAGAUUUCAAGCCACAGAUUCCGAAACCUCGAUAUACUCCAUCUCAUAGGCAACCUCAACAGGGCAUUGCCUCAUACUGGCUAGGUGCUUUGCUCCUGAAGUGCUUCUAAUGAGGUUUGAACCUACACCACGAGAAAAAAGGCAAACUAACUCCCUUGCUAAUUUCUAUAGGCCAAGAGUAACUUUUCCAUGAAAACUCUAGCAAGUGAUAGAUAUGCACUUGCUUUUAGGAGCAAAUACUAAUCAUGAUGAAAAGAUCCCUUCUUAAAACAAUUGACAUAUAGAUAAAAAAAAAUUAUGAAGAGUUACUGACUAAUGGAAGACUAAUAGACUAAAGACUAUUUAUCUUUAUGCAAACAUAGGAAAAAAGGUUACUGAGUACUAAUGAUUACUUAUUUUCUUCUAAUCACCACGGUAAAUUUACUAAUAAAAGUACCUAGCACAUUGACACUUACUUUUUCGAGUGAUUUGACAUAAACCAAGUGGAGGUCUUACUAACCGAUUAAAAAUAUAUUAUAUCUUAAAUGAAAAUCAUGUGAUAAAUAACUUCUCAUGAGUAUCUAUAUUCUCUUCUCCAAAGUCUAGCAUAUAUAAGUAGUUAUAAAUUUUAGGCCAAUUACCAUUUAAAAAAAAAAAAAAAAAACUCCCAACUCUACACUUCUGUUAAUUUCUUUUGCGGAGUAUAAAGCAUAUGAAAAAGACGCCAGUACUUAUUCUUUUGUGUACAAUCUACCCUUUGUUAGUCUGUUAGCCGGCAAAGAAAAAAAGGUCAUGGCCUUAUUGAUGCGGCAACUAAGGUGACUCAGUAUCACCAUCAAGUGUCAUUAACAAGUAAUUAAUAGAAAUUGAUUGUUAAAGAAGCUACUUAUAAAGAUUAGAGAAAAAGGCAACAGAGGAAAAAAGUGCGAGGAAAAUCGAGAGAGAGGGAGAGAUGAAAAGAUGACUGACUCAAUUAUCAUGCAAUCACAAACAGUAACGAAAGCAGAUCAAUGUAUAUUAGUUGAAGUUAACGACCAAUUUCAAAUAGUACUCAGGUCUCAGCACGACCACAUCACUACUCAAUCUCAAGCUCAAUCUUUCGGCUUCUCAGUAUUGUUCAUGAUCAAACAUGUUGGCUUCUUGAAGCUGGUAAGGUUGGGUAGCUUUUCCGAGGCAGUCAAUACGGUACAUCUCCAGUUGUUCUGGUCUGCCUUGAAUCUCAAACAACUUAGGACAACUCCACGGGAGAAGUAUAGGACGCCGUCUCUAUUGAUAGCAAAGCUGCAAGUAUUAACGAUAGUCAACAAUCUCUCGCAUCUAAAUGGCUUAGUGGUCUUUUCGAUUAAAUAAUUUCUAUCAGCUCAGUUCGAAAAAGAUUAUGCUGGUAUUUUACUAGGUACACUAUCGAGGGCAUGCAGCUGCCAUGUUGAAAGGUGAUAGGUGGUACACAUGGCGAAGUUCUUAGAUACAAUCGAGAUUGACUUUAUGGACAAAAAAAAAAAAAAGAGCUAGUGCAAAGUUUGGUUAUCGAAAUUUCCAUCACCUUGGUCCUUCAAAAGUUUGUGUUCUUUGGACUCUCUAAGCUUCUUCCUACAGGUGGGAAAUUCGAGAUGAAUCUUUAUACUCCUUCACUCUCUCUCGACCGCUACAUGACAGAAUACGAACUGUGGAAGAGAAGAAGACUUCAAAUCAUUGAUAGUCUGUAAGUGAGAAAACGGUAGGAACAAAAGAUGCACAGCAGAAGCAAUAUGAAAAACAAUCUUCGAGCCCUCGCUCUUACACAAUAUCAGAAUAACAGUAAUAAGGAGCUUGCAGUACUUAGAGCUUCUGAGAUGCCGCCCAGCCACUGAAAUAAGGCGCAACCAUCGCCUACAUCCUUCCAUCCACCAUACUAAAGUCCAAAAGAGAAAAAAUAUCUUAAAAAAUUACUCUGACAAGUCGGAUUCAACAAGAUCAGACUGCCUCUCUGCCUUCAAAGUUCUCCACCGAUCAUCACAACUCAGAGAAUCUGAUAGCUUCUCACACUUACGUAUAAGCAAAGAUUUCAGCCUCAUGUGGCUUGAUGGAUCGGGAAACUUUCUGACAGAUUUACAGGACACGAUCCAGACUGUCACCAGGGAUUCUAGCCUGCCUUUGAUCUUGACCGCUUUAGGACAGCAGUGCAGAUAAAGUUUCUGGAGCUUCUCUAAGUUGGUUAGGUCAGGCAACUUGUUCAAACAACUCCUUCAAGCUUUAACACUCUCAGGUUCCCCAAACCUUGGAGGCCUCUGAACUCACUUUAGGGCAAUGAGCAACUUCCAAAUCUGACAGCCCUUUCAAAUUUGAAAGGUCUAUUAAUGUUUCCUGCAUGAUUCUAUAUUUAAGUACAACGAAUUUGGGGAAGGCAAAAUGGGCGUCGCAGCUUCUUGCAGUGGACCAGUUCAAGUUCCUUGAGCUGUGAAAGAAGACUAAUGUCUGAAGAUGGGGAGGUGAAAUAAUGACAUUCCAACCGCCAGGACUCCAGCCUCCCUAACCUUCUGAUCCACCAAGGACUUGGAGCCCCAUUGAAUCAGAAGCAUCCUCAAAAUUGUCAAAACCUGGAUUUUCCAUAGAAUUUGAAUACCAGAUAAGUAAGUAAUUUAACAUCGAAUGACACACAUUCUUUUGUUACUUUACAUAAUCAAAACCUUGUACAAAAGAUCCACCUAUGUAUAACACUAAUCUAAAUGUCCCUAAACUCCAAACCCAACUAAUAAUGGACAAUAUUUUGGAGGGGCGGGUCUAAUCUCAGUAAAUGAAAGUUCUAGGUCCACCUCCUCACCAGUCAAUCCAAGAACACAACAGUAUAGUAACAAUUAUUGUCAAUUGGAAAACAAAUACUCACUUAAGGUAUGCAAUUCAUGCAUUAUAUACAAAUGACUAUAAUUAUUUGUGCAAUGAAUAAAAUAGAUGCACUCCAAUGCACACAACUCAAUUACUAAUCUGAUGUGCACAAUACCCAUUGCUCAUCGAUAUACACGAGUUAUUUUAUUCCCUACUUGUCACCGGUCGUAACUCAUCUCAACAAGACAACAUCACCACCAACUCAUGAGAUGAGGUCAUACUACAGUCACAUGAUGAUGGCUAUCCCAUAGUCAUUCUCAUUAACAUUCAUACCCAUUCCAUUUUCUUUCUCAAUCUUGAACCUCAAGUUCAUAAUAUCACAUAUAGGCUAUUUAAUUCGCAUCAUGUUACACAAGUCAUAUCAUUUCAUGUAUGAAUCACUAGACUUCAUAUCGUUUCAACCGUAUAGAGACCCGUCUUAAACGGUAGAAUAUUCGUUUUUUCCAAGAGUCUUAUAAACAUACUCAGGAAAAUUAAUCGUAGUGUUGUUAUAUUACUAACAACACUUGCAGAAUUUCCAUGGAGUUGGUAAUUUACUUAAUUACUAGAAUAUUGAUAAAUUCCCAAUAGUCUUGUUCAUUCACUCACGACAAUGGUAAAAUUUCAAAGGUUUUGAUAAUUUACUACUUCCUUAUAUUGAUAAAUUUCUGAUAGUAUUAGUAUUUAUUUAUUAUACAGGUAGAAUAUAAGAAGAUUUGGUCAAUUUAGUGGAAAUUUUAUAAAUUUCUGAUAAUAUUGAUAAUUUACUGCUGAUUUACGUAACAAGCAGGUAACUUGAAAUGCGGUCAUUAAUCAUUCAGAAGCCCCUGUAGAAAUCCAUUUGAAGUUAUGAAAACUAAAGGACCUUUGUGACCAUUGCACAUGAUCAUUAACUAGAGAGGGUUAUGUUCAUGCUAGACACAAUGUUUUGCCCCUACUUCUUCAUUCCCUCAAUGUGGAAAUUUUCAUGGGAAAUCCUUAACAAUUCUGUGAUUAUGGUCACUGAUGUCAGAUAGAAUUCACGACACUGAAUGCAACCAAGAACAUCAAUCUCUACAAAUGAAAUCUGGAGCAAGUCAUCUUGAAUCCUUGAUGAAUUUCUUCCAUAACGAGAUUUAAUCACUAAGUACACCAGCUAAAAUAUUAGAAGUAAGUAGGACCACAACAGACCAAGAGAAGAAGAAAGAAAAUUGCAGAACCAAUCGAUUAUAGUAAGAUUUCAUGCCUUCCAGGACAAUAUUUCGGUUUUAGCUCGACCUCGACAAGCUCAGAAGAACAACUGAUUCCCAUUUCCCCAUGUAUGGUUUGAACUAGUUCCUAAGGAGCGAAAAUCAAUCCCCUCACGGGUGCAGAACCGAACUGAGGCACAGGAGUAGAGAUGUGUUUCAAUAGAAUGCGACUUGUGGUUUAGACCAAAGCUAUUAAAGAUUAGAUGCAGUUAUGGAAGAAAAAUCAACUGAGUCAGCUCCCGAGCGAGUUCAUCGAAAGGCCGUUUUCAUUUCGUGUGUAGGACAAGUCACGACUGAAAAUAAUAAAAAAACAACUCAAUCCGCCCCAAAUCUUUUCCUAAUCUAUCACAGAUUACAUCGAAGAUUCGCACGCGGACCCAAUUCAUGAAAAUGCGAAGAGAAAAUUACCAGAAAACCAAAUAAAGAUGCGAAGAAGGAAAAAGCAAGACCUUGUUUUAAGACUCGUGGGAACAGAUCGGGGGGCAGGAAGACGGGGGUGGCAGUCCCCGGAGGGAGAUCUCCGCCUGGUCGAAUCGCGUCUCAUUCUUGCGCUCGGGGUCGCCGUCGCGUUCCUUGACAGUCGGAGUCCGUCGCUGCUGGUUCUGGGUGAGCUCCUCGCUCGGGUCGUCGCCGAUGACUGAUGAGGGAGGAAGACGAAGGAAGGAGAACGAAAGAACGUGAGAAGACAGAGAGGGGGGGCAACGGGAGAAAAAACGAAACAAAAAAAAAAAAAAAAAAGAAAGAAGAGAGAAAAAGUUGAUAUUUCUUAAAGAGUGGGUCCCACCUUUACUCGCGUCAUUUGGAGAUAAUAUUCCUCACUAAUCUGAUACGGAAUCUUCUCUCCGUGAUUUCAGUCUCUAAACCAAAAUUCUUGAAAGGCUCUCCUCACUCUUCCUCCAAAAGUUCUAGAGUGGCUCUUCUCAGUUCUUUGAAAUGUUCGUACUGAUCGGAUUCCAGAGUCUCCUCCAGAGUCUCCUCCAAUCUCUCACAUUCCUUUAUACGCACGUGCCGUAGCUUCUUUAAGUUUAAAGGACCAGAAAAUUGAUGCAGAGACCCGCAGCCUUCUAUUUCAAGCAUGCCCAAUGAUUCUAACCUACCUGGAAUCUCAACCACACGAGGGCAAUCUUUUAAAGACAACCGGAAAAGUCCUUGGCAUAGGUCAGGCAACUUCUCUAGCAACGGAAGAUUUUCUAUAUAUAAAGCUAUCAACUUCUCUGAAGCUUCCAAACCUUGAAUCUCUUCUACCUUCCAACAACUACUUAUAAUAUAUACUCGUAUAUGCUUGAAGCUCAAUGGAUCAGGCAACUGUUUGAGUGAUUGACAGUACUCUAAACAAAUAGACUCCAAUGAUUCUAGCUGACCUCGAACCUCAACCAGUUUAGGACAAUAAGAUAUCAAAAAACUACGGAGAUUCAAACCGGUCAGGUCGGGCAACUUCACCAAUGACGGAAGAUGCAAAAGAUUAAGCGAUCGCAGGCUUUUCAAAGGUUCCAGAACUUGAAUCUCUAUUAGCUGUUCACAAUAAGAGAGUUUCAAUUCUGAUAACUUCUCCCAAUAUGAAAGAUUUAUCGACUUUUCCAUUAACCCACGCCCAUCCAAAUGGAAGUAUGACAAAUUCUGAGGAAGCUUAGGUAGCCAUUCUAGGUUAUCUGCGACAAGUUUAAGCUUCCUGAGCUUUGAAAGGAGAUUAAAAUCUAAAGGUAGGGUGACCAAAUCAUCACAAUACAACCCCAAGGACUCUAGCUUUCUUAACCCUCCAAUCCAAUUGAGGCUUGGAGUUGGAUGGGAAGGGCUUUGAUGCUCUAAUUUCAAUGUCAAAACUCUCAAAUUUAUUAGGUUAGACAGAUCUGGGCAUCUCAUCUGUAGAUUAUUGGUUAGGACUAGUUCGGUCAAACUUUCAGGAAGCUUAGGUAUAUUGGAAAUUCUCGUGCCCGAUAACAUCAAGAUUCUUAGAAAUGAUAGCUUUCCGAUCUCACUUGGAAUUUCCCCCCUCAAAUAUCUACAACUGCUAGCAUGGAUCUUUUCAAUCUUCUCCAAUGAUAGUCUUCCAAUCUCACUUGGAUUUUCCCCACUCAAACAUCCAUAACUGCAGGCAUAGAACUCUUCAAGCCUCUCCAACUUCCCAAGGGCGCUAGGUAGCUUUUCUAACAUGGAGUCAAAGAUCCUUAGUAUUCUCAAGUUCUUCAUCGUCUCUAUUGAGUAUGGUAACUCUCGUAUACUUGAACAAGAAAGAUCUAACUCGACAAGAGAUCCAAAAUUUCCAAGUGGAAGUUCACUCAGCAAGCGACAUGACACUGCACUGAGAGUUUCCAAUUUCUUCAUUCCGUUCCAUUCAGGAAUUUUGAUAAUAGAUGUCCCAUCAAGAAGAAGUUCUCUCAAGUCUUCCAUUUCUUCCAUCUCGUCUGGCAAUGUCCGAAGUUUCCCACAAUAUUUCAAGUUUAAUAACACUAAAUGCUUCAACCUACCAAUAGACCUAUGGACUUCAACCAGUUCCGUGCACCCUUGAAGAAUCAGUUGCUCUAAAUUUUCAUGAGCAGAAAGGUCAGGAGUUCUAUGCAAGUUUCCACAUCCAGUCAAAUUUAGAACCUUCAAAUUCUUUGUCAUCUGUAAUGAAGAGAAGAGGUUGAUUCUGAAUACAUUUUGAGAUACUGGACAGCAAAGUCAAUAUAGCAAAUUCAUGUCGAAAUAAUACCGUACCUUGAGGUGGUUCCAUCCCUCCCACUCAUCAGUAAUUUCACUCCUUGAUAGAUCAAGAAUCAUUAGCUUCUUAAGACAAAUUGUCAUGAAUUUGAAAUAGACAGGAAAGUUAUGCCAUGAGAGCAUUAUCAAAUUAGGAAGCAUGAUCGUAUUCCUCUGGCACAAGUUGGUAGAAGGAAAAUGCUGACCGUUGCUCUCAUCCAAGUCUACACAAUCCACUUGAAGAAAUCUUAAUUUUGAUAGGCUUAUAGGUUCUUCCUUCUCAAUUAAGUCUUGAAAUUGAUGAUCAAACCUGAGACAUAUUGCUUCAACGUUUUCUCUUCCCUACCAAAAAAUAAAAAAUAAAAACAUUAAACAAAAGAUAGUGAUCCCAUAAUUGCCAGUUGAAGGCAUUCGAGUUGAAUAUACUUGAGAAUGUACUUCUUACAUAUAAUUUAAAAUUAAUUUGCAAUAUAAUUUACAGAUGAGCAUGUGAUCUUACUAAGCACACAAGUAAUGACUCGGUUAAGAUAGAAGCAAAUAAGCAAAGUCAAUGUGUAUAACUCAUCUCUUUGAAUAGGAACAACAUUGCAAAUACUUUACCUCCUUUAUUUCAAGGACAUCAAUCGAUUCCUCAUGAUCCCACACCCGACUUUGCUUCUCAAUUUUAAAAUGAGCUCUUUCACGAACGAUGUCUCGCCCAAGGUCUCUUAGUUGUUCAUGCACCCACAGUUGGUUACCUUCGACAAUCUUCAUUAACGAUUUCCGUUGGAGGACUUCCAGAGAACAUUCAGGGAAAAGUUUACGGCUGGCCCAAAUGUAAGUCACAGUUCUCACAUCAAACCCAACAAAGAAGCAACAAACAUCGAGAAAUAUUUCCUUCUCUUGAGGUUCUAAUGCCUCAAAACUGAUGUUCAGCUUACUUUUAACCUCUGUAUUGGGAAUAGUUUUCAAUUUUUCUAAUGUUUUCACCCAAAAUUUUCUGUCAUUUCCAGCUAAAAAUGAACCUAUAAUCUCUAGAGCCAAAGGAAGAUUACCGCAAAUUUCUACCGCUAUUUCCGAGAGGUAAAUAUAUUCUGUUGGGGGAUGAUCUCUUCUAAAGGCAUGUUUGCUAAACAGUAGAAGAGAAUGAUCGAAAUCCAUUUCAGUAAGUUCGUACUUAAAAUCAACAUCUUUGAGAACUUCCUCAUUUCUUGUGGUAAUAAUAACCAUACUUCCUCUGCCAUACCAGUAUUCACCUGUCCCUACGAGAGUGUUUAGUUGAGUGCUUUGGUCGACAUCAUCAAGUACAAGUAAAACCUUUUUAGAGGAUAACCUCUCCCUAAUCGCAGUAAUCCCUUCAUUAAUAGUAUUGAUGGAUGACCAUUCCAUUCUUAGGACUUUAGAGAGAAGCUGAUUCUGCAAAAUCACAAUCUUUGUCUCUCGAAUGUUAGACAGGAAGCAACAGUUAUCAAAAUCAGCCAACAGUUUAUUAUAGAUGAUAGUGGCAAGAGUUGUCUUUCCGACACCACCCAUACCAUGGAUGCCAACAAUCUUUGUUCCAGUGGGCUGUGUACCCAUCUUUUCCAUGAUUUUGUCCACAUGAUCGAAUUUUGUUCCAAUGGUCUGUGUACCUAUCUUUUCCAUGAUUUUGUCCACAUGAUCGUCCAUUUCAACCAAGUAAUCAGGUUCUGCCAAGUUUUUCUUUUUUAACUCGAUCAACAGCGUCCGAACAACUUCUUCUGUGAACUCCCCUUUGCCUCUGACAAUAUUGAAGGCAAAAGGACCAAACUGUUAAAUUGAGAUGAACAUAAUAAUACCAAGCUACAAACAAUCAUGAACAAUAAUAAUUUCAAAUACCUCUUCUUGAGUUCCCAUCCUCUUAAGUCUGCAACCUUGCUGAGAGCUGUCUUCCACUUCUCAAUAGUCUCAUUAGUGAACCGCUUCUUAUUUUUGUGUAAAGUAAUGGCCUCACCGUAACCUCCAAUUUGGUAACGAACCUCAGAUGGUGCUAUGUCAUAGAAAAUUGGCAUGAUCUUUCGUCCAAAGUUUUCCUUGCACUCCACCAUCUGGACCAACUCCAUGAGGCACCAUGGACUGGCAGCAUAUCCUUUAGAUAAGAUAGGAAUCGAGAUUUCUGACUGCUUCAUUGCUUGGACAAGCUCCGGGCCAAUCUCUUCCCCAAUGGGAAGCUCUUCAUUAUCUCUAUAUGCCCGUAUUCCGGCACGAAUGAGGCUGGUGUAAAGGUAAUCAGCAAUGUCAAGGCGAGUGUCUGGUCCUCUAAAGCUCAAGAAUACUUCAUAAUCAGAUCCCGUUGGCUUCUCCAUUUCCUGAAUUUUCAGAGGAUUUGCAAUCACCUGAUAUCCCACCAGAAAAAUGUUUACCAUGAAAGCGGAGUGAUGAUUAUCACGAUUUCUCUUAGAAACUCUUCUGUUUCAAGUAUCUCUAGGAAGAAACCAAGAUGACAAAUGCAAGAGCUUCUGUGCUUUGCACUAGACACCAAAAUAUAGUAGAGAAGUAGACCCAUCUCAAUUCUAAAGGAAGAAAUUUCCAAAGUAUUGCGGAAAUAUAAGCUAUGGUUCACACUUGAAAUUGAUUUGAAAGAAUAAUAUUUUGAGAAGAUAAAUCACUAUCAACCUAUAUUCGUCUUAAACUAUUACUUAUGUGAUAAAGUUCCUCUUAAAAGCUGACGUUGAAUGUCCUCUGCACAUCAUGCCUGCUUCUGCUUGUAGAUUGACUAAUUAUCUUAUUGUCUGAUAAGAAAUAAUGAUGAAACCUUCCUCUUUUAUUUUACCAAAAUAUAUUUGACAGACAUUCCACGACCCUCAAUUAGUGUUCUCUUGGCCUUAACGGACGCAGGUGAAGAAUCGCCCCCAAUGAAGAUCUCUAAUUGGAAAGGCGAAAUCAAGAAAUUACACCGGAGCUACUUCAACCCCCUCCGUUGGACUAGUUUCUAAAGAGCAUAAACCGAUCUCCAAUUACAGGCACAGGGUCAAAGGCGAGCAUUAGAAGCUAACGUUCGCAUUUGCCAGAAAGUAUCAGCAUAUCAGAAAAAGAGGGGUGAACUACUAACCGAUAAUGUAGUUGAUGAAAUUUCAACAGAAAAAAGAAGCAUGAAUGCUAUAAUUGUUUUUCCAGAAAAUAAGUUUGAACACGCAGGAGUGCAGGAACAAGAACUGUACUUUACGGAAGCGGGGACAUUACAGUCUAUUCAAUCUGUCUCUACUGUUGAAUACAGUGUUAAGGGUAUCAAUUUCUGCCUAGGAGCAUUCUUACUGCUAAUCACUGGACAAUAACGUAUGAAUUUGUCGUCUGGAAGUCUCUUAAAGAUACCACUGUCUCUGUUCGCACAGAAAUUAAAAGAACAAAAAAGUCCCAUCAAACAAAUGAAAUCAACAGAUCCACUCAAACUAAUUUAGCCUUGAGCGCCAGCAAUCCACGCGAAAACUCAGAGAGAGAGAGAGAGAGAGAGAGAGAGAGAGAGUACGCGGGUGGCGAGCGCGUAAGACUGAGCGUUGUCGAUGAUGGAACCGGACUUGCCUCCUCCUUCGCCGCCGCCGCCGCCGCCGACGAGCUCACUCCGAGGCUCGACACCGCUCGCCUCCGCUUCACCUUCGUGCUGUGUCUUCUUCUUCGCCAUUCCCGCUCUCUGAUAUCAGAAAGUUCCGAUUUUUCGACACGGUACGAGGUCGAGUGGUCAAGGGUUCAGGCGUCGAUCUUGGCGGUGGUAUUGCGUUUCAGGAUCUGAGGCCUGACAGUUGCAUAGAUGGAAGUGGAUGAGCACUGAGCAGGGUUUUAGCAUGCGACUCAAGUUAGAGGCUAAAGCUAUUAGUGUUAGACGCAACUAGCAGUGAUCAAUCAUAUGAAGUCAACUGAGGAAGGAAUUUGAUGCUGAUCUGAGAGUCCCUCUAUUGUUUCCCUCAAAUUCUGCAUCUAGUUGCAUUACAGAACAGACCCGAUUCAAUAAAAAGAAGGCAAUAAACGAGAGGAAAUUACCGGAGAUGGAGGGGGUGAAGAUGAAGAGUCCAGAUCAAAUGCUGAGAAGCAGAUGAAGAUCCCAAGAAUAAACAAACGCUCUUGGCUUUUGAGUUCAGCUCAAGAGAGGCGAGACUUCUAUGAGACGGUGAAUUCACCCUCCCUCGCCGUGCCCCCUUCUAGGAAAGUGAGGGCUUGCUAGUUGCAGGGAAAACUUCAGGCCGACCGAGAAAAAGUGAAUACGCGUUUUGCUCUCGACUUUUGAGCAAACGAGGUGAGUUACUGGGAAAUUUCUCGAAGUCCGGAGACUUUUUGGCACGAUGGGCGAGAGUACAAGAGCGUUUUCGUUGCAUGUUAUUAGUUUAAAAAUCAUACAAUUUAUAUUAAUUGAUAUUCUUUUAACGACGAUGAAGGUGAAUCCUAGGCCCGUUCAAAUUUUACAUAUAUUAAAUCAAAAAAUGUAGAGUUCAUGUAUUUUAAGUAUGUCAGAAGUACACAUAAUGAGUUUGAAAAAUAAAAAGAAAUCAGAAAAAAUAGCGUCGCAAAUGUUAUAACUUCCUCAUAAUACUUAACUAAAUACUAUAACUUGUUUGAGAUUAAGUAAUAUAAUUUUCGUUUGAUGCUCACUUAAAUACAAUUUUUUUUUUUAUCACUAGUGCCAUGACUUGUCAAAAUUGUUCACCCAAGAAUGAAUGUUCCCGUGAGGACCGCUGGCCUACCUCUGUCCUUCUAGGUUCUCCACUUUUGACGCUUCCUCUUUUCUCCAAAUUUUUACUUUAUUUUUUUUAAUUUUUUCUUAAAAUCUGCUGACACGGCAGCUAUAUCAAUGCCUCCAUCUUCAAGGAAAAAAAGUCAUGAUCAUUUUUCCGAUUAACCAAAUUUGAUGGAAUUAAUAGCAGGAUUUGAUCGCACUAAUUUAAUAAAUUUUAAAAUUUUCAAAAAAUGCAAUCAAAUUUUAAAAUUUGAAGGCACUUUCCCAACAUAUUUUAAGAUUUAUGGAGCAUUUAUUCCCUCUUAUGAGAUAAUAAUACAAAUAAUAUUUAAACUUUGGCUUAAUAUGUAAUGUUAUUCUUAAUUUUUUAAUUUGUUCAAUGUGAUAUCUAAAAUAUUGAUAACUGUUCAAUUUAGUCUUUAGAUUAAAUGCAUUAUUUCCAUAUAGUUUAACGACUAGAUUGGAUAUCUGUUAAUAGUUCAUGGAUCACAUAAAAUAAAUUCCAAAUUCAGAGACAACGUUUGAUAUUGGACAAAAUAUAAAGAUUAUUUAUGUCAUUUUUUUCAUUUUUUAAAUCUAAAAAUUUAGAAACUUAAGGAUCGACAAAUAAUUCACAUAUAAUUUUUUUUGAUAAUUUUAUGAGAUUUGAACAAUAAUUUAAAUUUUGACAAAAAGGUAAAAGAACUAUUAUUUAAGUCCAAGCAAAGAGGCACUAGAUCAAUUAAAUUUCGCCAUUUCUUUACGGUGUCCCUUCGUGUGGGCACCAUUUUCAUGGGAGAGACGACUGGUGCGUUGACGCCAAGGAAAGUGAGGACCUGUUGGUUGCAGGGAAACUUCAAGCCGACCAUGAAAAAGGGAAUACGUGUUUUGCUUUCGACUUUUGGGGAAAUUGAGUUGAGUUUCUGGGAAAUUUCUCGAAGUCCAAAGAUUCUUUGGCGCGAAAGGCGGGAGUACAAGAGAUUUUCCCGGGUGUUAUUUGAUUAGAAAUCAUUCAAUUUAUGCUAAUUGAUAUUCUUUUAAUGACAAUAAAACCCUAAUUUUGUAGGUGAAACCCAGGCCCAUUCAAAAUUUUUUUUUUUUGGUAAAGGUAAGUAGCAGGCCCAUUCAAAUUUUAUGUACACCAAACCCAAAAAUGUAGAAUUCAUAUAUUUUAAUUAAGGAAAAAGGCCACAAUAAACCCCAAACUUUAAUAACCGCGACACGUUUAUUUCACCAAUGACAUUUUUUUCUUAUUUUUUCCGUUCUUCCUUUUUCUUUUUCUUUUUCUUUUCCUUUUUUUCUUUUUCUCUCUUCCCGCCGCCAUGGCCAGGAGGGAAGAGAGAAGAAGAAGAAAAAAAAGAAAUUUUUUUUUUAAAAGUAAAAGAUGAAAAUACCCUAUAGUUCAGAGUAAAUGUGUCACAUGAAUACAAGUUCAGGGAUUUUUGUGUCACAAAAAAGUUUAGGGUAAAUGUGUCAUGGUUAACAAAGUUUAGAAUUUUUUAUGUUAUAAAAAAAAAUUGUAAAUUUGUCACUUUGGGCAAAAUUUAGAGUUUUUGGUGGUUUUUGAGUUCGUAUGACAAAAAAGUUAGAAAAAAUAACACCAUAAAUGCCAUAACUUGCGUACAAUACUCACUUAAACACUAUAACUAUUUUUUUUUUUUUUUGUGGAUUGAGUGAUAUAACUUUUGUUGGGCACUCACUUAAAUGUUGUAACCUUUUUCUUUCAAUCACUUGUGCCAUAACUUUUUAAAAUCAUUCACCCAAGUGUUAAAAAUUCAACAUGAUAUAAUAUUCUUGAUGACCGUUUUUAAAAGUCAUAGCAGUUAAGUAAAGUUAUGACACUCAAGUGAAUUCAUUUUAAAAGUUACAGCACAUAAAUAAUCGGGAAAAAAAAUUAUGGCAGUCAAGUAAAUGUCGUACGAAAGUUAUGACAUAUGGGGUAUUUUAUUUGUCAAAAGUUGCAUUUAGUCAUAUGAGGCGGUUUCCACCGCGGUUUCUCUCCCCCUCGCAUGUGAUUCCGAGGGUCAGCUUCCACCGCGCGUGAUGGUGGCUGUAGUGUCAACACCGAUGAACACUAAUAAGGCGGCGGUAGCAAGGGUGGCAAGGGUGACGAGUCGAGGAGGAGGAGGCGGUGCAAGUCGCGUGAGGCUUGCAAGGCCGCCGCUCUAGCGAGGGCUCGCCUCGUGCCUCGACAACAAGGCGAGCCUUCGCCAGAUCCGGCGGGGGCUCGCCCUGCCGUCACUGGGCACGUGCCAACUAGCAAGGUGAGCCCUCACCAAACUCGGCGAUGGCGAGGCCCCCCUCGCCGGAUUUGGCGAGGGCUCGGCCCGCCAACCGCCUCAGUCCGGCAAUCAGCUAGCCCUCUCCUCUGGCCGAUCGCCGGAGCUAAGGGAAGAAGGAGGAGAGGAGGAGGAAGGAGGGAGAGGGAAAAAAAAUAAUAAAAAAUUUCAAAAAAUAAAAUAUUAUUAAAAAAAUGUUGUCGGCACCAACCGGCCAUUUUUAGCCGGAUGGACCGAUCGGGAAGAAUUGUAAAAGUUUUAGGACUCAAUUGAUCAAAAAAAUAAGUUUAUGACUGAAUUGUCACAAUUGCAAUAUGUUUAAGACUGUUUUGGUAAUUUUCCCAUAAAUAAAGCUCCAAAAAUAUUUGCACUACUAGUGAAAGCUUACCAACUAUAUAUGGUUUGAACAGAACUUCCAAGAUUGGGGACAUCAAUAUGUGCAACCAUAGUAGUGUGUUUGGUCAACAUUUAGCAAGUUGGGUAGCCACCUGACCGUUGUGUAGUUGGAAUAUUUGGGGUGAAAUGGUAAUGUCCAUAUCACCACUAGAAGGCAAGGCAUCCAGAAACUUAUUUUUUACCAAGGAAAGUUUUAAGAGAAAAUCAAUUAUCCUAUAGUCCAAAAAUUGGAAAUUACGAAAUUAUAAGUAAAUCAUUAACUACAAAAUGCAACUUAAUUUACAUUUAUAAAUUAUUUAUGAUUAAACAUAAAUUAAUAAAUAUGUUGAUAUGCAUCGAUGAUGAUUGAUCAACAAAAAGAAUUAUUACAUUGUUUUUAAAUAGUGACGGGUAAAUUAAUUUAAAUAACUAUCAUGAUAAUGUACUAUGGAUAUCUAAAUCUAAAGGAAAUGCAAUCAUACUGUAAAAUCUAUGUUAAAUAUUGUUAUUUUUAUUGCAUUUUAUUCUCAAAUUGGUUUCGUGCCAUUUUUCAUUUGUGUUUAUUUUAAGAGAGGCGCUCAUGCGGUUGCUAAUGCCAAAUGUUCAAUUUUCUAAUCAAGAUAUGAAAAAUUGUUUGAAAAUUUUGGAGAAAUAAAGAUCUUGAAAAAAGGAUAGAAAAAUCAAACGAGAAAUCAUCCUAAAGAGGUGCAAAAGUCUCCAUCAAGUACCUUGGAACAUCAUUUAUUUAAAAAGAAAAUUGAAAAGAAAAAAAAGCUCCAAACAGUGUUCAUGACGGUGGAGAUUGCAUUUGUUGUUGCAGGAAUUCAUCCUACCAUAAUCAAAUUUAAUUCGUGAAAUUUAAUCUGCUUUUGGUUUCGUGUGAAAUUUAUUUGCCCACGUCAUUGAUGGAGCUCUUGAAGAAGCAUGGGAAGGUGGUAGAGAGGGCCAAGUUGGCUUUGCUGGAGUCCGACGAGGAACGUUGGCCAACCACCGUCCUUCUUGGUUCUCCACUGUUUGACUCUUUCACUUUUUUCCAAAUAUUUUUUUCAGGAUUUUAUUUCUAGAAAUCUUGGAAUCAAUUUUUUUCCCUUUUUCUUUUUCUUAAAUUUUGCUGACAUGGCAGCCAUUUCAAUGCCUCUAUCUUCAGGAAAAAAAAAAAGUCAUGUUAUUUUCUCCCAUUUACUGAAUUGAAAGGAGUUAAUAGCGAGAUUUGAUUAUACAAAUUUAAUAAGUUUUAAUAUUUAAUUACACUUUUUCAAAUUUAUAAAAUAUGAUUCCACCUUUAUAACGUACUUUAAGACUUAUGUUUAUCCUCCCUUAAAGAUAAUAAUACAAAUGAUCAUUGAACUUGACUUAAUGUGUAAUAUUAUUCCUAAAUUUUUAAUUUGUUCGAUGUGAUCUCACAAUUAUUUAUAGAUGUUCAAUUUAAUCUUUAGACUAAAUUUGCCAUUUCCAUAUAAUUUAAAAAUUAGAUUGAACAUUAUUAAUAGUUCAUGACCGCAUUGUAGAAAUUAAAGCUUAAAAACAAUAUAACAUAUUUGGACAAAGUUCAUCAAAUUAAACGAAUUAAAAAUUUGGGGCUUAUUUAUGUCAUUUUUUUCAUUUUUUAAAAUCUAAAACUCUAGAAACUUAAGCACAACACAUAGAUUCACAUAUAAUCUUUUGAUAAUUUUUUGAAAUUUGAACAAUAAUAUAAAUUUUAACAAAAAAGUAAAAAAAAAAUUACUUUUUACUUUUAAAAAAAAAAACUCCAGACAAGCAUUAAAUCAAUUACUUUUCGCCAUUUCUUUACAAUGUACCUUCGCGUGCCGGAUGUUAAGAGUGAUAAGAUGCAGAGGACACCUUUUUCAUGGGAGAGACGACUGAUGCAUUGCCAUGUUCUUCAGCGAUAUCGUCCCAUCCAUCCAUCACUAUGUCUCUUUCAUCGCACGAUGCGUCGCCAAGAAACACCUGAAGCUCGGCAUGACCGUCCACUCCCACCUCAUCAAGACCGCACUCGCCAGCGACUCUUUCCUCGUCAACCAUCUCAUUGGCAUGUACUCCAGAUGCUCUUCCAUCCGAACCGCCCACAAGGCUUUUGAUGAUCUCGAUACAAAGAACAGUCACUCUUGGAACACCAUCAUAUCUAUAUAUGCUCGGAUAGGCGAUUUCAAGAAGGCCCUCGUCUUGUUCGAUGAAAUGCCGCAGAGGGCUCUUGUCUCUUAUAAUUCCUUGAUUUCUGGGUUGUCCCGUCAUGGGUUUUAUGUGGAGUCUCUGAGUAUCUUCACGCAGAUGUCAAAAGAAUAUGAUUGUCUAUUCGUGGAUGAAUUUACUAUUGUGGGUGUUGUGGGUACCUGUGCUGACCCGGCGCAUUUGAGUUCUUACGCCAGGUUCAUGGAGUUGCCAUCAUAAUGGGCUUGGAAUUUACUAAGAUUACUUAUAAUUCCCUGAUUGAUGCUUGUGGGAAAUGUGGUGGAGCCGAUAUAUGCUGGGCCUUGUUCGACGUUAUGCCUUAAAAGGAUAUUGUGUCGCGGACUUCCAUAGUUGUUGCUUGUACAAGAGCUCAUAACAUAAAUGAUGCUUGUGUAAUAUUCAACAAUAUGCCAGCGAAGAACAGAGUCUCCUGGACUACACUGGUCGCAGGCUUUGCAACAGAACUUGGACUUCAAUAUCUGCAACCAAAAUUGUAAGUUAGGUUAGCACUUAGCAGGUGCGGCGGUCAUCUAUCCAACCUUUAUCUAGUUGGACCACUUGGGGUGAAGUGGGGGUAUCUCUAUUAACCCUAGAAGGAAUCCUGAAAUUUUUGUUUUGCCUAAGAAAAUUUGAAGAAAAAUUUAAUCAUCCUAUUAUUUAAGAUUUGAAUAGUCCAAUCAUUGGAAAUUACGAUUGGUUAUAAAUAUUAUAAAAUGAUAAGUAGAUGACGAAGCACAAAAUAUAAGUCAACUUAAUUAUAUUCAUAAAUUAGCUAUGAAUAAAAAUAAAUAAAUAACAGAUUGGUAUAUUGAUGCUAAUUAUUCAUAUAAAAAUUGUGCCAUUACGAUUUUUUUUUAAAACAAUGACAAAUUAAAUGAGAUUUCUAGUAACGCAAUAUUGUACUAUAGGCUAACUUUAAUUUAUAGUAAACACAAUAAUAUGGUAAAAUCUACUUUAAAAUCAUAAUGCACGUGAUAAAUUACUGAUAGUGUUGGUAACUUACAACAAUAGUUAAAGUUCAUUAAAAUGUUGGUAAAUUUCUGAUGGUGUUAGCAAUUUACUUACAAUACUGUUAAAAUUUCAGAAGAAUUUGCAAUUUACUAAAUUAAUGAAAAACUGAUAAAUUUCAGAUAGUAUAGGUAUUUUACUACGAGUGUACCUAACAAGCAAGAACAGGUCUUUUUUUUUUUUUUUUUUUACCAGCACGAUUGCCAGCAAAAUUGCAAUAUUACCAACAGGGAAGACUUUUCAAUUCUCAAGUCCUGCGGGACCGUAGACUUUCGCCAAAGAUUCAUACAUCUCCGUCCCUGCGACAAAAACUUAAAAGCCCACUAAAAUUUCAAAUGGUGAAAUUUGAAACGCAGUCAUGAAUUCACUCUAAAGCACAUGUAAAAAUCCAUUUUGAGUUAUCAAAACUAAAGAAGCUUUGUGAUCAUUGCACAUGAUCAUUAACGGGAUGAUUAGCCCCUACUUCUUCAUUUCUUCAGUGUGGAAAUUUUGUGAGAAAUCAACAACAAUUCUGUGAAUAUGGAUAUAGUUGCUAAUGUCUACUUAAAUUCGUGACACUGAAUGCAAGACAUUCUCAGGGUAUUGUCUCAAGAACAUCAAUCUCUGUGAAUGAAUUCUGGAUCAAGUCAUCUUCAAUCCUUGAUCAAUUUCACCGAAAGCCAAAAAUUGCCCUUCAUAUCAAAUGAGGCGACAAUGCCGGAAGAGUGCUACUACCAAGGACGGAUAGAGCUGUCGCUUUUCAAAGAAAUUAUUACAAACGAGGGAAAUUUCAAAUCACCUACUCGUAGAAGAAUCCAUUUUGAAAUCAUCUCUCGACUCUAAAUACGUUUCUAACGAUUUUCUCUAAGUUGCCUCUAAUUGAAGAUAAUUUUUUUAAGUUCAAAUCUGACAGGAAGUUUUUCUGCUUGUCGUAGAAAUAUAUUGAUAUUCACAUCACUUAGUCAUACAAGAACUUUACAUUACAAUCAUGGGAUGUCUUCUCAAAUAGGUUGACAAAGUGAAUGUUGCUCAUUCAUAUGAAAAGUUGAGGGUAGGUAGUUGAUACAAUCCGACGACGAGGAACGGAGGUAGGUCGAUACAAUCUCCCUCCCUCCCCCCUGACGUAGGUAUCCAAAGUGAGCUGACAAUCAGAAAAGAACAGGCGAAACAAAGAGAGAUGACCAACAUCACGCCCUCGUGGAACAGAGCAAAGCGCAGGAAGACGUGGUCACAGACUCACAGUCCCAGAGAGAGAUCCCCGCCAGGUUGAUUUGCACAUCGUGCUUCCACUCGGGGUCGCCAUCGCAUUCCUUGACGGACAGAGUCCCUUGCUGCUGGUUCUGGGCGAGCUUCUUGCUCGGGGGUCGUCGCUGACGAUGGAGGAAGAAGGGAAAAAAAAAUGGAGUGAGAAGAGAGACGCAGCUGGAAGAGAGAAGAAAAAGGAGAAGAAAGUCGAAAUUUCUCAAGAGGGGGUCCCAUUUGUACACGUGGCCAUCGAUUUACGGUCUCAAGUAUACUCUAUACAUGGCACAACGUAUUACCCUCCCAAGUUCUUUUGUCGGCCUUGCCAAUUUUUUCAGAUUUGUGCACUCAUCGGAUUCCAAAGUCUGCUCAAACUUCUCAGAUUCACCUAUAUAAAAACUUGCCAGAUUCUUGAAGCUUGAAGGAUCAGUUAACUUUUGCAGAGACCUGCAGUGAUAAAUAGAAAGCCUCUCCAAUGAUUCUAGCCUACCUCAAAUCUCAACCAGAUCAGGGCAACUUACUACAUUAAGUGGCUCAAGCUUCUUGCAAUUGGUCUGACGGAAGAUUCCUAAGAUUUAAGUACUUCAGGUGCCCCGAAUCUUCUAGGCCUUGAAUUUCUUUUAGCUUCCAACAGCCAGAUGUAAGGACUUGUUCUAUAUUUUUGAAGCUUAAUGUACUAGGCAACUUUUCAAGAGAUUCACAGGACAUAAUAUAAAGUAUCUCUAACGAUUCUAGCUGACCUCAAACCUCAACUAGUUUAGGACAAUUUAAUAUCCACUUUCCUUUUAUUGAUGACCAUGGCGAGGGCAAGACUCAUGCUCUGAAAGCCUUAUGAUCCAUCUCUUUGUUCUGUUAGUAUUUUGUCUACAUAUUUAUAUGUCAAUGAACUGAACUUUGGGUUUCUGUUUGUCCAUCUACUUGCGCAAGUGGUAAUAUACUUAAAUACAUUACCAGAUUUCUUCCAACCCUCUUCCUGUUUGCUUUGCAUGAAGCCGUCCUCUAGAAAUCUUACUUUUCUAAGCUCUGCGAGCCCUAUAUAAUCCAUUACACAGCUAAUCUUUUGAUUAUACCCUAUCCUGAAUUUGAUCAUUUCUUAUGUCAGGAAGAAUGAAUCAGGCUCUCUCAUGUUUUUAUGCCUUUGCUCGAUCUUGGUAUUCACAGUCCAUGCUAAUCGUUGGGUUUAAUGAGCACUUUCCUUGACUCCUCGUUAGUGGUAAGUGAUUUUGCAACAAUAUCUCUAUCAGCGUAAUGAGAAUUGUCAUUCUCACGCUCUGAAUUGAAUUUGCUACAAAACCUAUCCUUUGCUGUUGUCGCCAAGCCCGUCAUACUGAUGCACUGUGUCUAUUUACUUUCAGAUAACAUCGCAUCGAUGUGGAAAAGAAAUUCUGAGUCGAACACUUUUCCACUCGCUUUAUCUCUGGAAUGUCGACCCAUCAUGAUGUAUUAGUAAUUAGAAGCAAGCCAGUCUUGCUAAGGAGUGAAAAUUUUUUUUUUUUUUUGGUAGUUUUUUUUUUUUUUUUUAUAUAAGUUUCUUUGUACUACAGAACUAAUUCUGCGAUGGUAUUCAUGUCGAGAGAGCGGCAAGAAAAGAGAUUCCGGCAUAUUGCAUAUAAUUUCUUUGAACGCAACAUGUUGGAAACCGCCUCUAUUUUCAUUUUCCUGUAUCGUGCAUAUUAAAAGAAAAACAAGAGAACAGAACCAACUUGACCUGGUUAGUCAUUUGAUGAUUUGGUUCUGUAUUUUUGGCAGGGUUCACAAUUCAAUCGAUCCUAUUUAUUUAAGAUGAGUUGGUUUGUGAAAAGAAAUUUAUGUAAAAAGCGGAAACUUCUAAUUUGACUUCAUCUAGAGAUCGUCAGUUUUCUUGCCGGCUUGUUGGUCAUUCCUAGGAUCUUAUACUUUCACUUGCUUUCCUCACUUCUUGAAUCAAAAUUCCCUUGCGUGUACAUUCAAAACAACAGGCUUUGAUAAUUUGUCGACAUUUCCUAGUACUGACACACAAAAGUCAUCUCCAUGUGUGAUUUGCACCAAGAUUUGCAGUUUCACAUCUCAAAGGGGAGGAUGUUUGCUUGACCUCGGCACAAAUGUCUUUCGGGAUGUCUCAGAUGCCGGUCUCUUGAGCUGGUGAAUCCUUCUCCUGUUCUUCUGUUCCUUUCAGCUGGUGAAAUCUUCUACCCUGCUCUUCCUCCAGGAAGGCGUAGCGGUCGAUUGAUCUGUUUGUGGAGAUAAAAUUUCUCCUCUCUCUGAACCUUCAAUCUCCUCUGCAUUAAUUUGUAUAACACCGACCACUCCAGUUAGUUAUGGUACGCUCUGCCCUCAUGCAGAUCUCCUACUUCUUAUGUCCAAAUAGACUUGUCUUUGAAUCGUGUCAGCUACAACCCAUCAGUGCCAGUGAAACUCGGCCAAACAACAGUGUGCAUUAGACAGAGAAAAGAGAGCUCUUUCUGCUCACACACAUUUUAUCAAAUGUUACCAUGGUAUGAACGAUGAAGAGAAAUCGAAGGAUGAUGACUCUCCAUGAACUAACAAACGGCGGCAUCAACUGGCAUUUCCAUCUCAUAAGACUUGAAGUCUGAUUCACUCAGUUCCUCAUAAUAAGACAUUAAGUCCGAUUCACUCAGCUCCUCAUAGGCCUUGUAAUCAUCCGUAAUGGCGAUGUACCCAUCUCGCUUCAUCUGUCCUAAGAGAGACCUUAACAAAAAAUAAAUAUCACCCUUAUGAGGGUACCUCUUGUCCUUGACAAUGAAGACAAGAACUUGACCCUGAAUUUCUAUCCAUCUACAACCAGGCUGCUUGACUACUCCCCGUUGCCUCAUCAGCUUCCUUAUUCUGAGUUCUGACAACUUCGCCCCAUUUUUUGCGUUCUGCAUACAUGUUCAAAAGCAGAACGUAAGGUCCGGAGUUCGAAGGGUCGAUCUCUAAUAGCUUCUCUGCUACGUACUUUCCUAAUGUUAUACCUUAUGAACUUUGCAGGCUGCAAGCAGCGAACCCCAAACGACAAUCAGGUUGCAUGGGCAUUGUCUCUAUUAAGUCCUUAGCUUCACUGAGACAACCGGCUCGGCCAAGUAAAUCAACCAUGCACGUAUAAUGGUCCUUUACCACUGCCAGAUCAUACUCCUCAACCAUCUGCUUGAAAUAAUGGCGCCCCUCUUCGACCAGCCCUGCAUGGCUGCAAGCACAUAGAACCCCGAUCAUAGUGACACGGUCUGGUCUCUCGCCAGAUACCAACAUUUUCCUGAAUAUUUCAAGCGCCUCUAUUCCAUAACCGUUCUGUGCAUAUCCAACAAUUAUGGCAUUCCAUGACACCUUGUUCCUCUCCAACAUAUUCUUAAACACCCAUAAACCAUCUUCCACAGCUCCACAUUUAACGUACAUGUCUAUAAGAGAAUUUCCAAAAAAAAUAUCUGAUUCUUCUCCAGACUGGAAGCGGAAUCCAUGCUUCAGGACAUGAGCGUGAGCCUGCUGGCCCAACUGCAAAUCGGCAAGAUUCGCACACACAUUAAGCAAAUUUCCGAAUGUGUAGUGCAUCGGCUCAAUGGCUUCCCUCUUCAAAAGGUGAACCAAAUGCUUCUUCAUUCUGUCCAUUCUGUGUAUACUCUGCAAUGAGAGCAUUCCAAGAAACUACAUUCUUCUCCACCAUCCUCAUGAACAUUACUCUUGCAGUUUUGAGACUGGCUGCUUUUGCAUACCCGCUCACCAUGGAGGUGGCUGACACUAUAUUUCUGGUAGGCAUUCUAUCAAAAACUGCUCUGGCCUCACUAAUUCUGGAGCACUUAGAGUACAUAUCAACCAAUGCAUUUCCUAAAACAACAUCAUUCCUAAAUUUGUCACAUUUUACAAUAUGGGCAUGAAUUUGCAUCCCUUCCUUAAGUGCUGACAAGCUAGCGCAGGCGCUGACCACACUGGCUAAAGUAACCUCAUCUAUUUCAAACCCACAAUCUAUCAUGCUCACGAAAACCUCAAGAGCUUCACUGGCUGGACCAUUUUGUUCAUAACACGUAAUCAAGCUGUUUCAAGAAACGAUAUUUCGAGAAUUCAUUUCAUCAAAAGCCCUCUGUGCACAAGCCACGUUCCCACACUUGGAGUACAUGUCGAUAAGAGCAGAGCCCAUAUGAACAUCAGAUGAGCACUUGGACUUCAAUAUCAAAGCCUGAAUCUGUUGGCCCAGAUACAUAUCUGCUAACCCGGCACAUGCGCUAAAUGCACUACCAAAUGAGUACUCAUUAAGCACAUAAUUCUCCCUAUGCAUCUUACCAAAACGUUGCAGGGCUUCUUUGAAUCUUUUGUGCUGCGCAUAACCUGAGAGCAUCGAAUUCCACAAGCACUGGUCGGGUUCCGGCAUUGACCUGAAUAUCUUUUCCGCUUCAUCAAGAGACCCCGAUCUGAUCAACCCGCCUAAGAUCGCGUUCCACGUGAAGGUAUUCUUCUCGGGCAUUCUAUCAAACACCCUGCGGGCGUCGUCAGGGCACCCGCAUCUCGCGUAGACGUCGAUGAGCCGGUUCUGGAUAAAAACCUCGGCGGAGAACGGGGUCUUGAUGAUCCGAGCGUGGACGCGGCGUGGGUGGCGGGCUGACUUGGACAGGCCGCAGCCGUCCAGGAGCUUGGCGAAGGAGAGGUCGCCCGCCAGAGCCUUGACCCGCGCAUGCCUCGCCAUUCCAUCAUAUCAUCGUACGAAGCGAACUCUGUCGGAGAAGAUUCGCAUAGAUGCAAAUUGAGUGCGAUGGAGAGUUUCUGUUGACCGUUACAUGCUUCCCCACUUCAGCCAGACGGACGGGAAUAUGUCGAGAGCGCUUAUAUGAAGAGCGAUGGCAAAGUCGCAGUGGCAAAAUGGUAAUUUCGGCAUGACAAUAUAUUAAUUAGACUCGUGACCAUGAAUUAUAUUGUUGGUUAUGAGUAAAUCUAAGCUACAAAUUAAAAUGUGUCAUAGAUUUAAUAUCUUGUUGUAAGUCACUAAAUAAAAAUAUUUCAUAUUUAUAAUCUAUACAACUUAUUGCUUUAUCAAUUAUUAUUAUAAGUUUAAUAUAUGACAGAUCAAUUUUAUAACCGAGUUAUUUACAAAUCAAACAUAAAUUCUUGUCUAGUAAUUUUGAUUAUUUUAAGUAAUUCAUCAUUAAAAAAAUGCAAAAAGCAAUUCUAGAGAAUGAAAAUUGGAUCUAUGUCGGAUUACAUGGGAUAGCUUUUCAAUGGCCCCCCUCCCAUGAGGAAUAGCUAACCUUGAUUUUAAGAGUAUAGCAACUUCUCUGAAGUAACUAAUCUUGAUUUACUUCUUAGCCAACUAAGGACUAAGUGUCUCAUCAUGAAUAGGCCAGGAAUAGAUAGUUACUGUGUCGUUCUUGGAUUAAUCCAAAGUACUACUCACUUUGGUCCGUCCCAUUUUGAGUCUCAUGGUUUUGUCCUUCAAGCAUAUGGGCAAACACUUUUUCAAUAGACUAUUGUGACAUUUUUGGAUUAAUUCACUUGAAAUAUUAUCCGCUUUUACUCAUUUCAUUCCGAGUCUCACGAUUUUGUCUUUGGGCAUAUAGGUAGACACUUUCUGAAAAGGUAACCCAUGUUAAUAAUAUUCUAGUCUAAUCACACUCAACUUUGGAGUGGAAUUACAGAUAGGUGAAGUGCCUACCCAUAAGCAGGAGAUCGUCCUGUUUUGGUAAGAAAAAUCAAUUAACCUUCUAAAGUGUGCGUUCAUGUGAGCCCUUGCGAGUAGGGGUGAGCAUGGUCCGGGUUGGUCCGGGCCACCCCCUAAGCCUAGGACCAACGCGUACAGUGUCGGUCCUCAAUUUUUAGGACCGAGGACCGACCCUAUUAAGCUUGGGACCAAGGACCGGACCGACCCAAUGGGUUCGGUCCGGUUCCAGGGUCAACCCGGGACCGAUCAAUGAUUUUUUUCGUCUUAUUUUUUGUACUCCAUAAAAAAGCAAACCUACAAAUUCAAAUUACACAUCUAUCGACAAUGCAACAUUGUGCAACUAAACUAUAAUUAUCAAUAUAUAUUUAGCAAAUUUAAGAUGACACAAUAAUAAAAAUUUCGUACAUGCUAACCGCUCAUGGAGAUAUGGGACAAGAUGGAAAGUUUUUGUAAUCAUCACUUAAUUAGCAAAUCACCGUAGAAUUGCAAUACUACUCUACUCUUCAAAAACUUCUACUAUUUGACACAAAUUGAAAAGCAAAGUGCAGCUGAAAUUUAUUAGUAGAAUACAAUUAAAUUAUAAAGAGUUCAAAAUACUUAAUAUAAACCAUAAAUAUAUAACUUCACAUAUUGUUAAUUCACCUUAAUUUCUAAAAACCUGAAAACAAAACAAACGACACAUAAUUAAUACUCAACAAAAGUUUUAAAUUUAAAUUACUAUUAGUGCUAUUGAUAGAAUAUCUCAAUAUAAUAUAAUAUAACAAACAUUUUACUUAGGUUUGAAUAUAUAAAAGAAUUAUAAAUAAUAUAAUAUAAUAUACAGGGUUGGUCCAGGGUUGGACCAACCCAAAACUCUUAGGACCGAGGACCAACCCACACAGUGUUGGUUCUGGAAUUUCAGGACCAAGGACCGACCCAGUCCCCUUGGGAACCGGACCAGGACCGGCAGGGUUGGGCCGGUCCAGGGUCGGUCCAGGGUUAACCCUAAACCACUGCUCACCCCUACUUGCGAGGGAGAGCUUCGUGAUAAGAAAUGAAGCCCAUCUGAAUCCACAUCCAAUUUUUCAAGGCUUUGCAACUCUUUCGGCUUUAUGCGACCAAGAACCGUCAUAGCUGAGAGUUGUCUCAGGUUUUAGAAAGGUCUAUUGAUGUUCUUAUUUCCUAGCGAAGUAUGAUAUGUAAGACGGACAAAACUCCUGGGAAGUCUAGGCAAGAACCUGAGGUUCUUAAAAAUCGAGAACAAGUUUCCUGAGCUUGCAACUCCAAGGACUUCAGAUGGUGUAACCUGUCAAUCCACCGAGGAUCAUGGAGCUUCCUCACGCCCGUAACUGUCAUAAGAAUACCUCGACACAUACAAACGCAAGCUUCUCGGAUUUAAUUGGUAUGGGAGAUCUGGAAAUCUGUACAUUGAGAAAAUUACAAGCACAGAUUAAUUCCAAGCCCACAACACCGUAGAAUUUUGCCCUAAAGAUUCAUACAUUCUCUACUUCUGCAACAAGAACUUAAAUCCCAAUUGAUAAUUUCAAUUGUUCAAACAUGAAACACAGUCAUUAAUCAUUCAGAAGCCCCUGUAGAAAUUUGUUCUAAGUCAUCAAAACUAAAGGACCUUUGUGACCAUUGCACAUGAUGACUUAUCAAAACCAAAGGACCUUUGUGACCAUUGCACAUGACCAUUAAAUAGUGAGGGUUAUGUUCAUGCUAGACAAGAUGUUUUGCCCCUACUUCUUCAUUUUCUCAAUGUGGAGAUUUUCAUGGGAAAUCCGCAACAAUUCUGUGAAUAUGGUCACUGAUGUCUAAUGGAAGUCACGACACUGAAUGCAACACAUUGAACAUUAAUCUCUGCGAAUAAAUUCUUAAGCAAGUCAUCUUGAAUCCUUGAUGAAUUUCUCCCAUGAUGAGAUUAAUUACUAAUUGCAACCGCUAAAAUUUUUAGAAGUAGGACCAUAACAGACCCAAAAAGGAAGAAAAAUUCCAGAACCAAUCGAUUAUAGUAAGUUUUCAUGCCUUCUAGGACAAUGAUUCGGUUUUAGCUAGACUUAACAAGCUCAGAAGAAGAACUGCUUCCCAUGUAUGUUUUGAACUACUUCCUAAGGAGCGAAAAUCAAUUCUCUAAUUGGUGCAGAAGUGAACUGAUGCACAGGAGUUGCAAUGUGUUUCAAUAGAAUGUGAUUUGGUUAAGGCUAAAGCUAUCAAAGAUUAGAUGCGCAGAUGGAACAAUAUCAAUUGAGUCAGCUGCCGAGUGGGUUCAUGGAAAGGCUGUUUUCAUUCCGUAUAUAUGAUAAGUCAUGACUGAAAAUAAUAAGAACAACUCAAUCCGUCCAAAUCUUUUCCUAAUUUAUCACUGAUGCAUUAAAGAUUUGCACACGGACCCAAUUCAUGCAACAGCAAAGAGACAAUUACCAGAAAAGGAAUACAAGUGAAGAACUGCGUCUAUACAGAGUUUUGAGUUGCUGGCCAACCACUGAAAUCAGGUGCGCAACCAACAUUUACUUUCUACCAUUAACCAAACUCAGAAGUCCAAGAGAUAAAAGUAUCUUAAAAACAACAAAAAGAUACUCUAAGUUGGAUUCCGCAAGAUCAGACUGCGUCUAUUCCUCAAGUACUUCACUGAUCAUCAGCACUCAAGAGAACAUUCUACCUUCUCACGCUUGAGUGUAUAAAAUGAUUUUAGCUUCUUGAUCCGGUAACUUCUCCAAAGAUUUAAAAGGAACCUAUCGAAAGUUGCCUCCAACGAUUUUACUCUGCCUCGGAUCUCAACCACUUUAGGACAUCACUGCAGGUAAAAUUUCUGGAGCUUCUUCAGGUUCGUCAGGUCAGGCAACUUGUCCAUAGAUGGAACUCCUUCAAGCUUGAAGGCAAUUGGGUUCUCCAAAACUUGGAGGCUUCCGAACUCUCUCACUUUAGGGCAACGACCAACUUCCAAAUCUGACAGCGCCUUCCAAUUUGAAAGGUCUAUUCACGUUUUUAUUUCCUUGCAUGAUUCGGUAUCUAAGUACAACAAAUUUGGGGGAAGGCCAGGUCGGCAGUGCAGCUUCUUGGAGGGGACCAGUUCAGGUUCCUUGAGCUGUGAAAGAAAAAUGAUGUCUGAAGAUGGGGUGAUGAAAUAAUGAGAGUCCAACAGCAAGGAUUCCAGCUUCCCCAACCUUCUGAGCUACAAAGGACUUGGAGCUUCAAUGAAUUUAGAAGCAUCAUCCAAAUUGUCAAAACCUGAAUUUUACAUGCAAUUUGGAUAUUGAAUUAGUAAGUUACUUAACAUCAAGUGAAUGUACAUAAUUUUUUUUUUAUUACUUUACGCAAUUAACCUUAAAAAGAUAUGUAGAAGUGCUAAUCUAAACAUCCCUAAACUCCGAACGAAUCAAUAUGUAUAAUAUUUUUGAGGGAAUGAGUUGACGUUCAGUAAAUGAUAGCUCUACUGCCAAAAUGGGAGGCCUACCCACUACUCGACCUGAGAACAUAACAAUAACAAUUAGCAAAUAAGGUCAUAUAUUAUUAUCAAUAGGAAAACCAAUAUUCACCUGAGACAGUGUAAUCCGUGCAUUAUAUAAAAAUGACUAUAAUUAUCUGUGCUAUGAAUAAAAUAGAAGCAAUGCAUGACAUUCGUUUUAAUGCUAAAAUGCACACAAUUGAUCAUACCAAAUCUCAUUAUGCAUAGACAUGAACAGCUCAUCGAUAGACACAAGUAAAUAUCUAUUACCUACUUGCUACUAGCCAUGACUCAUCUUGACUAACUCAACUAACAAGACAUUAUGACCACUAAAUAAUGCAAGAAGAAAUCAUAAAUACAUAUUUACCACGCUUCAACCCAUUCCUCACAGGUAUCCUCCAACGAUGAUAAAUACAGUACAAACACAUAAUGACAGCUAUCCUAGACUCAAUUCUCAUCAAGAUUCAUACCCAUUCUAUUUUCUUUCUUUUCUCAAUCUUGGACCUCAAGUUCAUAAUAUCAUAUAUAGGCUAUUCAAGUCACAUCAGGUUACACAAGUCAUAUAAUUUCAUGUAUAAAUCAUUGUACUUUACAUUUUCUCAAUCUUAUAGAGAACGGUAGAACAUCUGUCUUUUCCCAGAAUCUUAUAUACAUACUCAGAAAAAUUAAUUAUAGUGUUGGUAUAUUGCUAACAACACUUGUAGAAUUUCAAUGGAGUUGGUAAUUUACUUACUAUGGGGAACAAGCACACUUGAAGAGUGCAGCACAAUGGAAAGUUGUAUGUCGUGUUCAAAAGUAUUGUUAUUAAUUUACUUACGAUACUGGUUAAAUUUCAAAUGAGUUGAUAAUUUACUACUUCAUUGAAAUAUUAGUAAAUUUCUGAUAGUGUUAUUAAUUCACUUACGACACCGGAGAGUUUCCAGAAGACUUGGUAAUUUACCAAUCUAGUGGGAAAUUGCUAAAUUUCUGACAGCUUUGGUAAUUUACUACCUCUUUACCUAACAAGCAAGUAACCAGUCAUUUUCUUUUACCAAACAAUUCCAAUUUUGCUGGUAAUACCACCAAAAAUUUCAAAUGAUGGAACUAGAAACGCAGUAAUGAAUCCACUCAGAAGCACCUGCAGAAAUCUGUUUUAAGUUAUCAAAACUAAAGAACCUUGGUGACCAUUGCACAUGAUCAUUAUCUAGGGAGCGUUUUAUGUUUAUGCUAGACACAAUGUUUUGCCACUACUUCUUCAUUUCUUCAAUGUGGAAAUUUUGAUGGGAAAUCAGCGACAAUUCUGCGAAUAUGUUUGCUGAUGUCUGAUAGAAUUCGCGACACUAAAUGCAACACAUUCUCAGGGUAAUGCCUUGUGAACAAUAAUCUCUACGAAUGAAAUCUGGAGCAAGUGAUUUAAUCACUAAGUAAAGUAGGACCACAACAGACCAAGAGAAGAAGAAAGAAAUUGCAGAACCAAUCAAUUAUAGUAAGAUUUCAUGCCUUCCAGGACAAUAUUUCAGUUUUAGCUAGACCUCGACAAGCUCAGAAGAACAACUGAUUCGCCAUGUAUGUUUUGAACUAGUUCUUAAGGAGCGAAAAUCAAUCCCCUAAUUGGUGCAGAAGUGAACUGACGCACAGGAGUAGCAAUGUGUUUCGAUAGAAUGCGACUUGUGGUUUAGACCAAAGCCAUUAAAGAUUAGAUGCAGAUGGAAGAAAAUUAACUGAGUCAGCUCCCAAGCGAGUUCAUCGAAAGGCUGUUUUCAUUUCGUAGGUAUGACAAGUCACGACUGAAAAUAAUAAAAAACAACUCAAUCCGUCCCAAAUCUUUUCCUAAUCUAUCACAGAUUACAUCGAAGAUUCGCACGCGGACCCAAUUCAUGAGAAUGCGAAGAGAAAAUUACCAGAAAACCAAAUAAAGAUGCGAAGAAGGAAAAAGCAAGACCUUUUUCUAGACGACCUACAAAACUCUCGUGGGAACAGAUCGGGGGGCAGGAAGACGGGGUGGCAGUCCCCGGAGGGAGAUCUCCGCCUCGUCGAAUCGCGUCUCGUUCUUGCGCUCGGGGUCGCCGUCGCACUCCUUGACUGUUGGAGUCCGUCGCUGCUGGUUCUGCGCGAGCUCCUCGCACGGGUCGUCGCUGAUGAGGGAGAAAGACGAUGGAAGGAGAACGAAAGAACGUGAGAAGACAGAGAGGGGGGGCAACGGGAGGUAAAACGAAACAAAAAAUAAAUAAAUAAAUAAAGGAGAGAGAAAAAGUUGAUAUUUCUUUAAGAGUGGUCCCACCUUUACGCGUCAUUUGGAGAUAAUAUUCCUCACUAAUCUGAUACGGAAUCUUCUCUCCGUGAUUUCAGUCUCUGAACUAAAAUUCUUGAAAGGCUCUCCUCACUUUUUCAAUAAGGCCUCGUACGUUUUUAUUUCUCGAAUUUGUUUAAAAAUAGAUUUUGUGAUUUUUUAUUUCUGUAAACAAAAAAAGAACAGAAACGCGUUUAUUUGCAUUCCUGUUCUUUUUUUAUUUUUUCGUUCCCGAAACAAAAUUGAAACAAAAAAAAGAAACAAAAAAAACUUACUUCUGGAAUCCAGAAACACUUCUUGAAGGCCUAAAAAGAACAAAAAUAAAAGAAUAAAACCGGAACACUUCUGGAGAUGGGUUCGUUCGUGCCUGAAGGCUUUCGUUCAUGUUCUCCCUUUCCCGGCGUCUCUCCCUUCUCUCCGGCGCCUCCCACUCGGUCGACUCUUCGGCGACUCCCCACUCCGCCGACUCUCCAGCGCCUCCCCACUCAGCUGACUCUCCGGCGCCGACAGGUGGUGCUCCUUCAUCGGCUGAAGCUUCCGAAUCCAGGUAAGUUUCUGCUGCUCCUCCUUCUCUGUUCGAAGAGGGCUUCAGCGAGAGCCACCCCUUGCAAAUCUAAGCCACCUUCGCCGACAACCGGGACGCUCGCUCCAGCGACAGCUCGCUCGAGCCUCAAGCGAGCGUUGCUCGCCCAGAUCUAUGGCAGAUUUGGGCGAUGGUUGCUCGCUUGAGGCUGCUCUACCGAGCUCGAGCUGCUGUGGUUGCUCGGCAGAGCAGCUCGGGUUGCUCGAGUGGCAAAGCAGCCUCUCUGCCAACUCGAGCGAGUGACGCCGAGCCCCAAGCGAGCCAUCGCCCAGAUCUACCAGAUUUGGGCGACGGCUGCUCGCCGGAGCUGCUCUGCUUGCUCGGUAGAGCAGCGCAGCUCGAUCGAGCGAGCUACUCUGCCGAGCGAGCUGCUCUGCUGAGCGAGCAGAGCAGCGUAGCUCGGUCGAGGGAGCUGCUAGCUCGCUCGACCGUGGCUGCUCUGCUGAGCGAGUAGAGUAACGGAGUAACGCUCGCUCGAGCGAGAUUGACUAAUUUCAACUUCGAGUUUCGGCAUUUUUCCCUUCCAUCUCUCCUCCUGCUCGCCAGCCGUGCCCUCACACAUUCUCUCUCUCUCUCUUCCUCAGCUUUGAUUUUCCGAGUGAUUCCGUCGGAUUUUCCCAAGAAAAUUUGUCCAAUGAGGUAACGCUUUCGGCUCCCCCUCAAUUGUUUCCGCUUCCCCUCCUCUCUCUUUUCUCUAUUUCUUUUCGUCUCCGUUGACCCGCGGAAAUGCAGGCUGCAGGAAGAGCUCUCGCCUCGGGCCCCGUUCGAUUCGUCUCCGGCUCAUUCUCGAGGGAGUCCGUGGAGGGCUAAGUGAAAGCGCGCUCCUUCCCGCGGUACAUUCGAUCUCAAGGUGGUAAUAAUCCGAAUCUCGGAGUCUGCAGCGUGCCGCGUCAGUUUCAAUAGGACCCUAGAGCUUGCACUUGUUCCGCGGCGAGCGAAGGGUGAAAUCUAGAGGCGAAAAACUUGAGCUUUUGAAUGAUUUGGUGGUUUCCGUUGUCGUUUGUUUCGUUGUGUGUCUUUUAUCAACUAGUGAGUGAGACGAUGAAAGACUGAUGCUUGGGGGUAUCGUACGCCAACCCUUUGUCACUUUUCUUGAAACUCUUCACUUUUUGGCUUGGUUGGAGCAUAGUUCUCUCUCUCUCUCUCUCUCUCUCUCUCUCUCUCUCUCUCUCUCUGAUGAUUCCUUCAAGUUGCCAUUUUGUCCCAUGUUGUUGCAAUAUGAUUCUAUGCUUGAAAUUUCGAAACUUGAGUAUUGUCCAUAAAUUUGGCAAUUCCAAUUGGUCUUUUGGUCUGUCGAUCAGUAAUAUGUACCGCAGCCCCAAAAUGUGACCUUGGACCAGUAAUUCUUGCUCCAACCACGUGCUUUCUUUAUUUCAUUCUUUUGUGUGCUGAAACUACUAUAGAUGCUAUUAGAUAAACAAAAGUUUCCAUUCCUUGGAACAAUUUUGUAGGGGGAGCGAGAUAAAAUAAAAGAGGCUGUAAAAAUUUAGUUCAGGGGCAAGAUAUAAGAAUGUUACAUGAAAUUUUAAAAGUUAAAGUUAACAGAAGGCACUAAGGUCCAUCAUUAUUUGCACGAGUGAAAAAGGUGAAUCUUGUCGUCUAAAUUCCGUUUGAAUUCCUUCUACUUAUUCAAAGAAACCUAAAGUUGAUAAAGAUUAACAAACUGGCAUUUGCCUCAUGGCUUAUUUCGAAAGAAGGUAAGAACCAAGGGUAAUGCUGCCUUGUGUUGGCUGAAAUUCAUAGUUGCAUAUUGUAUGUAACAUUACAAUGAAAUGCUCAGGCUGAUCAUUUGGAUUUCACAGCUCAAAAAUUGGUUGGAGAGAGAGCAUUCUGUUUGAUUGAUCAUUGCUAGUCAUAGUACUAUGUAGUUCUUGUAGCUCAAAUGCAACUUAUGAUCUGUUUUACACAAGUUAGUUCAAGAAUUAUCAUUUUUGAAAGUUAAGUCUUCUUGGCUUGCAUCUCUUGAGAAUGCUUUUGUGUAUGACAUAUAUAGUAUUAUGUUAUUGAUUUAACUGAUAACUCAUAUGCUGCUCAAUCGAUCAAAGAUUAAAUGGCAUCUGAGGCACAGAAAUUCAGUGCAAAGUGGACCAAGUUGGUGACCAACCUAUUUAUCGGUUUGUUGGUGGAUGAGGUCAAAAAGGGAAAUCGAACCUCUUCUACUUUCAACAAAGCAGGUUGGAGGAAUAUCCAGACUGAAUUUGUUAUACAAACAGGAUGCCAAUAUAGCAUGGUCCAGCUAAGAAACAAGGUGAAUAAAUUGAGAAAACAGUAUGGUAGUUUUCGGAAACUUAUGUCUCAGUUUAGAUUUGGUUGGGAUAAUGUCAAUAAAAGAGUUGUUGUCGACAAUCCAAGCAUCUGGGAAGCUCACAUCAAUGUAUCUUUUUUUUUUUUUUUUUUUUUUUUUUUAACUUUUUCGUCAUUUUGAUGUCAUUAUAUAUGUAUAUUUUAAAAUGUAUGAUUAUAUUGUUGAAAUGUCAUUACUGUGAAAAUUGUAGGAGAAUGUAGAGUGGGCCAAAUUCAGGAAGGAUGGAUUUCCCUAGUAUCCCGAGCUAUGUUUUGUAUUUGGUGAUACAUAUGCUGCUAGAGAAUAUGUCAUUAGAAAUGCUCAAGAUGUGACGGUGUCGAAGGAAGAUGACAACGGUGAUGGCAAUGGAGGUGGUGCCAACAGUGGCUACAAUGCAUAUGGUAACAACAGUGGUGGCAAUGCCUAUGGUGAUGCUGGUGGUGCCCAUAUAGAUGACUUCGGUGAUCACCACACUGAUGAGAGAGUCUUCACAUCAGACGAUGUUGGAAUUUCAACUCGUGGAAAGCACAGAUUGGAUAGGACUCCAAACAUUAAGAGGAGAAGGAAGAGUACCCAAAACAGUAUUGAUGACACUUGCAAAACCAUACAAGACUUUUUGAAAGUUAAGUCAAGUCAUCUGGUAGUGGCUCUGUGACCUCCGGGGUUAUGCCAUCACCUGUGGACCCUUUCUCCGUAGAGGCUGUGAUGGAUAUUCUACUUAGUAUGCUCGAGAUAGACUAAGAUGUUUACAACAAAGCAGUGGAUCAAGCAUGCGAUAGUGUCUCAUGGAGGGUGGCUUUCAUUAAAUUCACACCUGAAAGGAGAAAUGGACUUUUUUUAUCAUCUUUAGUAGAUGUUUGGAAAUAUAUUAUGGAUUGAAUGGCCUUGCAUUAGAUUGUAUAACUUUAUGUUAUGUAUUAAUAUUUAGUUUUUAAAGAUAUUAGUAUUGAGACUCUUGGUACUUAUAUAUAAUGGUAUCUUUUAUUGAGACUAUGACUUAUGUUAUUGAUUGUUAUUGGAUAUAUUUUCAAAAUCUAUAUUGAUGUUUGUAUAUUUUUGUGAUGGUAUAGGUACUAUGAAAGAGGGAUCAGAUAGUAUAUGUAGUGAACAAGUAGAACAAGUUCAACAAUUCUUGGAUGAUGAUGAUCUUCGCAUAUUCCUAGCGUGGUUAUGCACGGUUGCGAUUAACACGUCCGUGCAUACAAGAGAACCUAUUAGGGACAGCAAAUUAUUAGGAUCCGAAUGGAUAAUGGAGAUUGUUUCUGGACAUUCAGAUAGGAUAUAUGAAGCCUUCAGGAUGGAGAGGCAUGUUUUUAUGAAUUUAUGUGAUUUGAUGAGAGUAAGAGAUUGGUUAAAAGAUAGUCGAUAUAUUCGAAUAGAUGAACAAAUUGGGAUAUUCUUAUCUUUGGUUUGUCACGGUAGCUCAAAUAGAGAUUUAUGUGAGAGAUUUCAACAUUCUGGAGAAACGAUCAGCAAGUAUUUCAACAAAGUGUUGAAAGCAAUUAUCAAACUUUCAAAAGAGAUAAUCAAACCAUUGUCCUUUGAUGUCAUCCCACAAGAAAUUCUUAUGGAUUCUAGUCAUAAGCGCUACUUCAAGGUAUGAUUUCUAUAUUAACUUUAUAUCGUCAAAUACAUGUUGUUCAUAAUCUUAUAUAAUCUUAGAUUGACAAUAAAUUGACAGGACUGCGUAGGUGCUAUGGAUGGCACCCAUAUAAAUGCUAUUAUCCCGGUAUCUGAGCAGGUUUGAUUUAGAGGCAAGAGAGGGACUACCACCCAUAACGUGUUGUGUGUUUGCUCAUUUGAUAUAAAAUUUACUUUCGUGUAUGCUAGAUGGGAAGGAUCUGCCAAUGAUUGUCGAGUGCUUUCAGCAGCACUCGAAACUCCUCAAUUGCAAUUUCCCCGACCACCACCUGGUAUUUAUUUUGUUUAUAUAGACAUUUGUGAUUAUAUUAUGGUUGAAUAUCACAACAAAUUUAUAUAUAUCAUGUUGUAGGGAAAUACUACUUGGUAGAUUUUGGUUAUGCAGUACUUCCGGGAUUUUUAACUCAAUUUAGAAAGGAACGGUAUCAUCUCAGCGAAUAUAGAGGGAGUGGAAGACGGCCAAGAACAGCAAAAGAGUUAUUCAACUAUAAGCACUCUUCACUAAGAAAUGUAAUUAAGAGGUCAUCCGGGGCAUUAAAGAAUUGCUUCACCAUUUUGAGACAUAUGCCUCCAUUUACAAUUCGGAAGCAAGCACUUGUUGUAAUUGCAUGUUGUGCUCUUCAUAAUUACAUUCGUGAUCAAGAUAAGAUGGAUAUAAAUUUUUCCAUUUAUGGAGAUCCGGAGUAUCCAUUUGGACUUACAGAAGUGGAGGUUGCAGAUCCUAGUCAUGAGCAGGAAUCUAGGAUAAACAUGCUUAGGAUAAGUAUUGCAAAUAAAAUGGCAAUGGAUCACAAUAUGCAUGAGAUUUGUUGACCUCUGUAAUAUUGUUUUUAAGUAUUCACUGUGAUAAAGUUGAACAAUGAACUAUAUUGCUUCAUUAUUGUGAUGUCAUGUAUGGAAGGGUUCAUGUUGAGAUGUAUAAGAUACUAUUCUUUUUGCUAGUUCUUAUUGUACGAACUUUACUUAUAAUUUUUUUUUUAAGUAUGCACAUAUGACUAUGUUGGAAAUAUUUUUCUUCACUCACCAUUAUCAAAAUUAAAUUGAUGAGCAUUUCAUGAGAAUGAGAAUUCAAUAUCAAGUUUAUAUGUUAUAAAAAUAAAAAAUAAAAAAAAGUACUUGAAAAAAAUUUGAUACAAACUUUACUUACAAAAUUUUCUACCAAGUAUGCUAUAUGAUCAUGUUCAAAAUGUUUGUUUUCACUCACCAUGAACAAAAUAAAAUUAAUGAGCAUUACAUGAGAAUGACAAUUCAAUAUCAAGUUUAAACUUUAUUUUAAAAAAAACAUUUUUUUUUUAAAAUUUAAAAACAGAAAUUUUGUACAGUUUACUAAACGUGUUUCUGUUCUUUUUCUAUUCUAGGAACAGAAAUUGAUUGCAGUUACCAAACGUGUUUUUGUUCUUUUUUUAUUUCAAGAACAGUUUUUUUUUUUACACUUACCAAACGCGUUCUUUUGUUCAAAAACUGUUCCCCAGAAUAGAAACACUUUUUUUUUUUAAUUUCUGUUCCCUGGAACAAUUUUUGAACAGAAACGUUACCAAACGUGCCCUAAGAUUAUAGAAAGGCUCUUCUCACUUCUUUCAAUCGUCCAUUCUCUAGGGCAUUCGAAAGGGUCUCCCAUGUUUGUACUCAUCGGAUUCCAGACUCUCCUCCAAUCUCUCACAUUUCCUUAUAAUACUCCCCAAACAUAGAUUCUUUAAGCUUAAAGGUUAAAAAAAUUGAUGCAAAGACCCGUAGCCUUCUAUAACAAGGAGGUCCAAAUGAUUUUAACAUAUAUGGAAUCUCAACCACACGAUGGCAAUGUUGAAAAUAAAAAGUUUGAAUGUCCAUGGCAUUGGUAAGGUCAGGCAACUUCUCUAGCAUUGAAGAUCAUGUAAAUAUAACUAUUUCAAGUUCUCCGAACCUUCCAGGUCUUGAAUCCCUUCUACCUUCCGACAACUAAUUAUAUUAUAAAAUUCUAUAUGCUUGAAGCUUAAUGGAUCAAGCAGCUGUUCGAGUGAUUGACAACACAUUAAACUAAAAAGCUUCAACGAUUCUAGCUGACCUCGAACCUCAACCAGUUUAGGACACUCAUUUAUCAAUAAACAUUGGAGCUUCUUCAAGCUGGUUAGGUCGGGCAACUUCACUAGCAACGGAAGAUACCCAAGCCUAAGCAAUCGUAGGCUUUUCAAAGGUUCCAGAACUUGAAUCUCGUUUAGCUGUUCACAAUAAAAGACUUCCAAUUCUGAUAACUUCUCCCAAUAUGAAAGAGUUAUCGACUUUUCCAUUAACCCACGCCCAUCAAAAUGGAAGUAUGACAAAUUCUGAGGAAGCUUAGGUUGGCAUUCUAGGUUAUUUGCGGGGAGUUUAAGCUUCCUAAGAUUCGAAAGGAGAUUAAAAUCUAAAGGUAGGGUGACCAAAUCAUCACAAUACAACCCCAAGGACUCUAGCUUUCUUAACCCUCCGAUCCAAUUGAGGCUUGGAGUUGGAUGGGAAGGGCAUUGAUACUCUAAUUUCGACAUCAAAACUCUCAAAUUUAUUAGGUUCGAGAGAUCUGGGCAUCUCAUCUAUAGAUUAUUGGUUAGGACUAGUUCGGUCAAACUUUUAGGAAGCUUAGGUAUAUUGGAAAUUCUCGUGCCCGAUAAUGUCAAGAUUCUUAGAAAUGAUAGUCUUCCGAUCUCACUUGGAAUUUCCCCCCUCAAAUAUCUACAACUGUUGGCAUGGAUCUUUUCAAGCUUCUCCAAUGAUAGUCUUCCAAUCUCACUUGGAUUUCCCCCACUCAAACAUCCAUAACUGCUGACAUAGAUCUCUUCAAGCCUCUCCAACUUCCCAAGGGGGCUAGGUAGCUUUUCUAACAUGAAGUCAAAGAUCCUUAGUAUUUUCAAGUUCUUCAUCGUCUCUAUUGAGUCGGGUAACUCUCGUAUGCUUGAACAAGAAAGAUCUAACUCGACGAGAGAUCCAAAUUUUCCAAGUGAAAGUUCACUCAGUAAGCGACAUGACACUACACUAAGAGUUUCCAAUUUCUCCAUUCCGUUCCAUUCAGGAAUUUUGGUAAUAGAUGUCCCAUCAAGAAGAAGUUCUCUCAAGUCUUCCAUUUCUUCCAUCUCGUCAAGCAAUGUCUGAAGUUUCCCACAGUAUUUCAAGUUUAAUAACACUAAAUGCUUUAACCUACCAAUAGACCUAUGGAACUUCAACCAUUUCCGUGCACCCUUGAAGAAUCAAUUGCUCUAAGUUUUUAUGAGCAGAAAAGUCGGGAGUUCUAUGCAAAUUUUUGCACCUAGUCAAAUUUAGAACCUUCAAACUCUUUGCCAUCUGUAAUGAAGAGGAGGUUAAUUCUGAAUCAUUUUGAGAUACUAGACAGCAAAGUCAAUAUAGCCAAUUCAUGUUGAAAUAAUACCAUACCUUGAGUUGCUUCCAUCCCUCCCACUCAUUAGUAAUUUCACUCCUUGAUAGAUCAAGAAUCACUAGCUUCUUAAGAGAACGUGCGGUGAACUUGAAACAUACAGGAAAGUUAUGCCAUGAGAGCCAUCUCAAACUUGGAAGCAUGAUCGGAUUCCUUUGAGCCCAGUUGGUAGAAGGAAAAUGCUGACCGUUGUUCUCAUCCAAGUCUACACAAUCCACUUGAAGAAAUCUUAAUUUUGAUAGGCUUAUAAAUUCUUCCUUCUCAAUGAAGUCUUCAAAUUGACUAUCAAACCUGAGACAUAUUGCUUCAACGUUUUCUCUUCCCUGCCAAAAAGAAAAAAAAAAUUAAACAAAAGCUAGUGAUCACAUAAUUGCCUGUUGAAGGCAUUCGGGUUGAAUAUACUUGAGAAUGUACUUCUUACAUAUAAUUCAAAAUUAAUUUCCAAUAUAAUUUACGGAGGAGCAUGUGAUCGUAUAAGCACACAAGUAAUGACUCGGUUUAGAUAGAAGCAAAUAAGCAGAGUCAAUGUGUAUAACUUGUCUCUUUGAAUAGGAACAACAUUGCAAAUACUUUACCUCCUUUAUUUCAAGGACAUCAAUCGAUUCCUCAUGAUCCCACACCCGACUUUGCUUCUCUAGUUUAAAAUGAGCUCUUUCAUGAACGAUGUCUCGCCCAAGGUCUCUUAGUUGAUCAUGCAUCCAUAGUCGGUUACCUUCGACAAUCUUCAUUAACGAUUUCCGUUUGAGGACUUCAAGAGAAUAUUCAGGGAAAAGCUUACGGUUGGCCCACAUGUAAGUCACAGUUCUCAUAUCAAACCCAACAAAGAAGCAACAAACAUCAAGAAAUAUUUCCAUCUUUGGAGGUUCUAAUGCCUCUAAACUGAUGCUCAGCUUACUUUUAACCUUUGGUUCGGGAAUAGUUUUCAACUUUUCUAAUUUGGCCACCCAAAAAUUUGGGUCUUCUCCAACUAAAGAUGAACCUAUAAUCGCUAGAGCCAAAGGAAGAUGACCACAAAUUUCUAUCACUUUUUUCGAGAGGGAAACGUAUUCUGCUGGGGGAUGAUCUCUUCUAAAGACAUGCUUGCUAAACAGUAAAAGAGAAUGAUUGAAAUCCAUUUCAGUAAGCUUGUACUUAAAAUCAACAUCUUUGAGAACUUCCUCGUUUCUUGUGGUAAUAAUUACCUUACUUCCUCUGCCGUACCAGUGUUCACCCGUCCCUACAAGAGUGUUUAGUUGAGUGUUUUGGUCGACAUCAUCAAUUACAAGUAAAACCUUUUUAGAGGAUAACCUCUCCCUGAUCACUAUAAUCCCUUCAUUAAUAGUAUUGAUGGAUGGCCAUUCCAUUCUUAGGACUUUAGAGAGAAGCUGAUUCUGCAAAAUCACAAUCUUUGUCUCUCGAAUGUUAGACAUGAAGCAACAGUUAUCAAAAUCAGCCGAUAGUUUAUUAUAGAUGAUAGUGGCAAGAGUUGUCUUUCCGAUACCACCCAUACCAUGGAUGCCAACAAUCUUUGUUCCAGUGGUCUGUGUACCUAUCUUUUCCAUGAUUUUGUCCACAUGAUCGUCCAUUUCAACUAAGUAAUCAGGUUUUGCCAAGUUGUUCUUUUUUAACUCGAUCAACAACGUCUGAACAACUUCUUCUGUGAACUCACCUUUGCCUCUGACAAUAUUGAAGGCAAAAGACCUGUUAAAUUGAGAUGAACAAAAUAAUAUCCACGCUACAAACAAUCAUGAAAAAUAGUAAAUUCGACUACCUCCCAUUAAGUUCCCAUCCUCUUAACGCUCCAACCUUGCGGAGAGCUAUCUUCCACUUCUCAAUAGUCCCAUUAGCAAACCGUUGCUUAUUUUUGUGUAAAGUAAUGGCUUUACCGUAACUUCCAGUUUGGUAACGAACCUUUGAUGGUGCUAUGUCAAAGAAAAUUGGCAUGAUCUUUCGUCCCCAGUUUUCCUUGCACUCCACCAUCUAGGCCAACUCCAUGAGGCACCAUGGACUGAUAGCAUAUCCUUUAGAUAAGAUAGGAAUCGAGAUUUCCGACUGCUUAAUCGCUUGGACAAGCUUCGGGCCAAUCUCUUCCCCAAUGGGAAGCUCGUCAUUAUCUCUAUAUGCCCUUAUUCCGGCACGACUAAGGCUCUUGUAAAGUAUAUCAACAACGUCAAGCCGAGUGUCCGGUCCUCUAAAGCUCAAGAAUACUUCAUAAUCAGAUUCCAUUGGCUUCUCCAUUUCCUGGAUUUUCAGAGGACUUGCAAUCAAUUGAUAUCCCACUUGAAAAACGUUUACUAUGAAAGCCGAGUGAUGAUUAUCACGAUUUCUCUUAGAAACUCUUCUGUUUUAAGUCUUUCUAGGAAGAAACCAAGAUGACAAAUGCACGAGCUUCUUCUGCGCUUUGCACUAGACACCAAAAUAUGUUAAAAUAUUUUAUUAAUAAUAUAGUAGACAAGUGGACCCCUCUCAAUUCUAAAGGAAGAAAUUUCCAAAGUAUUGCAGAAUUAUAAGCUAUGCUUCACACUUGAAAUUGAUUUGAAAGAAUAACAUUUUGAGAAGAUAAAUCACUAUCAACCUAUAUUCGUCUUAAACUAUUACUUAUGUGAUAAAAUUCCUCUUAAAAGCUGACGUUGAAUGUCCUCUGCACAUCAUGCCUGCUUCUGCUUGUAGAUUGACUAAUUAUCUUAUUGUCAGAUAAGAAAUCAUGAUGAAACCUUCCUCUUUUAUUUUACCAAAACAUAUUUGACAGACAUUCCACGACCCUCAAUUAGUGUUCUCUUGGCCUUAACGGACGCAGGUGAAGAAUCACUCCCAGUGAAAAUCUCUAAUUGGAAAGGCGAAAUCAAGAAAUUACACCGGAGCUACUUCAACCCUCUCCAUUGGUCUAGUUUCUAAAGAGCAUAAACCGAUCUCCAAUUACAGUCAAAUCUUAGUUUAUUAACAUACAGGCACAGGGUCAAAGGCGAGCAUUAGAAGCUAACGUUCGCAUUUGCCAGAAAGUAUCAGCAUAUCAGAAAAAGAGGGAUGAAUUACUAACCGAUAAUGUAGAUGAAAUUUCAACAGAAAAAAGAAGCAUGAAUGCUAUAAUUGUUCUUCCAGAAAAUAAGUUUGAACACACAGGAGUGCAGGAACAAGAACUGUACUUUACGGAAGCGGAGACAUUAUAGUCUAUUCAAUCUGUCUCUACUGUUGAAUACAGUGUUAAGGGUAUCAAUUUCUGCCUAGGAGCAUUCUUACUGCUAAUCACUGGACAAUAACGUAUGAAUUUGUCGUCUGGAAGUCUCUUAAAGAUACCACUAUCUCUGUUCGCACAUAAAUUAAAAGAAGAAAAAGUCCCAUCAAACAAAUGAAAUCAACAGAUCCACUCAAACUAAUUUAGCCUUUAGCGCUAGCAAUCCACGCAAAAACUCAGAGAGAGAGAGAGAGAGAGAGAGAGAGAGAGAGAGUACGCGGGUGGCGAGCUCGUAAGACUGAGCGUUGUCGAUGAUGGAACCGGACUUGCCUCCACCGCCGCCGCCCUCCCUCCUCUUCUUCUUCUUGCCGCUCCUCUUCUUCGGAUCGUCGUCGCGAGGGACGCCGCCGCCGUUGAGGAGCUCACUCCGAGGCUCGACACCGCUCUCCUCCGCUUAAGCUUCGUGCGCUCUCUUCUUCUUCGGCAUUCCCGCUCUCCGAUAUCAGAAAGUUUCGAUUUUUCAACACGGUACGAGGUCGACCGGUCAAGGGUUUAGCCGUCGAUCUUGGUGGUGUAUUGCCUUUCAGGAUCUAAGGCCUGACAGUUGCAUAGAUGGAAGUGGAUGAGCAGGGUUUAGCAUGUGAGUAGAGUUAGAGGCUAAAGCUAUUAGCGUUAGACGCAAAUGGCAGUGAUCAAUCACGGAGUCAAUUGAGGAAAGAAUUUGAUGCUGAUAUGAGAGUCCCUCUCUUGUUUCCAUCAAAUCUGCAUCUAGUUGCAUUACGGAACAGACCCAAUUCAUUCAAAAGAAGGCAAUAAACGAGAGGAAAUUUCCGGAGAUGGAGGGGCUGAAGAUGAACAGUCCGGAUCAAAUGCUGAGAAGCAGAAUCGUUCUUGGCUUUCGAGAUCGGCGGAAGAAAGACAGAGACUUCUAUGAGACGGUGAAUUCACCCUCCCUCGCCGUACCCUUCCAGGAAAGCGAGGGCUUGCUUGUUGAUUUUAAUCAUCCUAUUAUUUAAGAUUUGAAUAGUCCAAUCAUUGGGAAUUACGAUUGGUUAUAAAUAUUAUAAAUUGAUAAGUAGAUGACGAAGCACAAAAUAUAAGUCAACUUGAUUAUAUUUAUAAAUUAGCUACGAAUAAAACCAAAUAAAUAUCAGAUUGAUAUAUUGAUGCUAAUCAUUCAUUGAAAAAUUGUGCCAUUACGAUUUUUUUUUUUAAACAAUGACAAAUUAAUUUAGAUUUCUACUAACGCAAUAUUGUACUAUAUCUACUAUGAUUUAUAACACAGUCAUAUGGUAAAAUCUGCAUUAAAUUCAUAAUGCACAUGAUAAAUUACUGAUAGUGUUGGAAACUUACAACAACAGUUAAAGUUCACUAAAAUGUUGGUAAAAUUCUGAUGGUGUAAGCAAUUUACUUACAGCACUGAUAAAAUUCCAGAAGAAUUUGUAAUUUGCUAAAUUAAUGAAAAAUUGAUAAAUUUCAGAUAGUAUAGGUAUUUUACUACGGGUGUACCUAACAAGCAAGAACCGGUCAUUUUUUUUUACAAGCACGAUUGCCAGCAAAAUUGCAAUUUCACCAACAGGGAAGACUUUUCAAUUCUCAAGUCCUGCGGGACCGUAGAAUUUUGCCAAAGAUUCAUUCGUCUCCGCCUCUACGACAAAAACUUAAAAGCCCACCUAAUAUUUCAAAUGGUGAAACUUGAAAUGCAAUCAUGAAUUCACUCUAAAGCACAUGUAAAAAUCUGUUUUGAGUUAUCAAAACUAAAGAACCUUUGCGACCAUUGCAAAUGAUCAUUAACUGGAUGAUUAACCCCUACUUCUUCAUUUCUUCAAUGUGGAAAUUUUACGGGAAAUCAACAACAAUUCUGUGAAUAUGGAUAUGGUUGCUAAUGUCUACUUAAAUUCGUGACAUUGAAUGCAAGACAUUCUCAGUGUACUUUCUCAAGAACAUCAAUCUCUGCAAAUGAAUCCUGGAUCAAGUCAUCUUCAAUCCUUGAUCAAUUUCACCGAAAGGCAAAAAUUGCCGUUCAUAUCAAAUGAGGCGAUCAAAUGAGGCGACAAUGCCGGAAGAGUGCUACUACCAAGGACGGAUAGAGCUGCCGCUUUUCAAAGAAAUUAUUACAAGCAAGGGAAAUUUCAAAUUGCCUACUUAGAAGAAUCCAUUUGGAAAUCAUCUCUCGACUCUUAGUACGUUUCUAACGAUUUUCUCCAAGUUGCCUCUAAUUGAAGAUUCAAUUUUUUUAAGUUCAAAUCUGACAGGAAGUUUUUCUGCUUGUCGUAGAAAUAUAUUGAUAUUCACAUCACUUAGUCAUACAAGAACUUUAUAUUACAAACAUGGGAUGUCUUCUCAAAUAGGUUGACAAAGUGAAUGUUGCUCAUUCAUAUGAAAAGUUGAGGUAGGUAGUUGAUGCAACCCGAAGACGAGGUCAGCAAUCUGGAAUAGAGGUAGGUCGAUACAAUCUCCCUCCCUCCCUCCUGAAGUAGGUAUCCAAAGUGAGCUGACGAUCAGGAGAGAACAGGCGUAACAAAGAGAGAGGACCAACAUCAUGCCCUCGUGGAACAGAACGAAGCGCAAGAAGAUGUGGUCACAGUCCCAGAGGGAGAUCCCCGCCAGGUCGAUUCGCACAUCAUGCUUCCACUCGGGGUCGCCAUCGCAUUCCUUGACGGACAGAGUCCCUUGCUACUGGUUCUGGGCGAGCUUCUUGCUCGGGGGUCGUCGCUGACGAUGGAGGAAGAAGGAAAAAACAAAUAGAGUGAGAAGAGAGACGCAGCAGGAGGAGAAAAGAAAAAGGAGAAGAAAGUCAAAAUUUCUGAAGAAGGGUCCCACCUGUACAUGUGGCCAUCGAUUUACGUUCUCAAGUAUAUCCUACAUGGCACAACGUAUUACCCUUCCAAGUUCUUUUGUCGGCCUUGCCAAUUUUUUCAGAUCUCUGUACUUAUCGGAUUCCAAAGUCUACUCGAACUUCUCAGAUUCACCUAUAUAAAAACUUGCCAGAUUCUUGAAGCUUGAAGAAUCAGAUAACUUUUGCAGAGACCCACAGUGAUAAAUAGAAAGCCUCUCCAAUGAUUCUAGCCUAUCUUGAAUCUCAACCAGACCAAGACAAUUUACUAGAUUAAGUAGCUCAAGUUUCUUGCAGUUGGUCAAGUCAGGCAACUUCACUAAGGACGGAAGAUUCCUAAGAUUUAAGUACUUCAAGUGCCCCGAAUCUUCCAGGCCUCGAAUCUCUUUUAGCUUCCAACAGCUAGAUAUAAGGACUUGUUCUAUCUUUUUGAAGCUUAAUGGAUCGGGCAACUUUUCGAGAGAUUCACAGGACAUAAUAUAAAGUAUCUCUAGCGAUUCUAACUGACCUCCAACCUCAACUAGUUUAGGACAAUUUAAUAUCCACAUUCCCGUGAGCUUCUUCAAGUUGGUCAAGUCAAGCAACAACUUCACCAAAAAUGGAAGAUGAUCAAAAUGAAGCCAUUUCAGGUUUUCCAAACGUGCAAGACCUUGAAUCUCAAUUAGCUGUUCACAAUUAUUGACUUCCAAUUUUGAUAACUUUUCCAAAUAUGAAAGAUCUAUUAAAUUUCCAUUAAGCUUUGCCCAAAAAUACGGAGGUGUGACAAAUUCUGGGGAAGCUUAGGUAGGCAUUCUAGCUUAUCUACAAGGAGUUCAAGCUUCCUGAGCUUAGAAAGGAGAUUAAAAUCUGAAGGUAGGGUGGCUAGACUAUGACAACACAACAUCAAGGACUCCAGCUUUCUCAAUCCUCCGAUCCAAUGGAGGCUUGGAGCUGCAUGGAAUAGGGCUCCAUACAUCAAACCCAACUCCAAAACUCUCAAAAUUAAUAGGUUUGAGAUAUCUAGCAAUCUCAUCACUGACCUGGUUGUAAUGUAUAGAUUGGUCAAACUUUCAGGAAGCUUAGGUACUUUAGAAAUUAUCAUGUCCGAUAAUCUCAAGAUCCUCAGCAAUGGUAGUCUUCCAAUCUCACUAGGAAUUUCCUCCAAAUUUCUACAAUUUUCGGCAUCUAUCUCUUCAAGCUUCUCCAACAUUCCAAGGGCACUAGGUAGCUUUCUUAAGUGGGUGCGAUGCAGUCUUAGUACUCUCAAAUUCUUUGCCACCUGUAAUGAAGAGAAGAUGUUAAUUCUGGACCAUUUUGAGAUACAAGACAGCAGAGUCAAUAUAGCAAAUUAAUUGUGAAAUAAUACCAUACCUUGAGGUGGUUCCAUCCCUCCCAAUCAUUUGUAAUUUUGCUCCAUGAUAGAUCAAGAAUCACUAGCUUCAUACGGGAAAAUGCGGUCAACUGGAAAAAAGAGAGGAAACUCAUGCCAUGAGAGAUAUCUCAAAUUCUGAAGGAUGAGUAGAUUCCUUUGGAACCAAUUGGUUGGAGGGAAAUACUGAAUGAAGUUAUGCCAUGAGAACCAUCUCAACUCCGAAAGAAUGAGUAGAUUCCUCAGGAACAAGUUGGUUGAAGGAAAAUGCUGAAUGAAGUUAGGCCAUGAGAGCCACCUCAAAUUCGGAAGGAUGGGUAGAUUCCUCCUAAACCAGUUGGUUAAAGAAAAACACUGAAUGUUGUUCAUAUCCAAGUCUCCACAUUCCACUUGAAGAAACCUUAAAUUUGAUAGACUUUCAUAUUCUUCAUGUUGGAGUUUUGUUUGUUAAAACAAAAGGAGUGCUUUUUUCUUUGUCCCAUAGAGAAAAGGUAGGAGGAAGUGGGCCGAUUUUAAAAUGUGGGAUUUCCUUUUUGUAGUUAAAGGAAUGAUUGGGUGGGGCUAGACCCCACCAUACCCGCGUGUGGGUGCGCGAAUAAUUGCGCGAUUUUGGCGUGAUUAUUUGGCGCACUUAGCACUUUGCACGCCCGUGGAUUAAUUAGCACUAAUCCCUUUGUUAUUUAUUUAUUUUUUUGUUAUUAUUUUUUUAUUCAAUUCAAAGGUUGCCUUUUAUUUUGAAAAUUUUCAGAAAUGAAAUAUAAAAAUGAAAAUUCGAAAUUUUAUUUAAAAAAUUAUUACUCAGAAUUUUGUUUGUGUCUUUUCAAGACAACCUUUGAAAAAUUACUUAUUCGAUUUUGCAACUUUUCCCGAAGGGUUGCAAUUUUUCGGUUUUCAACUUCUUCCGAAGAGUCGCAUUUGUUUAUCCGAACAAUUUUCUAAAGGAUGUGUUUGUUCAUUCUUUGGCAAUUUUCACGAAGAGUUGCAAGACUGUUUCAUAUAUAUACUUGUUAAUUUUCGGAAGGAAAAAGUGAUCAUUUUUUAGUCUUCUUUUAGAAAAACUGCAGCUAAUUUUUCGAUUGUUUCCUAGAGAAACCCUAGAGAAAUACUAGAAUUGAUAUCUAGCAUUCUCAUCCGAGACUUUGUUGUAUCCUGGAGGACUUUUGCCAGUGACCAUUAGCAACGUUGUGGGGCAAAUAAAUCUUUAAAGAUAGUAAUAUCAUGCCUCAAAGUCCGAGUUGUUUUACUCGAUCUGAUUGCUUUGUCCAACCCAUUUCGAAGCCAUAUUUUUCCAACAAUUUUAAGGAUUUAUCUUGCUACAAUGGAGUCAGAGACAAUCAAAGUUAUGAAUCAAGAUAUGGUCAAACUAGACCGGUUCGAUGGGAACAAUUUUGCUCGCUAGAGGGACAAGAUGAUGUUCUUACUCACUGCUCUGAAGAUCUCCUACAUACUGGAUCCUAACUUAGCGCCUAUAGAAGAUCCUAAGCCUACUUCCGAUGGAGGACUUGGCGCCUAUAGAAGAUCCUAAGCCUACUUUCGAUGGAGGACAACCAAGUGCGGAAGCCAUUGAGAGGGUUAAUAAGGAAAAGAAGAAACGUGUGGAGGGUGAAUUACUUUGUCAAGGACACAUUCUGAAGACACUCUCCGAUCGUCUGUACAACUUAUUCAUUGAAAUGAAGUCGGCCAGAGAAAUCUGGAAUGCAUUGGAAUUCAAGUACAAAGUGGAUGAGCAAAGUACCAAUAAAUAUCUAAUCGCAAAGUAUUUUGAUUUCAAGUUUAUUAAUAUUAAACCCUUGCUGGAACAAGUCCAUGAAUUGCAAGUGAUUGUGAAUAAGAUUCGUGCCCUCAAGAUUGAUAUUCCAAAAGCUUUUCAAGUUGGAGCAAUUAUUGCGAAAUUGCCUCCAAGUUGGAAAGAUUAUGGAAAAAAGGCUGAUUCACAAGUCGGAGGACUUUACUUUGGAGCAAAUACAGAAACAUCUUCGCAUUGAGGAAGAGUCACGUUUACGUGAUAAUUCUGUUUUGUACAAUUCCAAGGUGAAUGUUGUGGAUAAAAAACGAAAACUCGGCCAGAACUUCAAAGUAAAAAGCGGGGGGCAUAAAUUCAAGAGAACACAAAAGAAGCAAAAGGGUUGCUAUUUUGUUUGUGGUAAACAGGGACACUACGCUAAGGAUUGCAUUCACCGCAAGAGCAUUUCAAAGGACAAGAACAUUCCGGUGAUGAAAGCAGAUGCAAAUCUGGUUGAAGAAAAUUAUGUAGCCAUGAUUUCAAACAUGUUUUCGAACAUGGAAAUUUUUGAAAUCAAUGAUGCGAUGGCUAUGGUUUUUGAAAUUAAUUCUCCCAUUGUCCAAUCCGGUUGGUGGAUAGAUUCUGGAGCAACAGUCCAUGUGUGCAAGCACAAGUACAUGUUCAAGCAAUUUGAAGAGAUUGUUGACUCAAAUGUUCAAGAGAUCCUGAUGGCGAAUAAUGCUCUUGCAAAUGUUGCUGGAAAAGGCAUGGUGGAGAUAGACUUCACUUCUUGAAAGAAGAUAACUCUUCUUAAUGUGUUAUUUAUACCCGAAAUUAGGAAGAACCUAGUUUCUAUUGAUUUACUUUGUAAGAGGGGGUUUCGGGUUUUGUUUAAAUCCGACAAGGUUAUCCUGUUGAAAAAUGUGUUGUUUGUUGGGAAGGGUUAUGCCAAUGGUGGCAUGUAUCAACUGAGUAUCAAUAAUAAUAUUUCUAGUUCUGCUUAUAUUGUCGAGUCUUCAAUUUUAUGGCAUAAUAGGUUGGCACAUAUAAAUAUUCGUUAUUUGAAGAAUAUGAGAAAAUUAGACUUGAUAAAUUUUAAUGGCGAAUUUGAUAAAUGUGAAAUAUGUGCUAAGUCAAAACUUACUAAGAAGCCAUUUCCUAGUGUUAAAAGAAAUUCGAAUUUAUUGGAUUUGGUUCAUAGUGAUAUAUGUGAAUUUAAUGGUAUGCUAACACAUGAAGGUAAAAUGUAUUUUAUUACCUUUGUGGAUGAUUGCAGUAGGUUCUUAUAUGUUUAUCUCAUGAGAUCAAAGGAUGAAGCAUUUACCAUGUUUAAUAAAUAUAAGGCUGAAGUAGAGAAUCAAUUAGAAAAGAAAAUUAAAGUUCUACGAUCAGAUAGAGGUGGAGAAUAUUUCUUAAAUGAAUUCUCUUCAUUUUGUGAAGAACAUGGUAUAAUUCAUCAAGUUUCAGCACCAUAUACUCCACAACAAAAUGGUUUAGCUAAAAGGAAAAAUCGAUCUCUUGGAGAAAUGGUUAAUUGUAUGCUUUCAAAUUCAAAGCUACCAAUUAAUCUUUGGGGAGAAACAUUACUUACUGCAUGUUAUUCAUAAUAGAAUGACUUCCAAGAAAAAUGACAUAACCCCUUAUGAAAUAUGGAAAGGUAGAAAGCCAAAUUUGUCAUAUCUUAAAGUGUGGGGGUGCUUGGCAUUCUACCGAGCUUCAGAUCCUAAGAGAACAAAGCUCGGUCCUAGAGCUAUCAAAAGUGUUUUUGUUGGAUAUGCUGAAAAUAGUAAAGCUUAUAGGCUUCUUGAUUUAGAGUCCAAUGUCAUAGUAAAAUCAAGAGACGUUGAAUUCUUUGAGAAUAAAUGUUUUACAAGUUCUGAAAUUAUUGAAAAUAAUUCAAGAUUUAUGGAAACUCAAAGUGAUUCUCAAGAGAAAGAAACGAAUGAUUCUAAAGACAUGAUUGAACCAAGGAGAAGUACUAGAGCUAGGAAAAUAAAAGACUUAGGUCCUGAUUUUAUUACUCAUGUUUUUCUUGUUGAAGGAGAUUGAGAUAAUAAUGUGGUAAAUAAAUACCCUUUAGUAUUAAAUUUAGAAAAUGAUCCUAGAAGCUUUGAUGAUGUUAUGUCUUCUAGAGAUGCUUCCUUUUGGAAAGAAGCUGUGAAUGAUAAAAUGGACUCAAUUAUGUCCAAUAAUACUUGGGUAUUAGUAGAUUUACCAAAAGGAUCAAAACCUAUUGGGUGCAAAUGGGUUUUUAGAAGAAAAUAUCAUUCUGAUGGUUCUAUUCAAACUUUUAAAGCUAGGCCUUAGCUAAGGGAUAUAGACAAAAAGAAAGAAUAAAUUAUUUUGAUACAUAUGCUCCUGUUGCAUGUAUAACUUCUAUUCGAGUUCUUUUUGCUCUAACUUCCAUUUAUGAUCUUUGUGUUCAUCAAAUGGAUGUUAAGACUGAUUUCUUAAAUGGAGACUUAAAUAAAGAGAUUUACAUGGAACAACCGGAGGGUUUUGUUCUUCCUAAAAAUGAAAGAAAAGUAUGUAAAUUGAUUAAAUCUCUUUAUGAACUUAAGCAAGCUCCUAAGCAGUGACAUAAAAAGUUUAAUUCGGUCAUAUUGUCAAAUGGUUUCAUCAAUAGCAGUGCCGAUAGGUGUAUAUACUCUAAAUUCACUAAAGACUAUGGUGUCUUAGUGUGCUUGUAUGUUGAUGAUAUGCUUAUCUUUGAAACGAAUAUGACUGGAAUUAAUGAGACUAAGAAGUAUCUAACUUCCAUGUUUAAAAUAAAGGAUUUGGGUGAAGUAGAUACUAUCUUAGGUAUUAAAGUUAAGAAACAUAGUGGGGGUUAUUCUUUAAGCCAAUGUAGUUAUGUUGAAAAAUUAUUAAAUAAAUUUCAACAUCUUGAUUUUAAAGAAAUAAGUACUCCAUUUGAUUCCAAUAUUAAAUUAAAUUAUAAUACUGGUAGAGCGGUGGUAUAACUAGAAUAUGCAAGUGCUAGAGGGUCUUUAAUGUAUGUGAUGCAUUGUACUAGACCCGAUAUUGUUUAUUAUGUAUGCAAGUUGAGUAGGUAUACUAGUAAUCCAAGUACAGAACAUUGGAGAGCUAUUACUAGAAUUUUUGGUUAUCUUAAGAGAACUAAAAAUUUAGGAUUGUUCUACAAUAAUUAUCCGGUUAUAUUAGAAGGAUACACUGAUGCUAGUUGGAUUACAAGUGUGGGAGGUGAGCGUUCCACUUCUAGAUGGAUCUUCACACUAGUUAGAGGUGUUGUAUCUUGGGCGAGCAAGAAACAGACAUGUAUAACUCACUCAAUAAUGGAAUAUGAAUUUAUUGCUUUGGUGACAGCCAGGAAAGAGAAUGAAUGGAUUAGAAAUUUGUUGUUGGAUAUCAAAUUAUUUCUAUCCACUGUGAUAGUCAGGCCACUUUGGCAAGAGCCUAUAGUAACACCUAUAAUGGUAAGUCUAGACAUAUUAGUCUAAGACAUGAAUAUGUGAGACAAUUAAUUAAAAAUUGUACCAUAACAAUUAUCUAUGUGAGGUCAAGUAAAAAAUCUUGUAGAUCCUUUGACGAAGGCUUUACCAAGACAUAUGGUAAUAACUACCUAACAAAAAAUGGGGCUGAAACCCUUUAAUUGAAAUCACCAAUAAUGGUAACCUGACCUUUUUCUAGAACAUCACUAGUUACAAGGUUUAAUAGUGCGGAGUAAUAUAAAACUUCUUGCUAAAAUAAGAGGUUAGUGUAUGUGCGAUAUGUCUGGUUCUAUUACAUAAAAGUACAAGUUUAAAGCCGAACUACUUGUCACUUUGAUAGAGCUUUGAUAUACUUACACUAAGUAAAUGUUUAACUCGAAAGAGACCUUUAUGUAUGUAUAUUAAUCUUACUGAAAAUUUGGCUAUAUGGUUUUUUAAAAUUUUAUUUUUGAAAUCUUUGUUUUACAAACAAAGUGGGGGAUUGUUGGAGUUUUGUUUGUUAAAAGAAAUUGAGUGAUUUUUUCUUUGUCCCACAUAAAAACGGUGGGAGGAAGUGGGCCAAUUUAAAAAUGUGGGAUUUCCUUUUUGUAGUUUAAGGAAUGAUUGGGUGGGGUUAGACCUUCACCAUACCCGCGUAUGGGUGCGCGAUUUUGGCGCGAUUAUUUGACGCACUUAGCACUUUGCACGCUCGCGGAUUAAUUAGCACUAAUCCCUUUGUUAUUUAUUUAUUUGUUUUGCUAUUAUUUUUUUUAUUCAAUUCAAAGGUUACCUUUUAUUUUGAGAAUUUUCAAAAAUAAAAUAUAAAAAUGAAAAUUCAAAAUUUUAUUAAAAAAAUUAUUAUUCUGAAUUUUGUUUGUGUCUUUUCAAGACAACCUUUGAAAAAUUACUUAUUCAAUUUUGCAACUUUUCCCGAAGGGUUGCAAUUUUUCGGUUUUCAACUUCUUCCGAAGAGUCACAUUUGUUUAUCCGAACAAUUUUCUAAAGGAUGUGUUUGUUCAUUCUUUGGCAAUUUUUACGAAGAGUUGCAAGACUGUUUCAUAUAUAUACUUGUCAAUUUUCGGAAGGAAAAAGUGGUCAUUUUCGAAUCUUCUUUCAGACAAACUACAAUCAAUUUUUCGAUUGUUUCCUAGAGAGACCCUGGAGAAAUACUAGAAUUGCUAUCUAGCAUUCUCAUCCGAGACUUUGUUGUAUCCUGGAGGAUUUUUGCCAGCGACCAUUAGCAACGUUGUGGGACAAAUAAAUCUUUAAAAAUAGUGAUAUCACGCCUCAAAGUCUGAGUUGUUUUACUCGAUCCGAUUUCAUUGUUCAAUUCAUUUCGAAGUCAUAUUUUUCCAACACUUCCUUCUUAAAGAAGCAUUGAGAUUGAUGAUCAAACUUGAGACAUAUGGCUUCAGUGUGUCUUGUUCCCUGCCAAAGAAAAAAAGGGAAACAUAAGUUGGUUAUCAUAUAAUCACCAAUUGAAGGCAUACGAGUUGAACAUACCCAAGAAAUGGACAUCUUAUUCAUAAUUUGAAAUUAAUUUACAAUAUGAUUUAUAGAUGCACAUGUGAUCACAGUAACCACAUAAUUAACUUCUCGGUUCAGAUAAAAGCAAAUAAGCAAAGUCAAUGUGUAUAACCCUUCUCUUUGAAUAGGAAUAACAUGGCAAACACUUUACCUCCUUUCUUUUAAGAACAUCAAUUGCUUCCUCAUGAUUCCACACCUGACUUUGCUUCUCUAGUUUAAAAUUAGCUCUUUCACGAAUGAUAUCUUGCCCAAGGUCUCUUAGCUGAUUAUGCACCCACAAUUGGUUACCUUCUACAAUCUUCAUUAACGACAUCCAUUUGAGGACUUCAGGAGAAUAUUUAGGGAAAAGCUUACAGCUGUCCCAUAUGUAUGUCACAAUUCUCACAUCAAACCCAACAAAGAAGAAGCAAAUAUCGAGAAAUAUUUCAUUCUCUUCAAGUUCUACUGCCUCAAAACUAAUGUUCAACUUACUUUUAACCCUUUUAUUGGGAAUAGUUUUCAAUUUUUCUAAUGUGUCCACCCAAAAUUUUCUGUUCUUUCCAGCUAAAAAUGAACCUAUAAUCUCUAGAGCCAAAGGAAGACGACCACAGAUUUCUACCGCUUUUUUUGAGAGGGGGAUGUAUUCUGCUGGAGGAUGAUCUCUUCUAAAGGCAUGUUUGCUAAACAGUAGAAGAGAAUAAUUGAAAUCCAUUUCAGUAAGUUCGUGCUUCAAAUCAACAUCUUUGAGAACUUCCUCAUUUCUUGUGGUAAUAAUAACCUUAAUUCAUCUACCGAACCAGCAUUGACCCGUCCCCACAAGAGCCUCCAGUUGAGUGCUUUGGUCGACAUCAUCAAAUACAAUUAAAAUAUUUUUAGAGGAUAACCUAUUCUUGAUCUCAGUAAUUCCCUCAUUAAUACUAUUGAUGGAUGGCCAUUCCAUUCUUAGGACUUUAGAGAUGAGCUGAUUCUGCAAACUUACAAUCUUUGUCUCUCGAAUGUUAGACAAGAAGCAACAAUUAUCAAAAUCAGCCGACAGUUUAUUAUAGACAAUUGUGGCAAGAGUUGUCUUUCCGACACCACCCAUACCAUGGAUACCAACAAUAUUUGUUCCAGUGGUCUGUUCACUUAUCUUUUCCAUGAUUUGGUCUACUUGAUCAUCCAUUUCAACCAAGCAAUUAGAUACUGCCAGGUAGUUCUUUUUCAACUCGAUCAAAAGCUUCCAAACAACUUCUUCGGUGAACUCACAUUUGCCUCUGAUAGUAGUGAUGGCAAAAGAACCCAACUGUUAAAUCGAGAUGAGCAAAAUAAUAUCUAAGGUACAAACAAAUCCUGAACAAUAAUAAAUUCAAGUACCUCUCCUUGAGUUCCCAUCCUCUUAACGCUCCAACCUUGCUAAGAGCUACCUUCCAGUUAUGAAUAGUCUCAUCAGUGUACCGCCACUUAUUUAUGUGUAAAUUAAUGGCCUCACCGUAACUUCCAGUUUGGUUACGAACCUCGGAUGGUGCUAUGUUGUAGAAAAUCGGCAUAAUCUUUCGUCCCCAGCUUUCCUUGCACCCCACCAUUUGGACCAUGGACUGGCAGCAUAUCAUUUAGAAAGAUAGAUGAGGACUGAGGAGUACAUACAUCCUUUGGGGGCAGUACCUGAUCUUAAUAAACAGCUAACUCUAUCAUUUCAGAGUUAUCCUAAAUUGCAUACCCUAUUAGUAAACGAGUAUAUCGCAUAGCAAUAAAUAUGAAAUGCACUGGCACGUACAUACCAAGUGACUAUAUCUAUCGCCAUGUUUCAAACAUUUGCAAAUAAACCUACAUGCUUGUUUAACAAUGGAUGCGAUUACAUUAAUUAGUUUAUCUAUACCUUGAGUCGUUGGGGUAGAUUUGUCAUACACCUACCCUGGAAAAAAGGGGCUACAAGGUUCGUGGUAAUUUAAGUGCGAUUGCAACCCAAACCACUUUGAGAGCCCACUCCUGAUGUGACCGGCAGUACUAAACUAUGUUUCUGGAGCUUCUUAGGUUGAUGUCCUUUGAAUUUUGUGAUUGGUGCGAAGAUGACAUCUCUCUUGCAAAUGCACGAGAGAAGUCAGUGCAAUCUGCUAAAUGUAUGAGAGUGGUUGGCCCGUCCCCAGCAGAACCGCUCGAACGAUUAUCAAAUACUGUCGCAGAACCCAGGAUGUUCUUUUUAUAUAUCUGCUCUGCCCUUCGGAGUAGAAUACAAACAAAAAUCAUGUAAAGUCGCUGAGAGAGGUGAACUACUCUGCAUUUUAUACAGUAACUCCGACCCCAACAUGAUGUGGCCCGACGACAUUGGUGCUUCAGGGGUUGUUGCUCAGAGCAGAACACCGAACUGCUUCAAAAGGGUUGGUGAGACCAAAUCGAGUCAAUUUUGUAAUGGACUCAGUCAUCUUUCACUUUCCGAGGUCAUUGUCCCGCAUAUUGUAAUGAACUCAGUUUACCUCCAGAGACCGCCCAUGACGUCCGGCACAGUGCCCGCUAAGAUUGUAAUGGAUCCAAUGAUGGUGAUGUUAUUGCAACUGCUAUCGCGUGAGGGCUCACUACCCUAGCUAGGACCUCGAGGAGUAUUGCCAGCCCUUAUUGGGACAACAUAUAAACCCCCAAUUAUUCUCCCAUUCCCGAGCUCUCGUCUCUUUGCUGCCUUCAUCAUUUUCUUUGUUUUUUGUCUUUCAAAUUUGAUGUUUAUUUUUCAAUUUUUAUGAUUUUUACUUGUUUGUAGUGCUCUUCAAUUUUGUGACGUGACAUUUCAUGGAACAAUUUUGUGUUGUACCAAAAAGAUUGAAAUGACAAUUAAGGGAAAUGAACUAAAAAAUAAUUUAAACCUAUUAUAUUGGUACUAAUUCAAUUCUAAAUCUUUAAAUUAGAUUAAUUUAAUCAUGGAUUUUUUAUAUUUGUGCCAAUUAAGUCCAAUCUGUUGAUUUGAAAGUUGGCUGUUUUAUAAGACACGGCUAGCGUUGAUAUGGACAAAUUUUAAUUCUUUUUAAAUAUUAUUUUUUUCCCUUUUCAUUUUGGCUAGUGAGGAUAUGCAUUCCCCUAUGAUGAUCUUAUUGGAAAAGUGAAAUCAAGAAAUUUAACCGAAGCUAAUUCAACCCUCACCGUUGGACUAGUUUCUAAAGAGCAUAAACUAAUCUCUAAUUAGAGUCAUCUCUUAGUAUGUUAACAAACAGGUACAGGGUCAAUGGGUGAGCAUUAGAAGCUAUCAUUCUCAUUUGCCAGAAAGUAUCAACAUAUCAGAAAAAGGAGUCAAUCACUAACCAAUGAUGGGGUUGAUGAAAUUUCCACAGAAAAAAGAAGCAUGAAUGCUAUAACCGUUUCUCUGGAAAAUAAGUUUGAACACACAAGAGUGCAGGAACGAGAGCUGUAUUUUACGGAAACGGAGAGUUCCGGUUCACCACAGAGUGCAACAUUAUAGUCGAUUCAAUCUAUCUCUACUAUUAAAUACAGAGUUGAGGGUAUCAAUUUCUGCCUAGGAGCGUUCUUACUGCUAAUCACUAGACAAUAAUGUACGAAUUUGUCAUAUGGGAGUCUCUUAAAGAUACCGCUGUCUCUGUUCGCAAAGAAAUUUAAAAACAAAUCCCAUCAAACGAAUGAAAUCAACAGAUCCACUCAAACUAGUAUAGCUUUUAGCACCGGCCUAGUUCCUAAAGAGCGUAAAUCUAAUUCCUAAUUACGGAAAUCUCUGAGAUCUAUCAACAAGCUGAUGCACAGAAGUGGCAUUGUGUUUCAAGAUCUGAGGCCUGACAGUUGCACAGAUGGAAGCAGAUGAGCAGGGUUUAGCAUGUAACUAGAGCGAGAGGCUUAAGGCUUCUAGUGUUGGACGCAACUCGCAGUGAUCAAUCAUCGAGUCAAAUGAGGAGAGAGUCGAUGCUGAUCUGAGAGUCCCUCUACUGUUCCCAUCAGAUUCUGCCCCUAGUUACAUUACUGAACAUACCCAAUUCAUUGAAAAAAGCAAUAGAUGAGAGGAAAUUAGCAGAGAUGGAGGGGGUUGAAGAUGAAGAGUCACGAUCGAAAUGCUGAGAAGGUGACUUGAUACUCACCCUUUCGCGCCGACCGCAAAGUACAGAAAAUGAGGGAAUCCGCCUUUCUUUUGAGGCAUUCGAGGUUUUUUUUUUUUUUUUUUUGCUCGGUCCUACUUUAAUCAUAUUCUAACACUCACUCUCAGACUUGGGUUACUUCGAAAAAACUCCCGAGUCCAAAGAGUUUUUGGCUCUAAAGUCUUAUUUGUUUAGAAAUCAUAAUGACGAUGAAACCCCUCUUUUUUUUUUCCUUUUUUUUUUUGGUGAAAUCGUGGAUCCAUUUAAAUUAUUCAUGAAUGAAACCUACACAUUUUAAGUAUUUCAGAUGGAUUAUAACAUGAAGUUAUUCGCAGUAAAUUUACAAAACAAAAGUUUUUUAAAUAAUAAAAGUUGCAUUCAGUUAUUAAAAUCUGAUUUGUUUCGCAAAAAAAUGAAUGAUUGAAAACAUAUUUUUCAAAAAAUAAUUAUUUAUAUCACUUGAAAUCCUUAGUUAAUGAAAUAUGUUUUUAUUAUCAAUAACAAUUUAUGCAUAAAUAUUUUUGUGAAAUAUUUUUUAUUCAUUUAUUUUUGUAAAGGAUACAAGCGAUUAUUUUUCAGAAAAUAUUUUUCAAAUUAUUCAUUGUUCCUUAAAGAUCCAAAAAAUUUAUCAUGCAAAUGAAAGUUUAUCAAUCAUGGAUGGUUUGAGCAGAACUUCUGCCAUUUCUACUUUCCUUUCGCAAAUCUUGGGCAAUGUCCACAUUACCACUAGAAGGAAUCUUUAAAAAAAAAUUUGACCAAGGGAUUUUUUCUUUAAAGUAGUUAUCAUAUUUUUUAGAUUUGAAUAGUCGAAUCAAUAGAAAUUAGGAUUGGUUAUAUAUAUAAUCAUGAAAAUAUUAAUAAUGACGAAUUACAAAAUAUUAGUCAACUUAACUUAUUUUUUUAUUAUCUAUGAUUAAAGUAAAAUAAGAACAAUAAAUCGAUGUAUUGAUGCUAUUUAGUCAAUUAAAAAAAAUAAACCAUUAUAAUUUUCUUAAUUUUGAAACAAUGGCCAGUAAAUUAAUUUAAAUUUCUAAUUUCGAGAUAUAAUGCUGUAGAAUAUCUAUAUUAUGAAGAAUAUGCAAUCAUAUUGUAAAUAAUAUGUUAAAAGCUGGUAUCUUUUUUUCAUUACAUUCUCAAAGUUUGUUUUUCAUACAAUCAAUAAAUGAGUCACUGUUUUGCUCCACUACCUAUAUCUAUGUUAUAGCUCUCCUGGGAAUUCAUCAAUUGACAGUAAUGUGAGCCCUCGCUCUAUUUGAUUUCAUUAAUGCUUCGAUUCAUUUACACAUUAUAUAUAUAUAUAUAUAUAUAUAUAUAUAUAUAUAUAUAUAUAUAUAUAUAUAUUAGCAUACAAAACACAUUGCAAAUUUGCAAGGGAGAGAUAUGCACAAUAUUUUGUAUGCAUCGAAAUUUAAUUAAUCCUCGUCCAACUAUAUUUGUGUUGAUGUGAGCAUUUGUAAUUGAUAUAGUAAUCGUUAGUACACUGUUUUUCUUUUACAGAGAGCCAAGCUAAUUAAUAAAAUUAUAUUAAAUUAAACUAUAUCGAUUUGGAUUCGCUUUUACUUUCUUUUUCUUUUUAAAUUUUUGCUUCUGUAAUUUACACUGCCCACGGACUUUAAGUCUUUUUCGAAGUCCCGAAACUUUCACAAUAGUUGGAUGUUAACACGUACAUUUGUAUUUAUUCAUUUCAUAAUUUUUUGAAAUCCAAAUUAUAUUUCAACUUUUGAUAGGAAAAUAAAUUUUUUUUUUUUUAAGUCCAAACAAAGUGGCGUUAAAGCUGUUAAUUUUCGCCAUUUCUUUACGAUUUCACUUCGCGUGCUGGAUGUUUAGGUGAUACGAUGCUGAAAGCACCGUUUCCAUGGGGGAGACAACUGGUGCACUGCCAUGUUCUUUAAUGAUAUCGUCCCGAGUCCCAAUUAUCGAUCGUUAUGUCUCUCUCAUCGCCAGAAAGCGCUUGACUUGUUCGAUGAAAUGCCGCAGAGGGCUCUUGUCUCUUAGAAUUCAUUGAUUUCUGGGUCGUCCCAUCAUGGGUUUUAUGAAGUCUCUGAGUAUCUUCAUGCAGAUGCAAAGAAAUUAUGAUCGUCUGUUCAUGGAUGAAUUUACUUUUGUGGGUGUUGUGGCUGCCUGUGCUCACUUGGGUGCAUUGAAGUUCUUGCUUCAAGUUAAUGGAGUUGCCAUCAUAAUGGGCUUGGAAUUUACUAAGAUUACUUAUAAUUCUCUGAUUGAUGCUUAUGGGAAAUGUGGUGGAGCCGAUAAAUGCCGUGACUUGUUCGAAGUUAUGCCUGAGAAGGAUAUUGUGUUGUGGACUUCCAUGGUUGUUGCUUAUUCGCUAGCUCAUAACUUGGAUGAUGCUUGUGCAAUAUUCAACAAUAUGCCAGCGAAGAAUACGGUCUCUUGGACUGCAAUGAUUGCAUGCUUUGCACAAAAUGGCCGUGGUGAUGAAACUUUGGACCUUUUCGUUCGAAUGCGUGAGGAAGGAAUACAGCCAAGUCCUCGUACUUUUGUCAGUGUUCUAUGUGCUUGUGCUGAUUGAGCACUUGCUGAAAGAGGCAAGCAGAGUCAUGGUUGCAUAGUCAGGACCUGCUUUGAUAGAGAUUUGGAUAACAUAUCUGUAUGGAACGCUCUAAUUGACAUGUAUUGCAAGCGUGGCUACAUGAGAGCAGCUGACAUCUUAUUCUUGAGGAACCCAGAAAGGGCUAUUGUAUCAUGGAACUCAAUGAUAAGUGGAUUUUCACAAAAUGGUUUAGGGCAUGAGUGACUUGUUUUUGUCAAGAAGAUGCUGGAGGCAAAUGCAAGAUUCUACCAUGUCACAUUUCUUGGCACUCUAUCUGCUUGCAGCCACGCAGGUCUAGAUGUUGAAGCACUUCAGAUUUUCAAUGCAAUGGAAAAGGACUACACAGCCUUCAAAAGAGAUCCGACCACUAUGCUAUUUUGGUCGAUCUGCUCAGGAGGAAAUACAGACUUGAGGAAGCCAUGGAAUUGAUAGAUAGUCUCAAACAAAUCAGAGCAUGUUGUGCUUUUCGGUUAAUGCAAAGCCCUCGGUAAUCUUGUUAUUGCCUGAAGCUGUGGAUAUCUAUUGAAGUUGAACCCCAAAAUGCUGCGAAGUAUGUGUCACGUUAUCAAGCAUCUAUGCUGCCAUUAACAGAUGGGAUGAUUCCUGCACAGUAAGGAAGCAAAUGGAGGAGAGAAACUUGAUGAAAGAUGUGGCAAACAGUUGGAUUGAAGUAAAGUAUGAAAUGCACAAAUUUCCAGCAAAGGACCGAUUCCACUAUCAGAUAGGAGACAUACACGAAGUGCUCGGGAAACUACCUUAUCAUAUGAAGGAAGCUGGAUAUGUUCAUGAGCCCCACAUAAGGCUCAUAUAUUUUAAUUUGAAUCUAUCUAAUUUAACCUCAAAUGAUGUCUAUAAUUUUUUUUUUUUUAUUGCUAUACUAUAAUCAAUACUCUCAGCCCAUAAAUCUAUCCUAUUUUUGCUGAGUCCUCUGAUCUAGUUUUUAAACAGAUACACAGAAACACUGAUCUAAAUGUCCCUUAACUCGGAACCUGACCAAUCUAUGAUUUUUUUUCCUUUUUGUGGGGUUAAGUCUAAACUCAGGAAGCGAGAGCACUAAGUCUAAACUAAGAGCUCAAGUUCACGUUGGAUAAUUUAAUCCAUGGGGUAUGUAUGAAUAAUCAAUAAAAUAGAUUCAAUGAGAUGACAUUCGGCUUAAUACUUAAAUGCACAAAAAUGAACAUACUAUAUGCGCAUAUACCACCACAUAGUAGCUCAUCCAUAUAUUCAGAUGAGUAUAUUCGUUAUUCGUCACUGCUUGUGACUCAUCUUGACUAAUGGGGCACCGCCACCACCAAUUCAUGCUCAUUGCACAACCGUCUAUGGCAUACUCAUUCUCCUCAAUAUUCAUUCUCACUUUAUUAUCUUUAUUUUCUCAAUCUUGAACCUCAAGUUUAUAAUAUCACAUAGCAAACUACUCAAGUCAUAUCAAGCUGCACAAAUAAUAUCAUUUUAUAUAUGAAUCAGGGGAAUCAGGAAAACAAACUAUAGUGUUGGCAUAUUAUUGACAAUACUUGUAGAAAUUCAAAAGAGUUUGUAAUUUGCUUAAUUAUUAGAAAGUUGGUAAAAUUCUUGAUAAUGUUGGCAAUUUCUUUUAAUUUAUCAGUAAAAUUUCAGAGGAGUGGAUAUUUUACGACUUCAUUCGAAUGUUGACAAAUUCCUCAUAGUGUCAGUAAUUUACUUACAAUAUCAAUAAAGUUCAGAAAAAUUGGUAAUUUAUUAAUUCAUUGGAAUGUUGGUAGAUUUCCAGUGGUGUUGGUAAUUUAUUAAUGAUCAGGUUUCAAGUCAUAACAUUUUACCAGCAAGAUUGGAAAAUUACUAGUAAGAUUGGAAUUCUACCAAGACAGAAAGUUUUCAAUUUUCCACAGCAUGGGACCGUAAAAUUUUGCAUAGCUUCAUAAGUCUCUACCUCUGCAACAAGAACUUAAAUCCCAACUGAUAAUUUCAAUUGUUGAAACAAGAAACGCAGUAAUGAAUCAUUCAGAAGCCCCUGUAGAAAUCUGUUCAAAAUUAUCAAAACUAAAGGACCUUUGUGACCAUUGCACAUGAUCAUUAACUAGGGAGGGUUAUGUUCAUGCUAGACACGAUGUUUUGCCCAUACUUCUUCAUUUCUUCAAUGUAGAAAUUUUCAGGGGAAAUCAGCAACAAUUCUGCAAAUACAGUCGCUGAUGUCUAAUUAAAUUCGCAACACUGAAUGCAAAACAUUGCACAUUAAUCUCCGUGAACGAAUUUUGGAGCAAGUCAUCUUGAAUCCUUGAUGAAUUUCUCCCGUGACGAGAUUAAUUACUAACUGCACCGCUAAACAUUUUAGAAGUAGGACCACAACAGACCAAGAGAAAAAGAAAGAAAUUGCAGAACCAAUCUACUAUAGUAAGGUUUCAUGCCUUCCAGGACAAUAUUUCGGUUUUAGCUAGACCUUGACAAGCUCAGAAGAACAACCGAUUCCCCAUGUAUGUUUUGAACUAGUUCCUAAUCCCCUAAUUGGUGCAGAAGUGAACUGACGCACAGGAGUUGCAAUGUGUUUCAAUAGAAUGUGACUUGGUUAAGGCUAAAGCUAUUAAAGAUUAGAUGCAGAUGGAACAAAAUCAAUCGAGUGAGCUGUCGAGGGAGUUCAUCGAAAGGCUGUUUUCAUUGCGUAUGUAUGAUAAGUCAUGACUGAAAAUAAUAAAAACCAACUCAAUCCGUUCCAAAUAUUUUCCCAAUCUAUCACUGAUUGCAUCGAAGAUUCGCACGCAGACCCAAUUCAUGCAAAUGCGAAGAGAAAAUUACCAGAAGAAAAGAAUAUAGGCGAAGAUGAAGGAAACCAAAUGAAGAUGCAGAGAAGGAAGAACCCUCGUUGGCCUCAGUUAGCUGCAACCAAAACGGAAAAGGAAGAUCACAAUCCAUUAACCCCUCGGUGGGAACAGAUCGGGGUGGCAGUCCCCGGAGGGAGAUCUCCGCCUGGUUGAAUCGCAUCUCGUUCUUCCGCUCGGGGUCGCUGCCGCUGCUGGUUCUGGGCGAGCUUCUCACUCACGUCGUCGCUGGUGAGGGAGGAAGACGAAGGAGAAGGAAAGAACGUGAGAAGACACAGAGAGAGCAACGGGAGAAAAAACGAAACAAAUAUAAAAAAACACAGAGACAGAGAAAAAGUUUAAAUUUCUUAAGAGUGGGUCCCACCUUUAUGCGUCAUCUCGAGAUGAUAUUCCUCACCAAUCUCCUACGGAAUCUUCUCUCCCUGAUUUCAGUACCCUCCCCCUACUUCUUUGGAAGGGUCUUCGCACUUUUUUCAAAUCUCGGUACUCAUCGGAUUCCAUAAUCUCCUCCAAUCUCUCAGAGUCUUUUAUUUCCAAAUCCUCUAGCUUCUUGAAGCUUGAAGGAUCAGAAAACUUUUGCAGAGACCCGCAGCCAUCAAUAAGAAGAAACAUCACUGAUUUCAGCCUACCUCGAACCAGACGAGGACAAUGCAUUAAUUCAAUAUGCUUAAGCUCCUUGGCGUUGGUCAGGUCAGGCAACUUCUCUAGUAACGGAAGAUCGUCCACACAUAAGACCCUCAAGUUCUCUGAAACUUCCAAGCCUUGAAUCUCUCCUAGCUUCCAACAGCCAUCUAUAUCCAAUUCUUCUAUAUGCUUAAAGCUCGAUGGAUCAGGCAGAUGUUCAAGUGAUUCACAGCAAGUUAAAUGGAGAGACUCCAAUGAUUCAAGCUUACCUCAAACCUCAACCAAUUUAGGACAAACUUCUAUCCAAAAUCUCCAAAGCUUCUUUAAGCUGGUCAGGUCGGGCAACUUCACCAGCGAUGGAAGAAACACAAGAUCAAGCCUUUGCAAGUUUUUCAAAGGUUCGAGGCCUUGAAUCUCUAUUAGCUGUUCACAAUACCAGAUUUCCAAUUCUGAUAACUUCUCCAAAUAUGAAAGAUUUAUUGACUUUUCUGUUAACCCGUGCCCAACAAAAUGGAAGUAUGACAAAUUCUGAGGAAGCUUAGGUAGGCAUUCUAGGUUAUUUUUGAAGAGUUCAAGCUUCCUGAGCUUCAAAAGGAGAUUAAAAUCUGAAGGUAGGGUGACCAGACUAUGACAACACAAUGACAAUGACUCUAGCUUUCUUAACCCUCCGAUCCAAUUGAGGCUUGGAGCUGGAUGGGAAGGCCUUUGAUACUCCAAUCCCAACGUCAAAACCCUCAAAUUUAAUAGGUUCGAGAGAUCUGGGAAUCUUAUUAGUUCAUUACUGGUCAGGUAUAGUUUGGUCAUACUUUCAGGAAGCUUAGGUAUAUUGGAAAUUCUCGUGCCCGAUAACCUGAAGAUUCUUAGAAAUGAUAGUUCUCCAAUCUCACUUGGAAUUUCCCCACACAAACGUCUACAACAGGUAAAAUUGAUCUCUUCAAGCUUCUCUAACAUCCCAAGGGCGCUAGGUAGCUUUUCUAAGUCGGACAUAAACAUCCUUAGUACUCUCAAAUUCUUCAUUGUCUCUAUUGAAUUAGAUAACUCUCAUAUUUUCGACCCAUAAAGAUUCAACUCAACGAGAGAUCCAAAAUUUCCAAAUGGAAGUUCACUAAUUCCGGUAUCCGACAAGUCAAGAUAUGAUAGUGAUGUUGAGCAACCAGCUAAAUUGCAUUCGCUCAGUAAUCUACAAUGUUUUGCACUAAGAGUUUCCAAUUUCUCCAUUCCUUUCCAUUCAGGAAUGUUGGUAAUAGAUGUGCCAUCAACAAGGAGUUCUGUCAAGGCUUCUAGUUCCUCUAUCUCGUCUGGCAAUGUCUGAAAUUUACUAUAAUAAUUCAAGUUUAAUAACACUAAAUGCUUUAACUUACCAAUAGACCUCUCAACUUGAACUAGUUCCACGCACCCUUCAAGAAUCAAUUGCUCUAACUUUUGAUGAGCAGAAAAUUUAGGAGUUCUAAGCAACUUUUUGCAAUCAAUCAAAUUUAGAACCUUCAAAUUCUUUGUCGUCUGUGAUGAAGAGAAGAGGUUGAUUUUGAAUCAUUUUGAGAUAUAGGACAGCAAAAUCAAUAGAGCAAAUUCAUGUUGAAAUAAUAUCAUACCUCGAGGUGGUUCCAUCCCUCCCACUCAUCAGUAAUUCCACUCCUUGAUACAUCAAGAAUCACUAGCUUCUUAAGAGAACAUGCGGUGAACUUGUGAAAGACAGGGAAGUUAUGCCAUGAGAGCCAUCUCAAAUUCGGAAGCAUGAUGCACAAGUUGGUAGAAGGAAAAUGCUGAACGUUGUUCUCAUCCAAGUCUACACAAUCCACUUGAAUAAAUCUUAAAUUAAUAGGCUUAAAGAUUCUUCCUUCUCAAUGAAGUCUUGAAAUUGAUGAUCAUAUUUGAGACGUAUUGUUUCAACAUUUUCUCUUCCCUGCCAAAGCAAAAAAAAUAAAACAAAAGCUAGCGAUCACAUAAUUGCCUAUUAAAGGCAUUCGAGUUGAGCACACUUGAGGAAUGCACAUCUUAUUUAUAAUUUAAAAAAAAUACAAUAUAAUUUACAGAUCAGCAUGUGAUCAUACUAAGCACACAAGUAAUGAAUAGGUUUAGAUAAAAGCAAAUAAGUAAAGUCAACAUGUAUAACUCGUCUCUUUGAAUAGGAAUAAUAUUGCAAAAACUUUACCUUCUUUAUUCCAAGAACAUUAAUUGCUUGCUCAUGAUCCCACACCCGACUUUGCUCCUCUGGUUUAUAAUCACCAUUCUUACAAACGAAAUCUCGUCCAAUGUCUCUUACAAUAUCAUGCAUCCAUAGUCGGUUAUGUUCUAUAAUCUUUAUUAAUGACAUCUUUUGGAGGACACAAAGAUAAAAGUCAGGUUGAAACCUACAGCUUUCCCACAUGUGACUCACAAUUCUCACAUCAAACCCAAUGAAGAAGCAACAAACAUCGAGAAAUAUUUUCCGCGCUAGUGGGUGUAAUGCCUCGAUACUAAUGUUCAAUUUUUUUUCAACUUGUUCAUCGGGAAUAGUUUCCAGCUUCUUUAAUGUGGUCUUCCAAGAUUUUUUGUCUUCCUCAGCUAAAAAAGAACCUAUGAUCUCAAGAACUAAAGGAAGACCACCGCAAAUUUUUACUGCUAUUUUCAAGAGGUUGAUGUAUUUAGCCGAAGGAUGAUCACUUUUAAAGGCAUGUAACAGUAUAAGGGAAUGAUCAAAAUUCAUUUCAAUAAAUUUGUGCUUCAUAUCAACAUGUUUGAGAACUUCCUCAUUUCUUGUGGUGAUAAUAACCUUACUUCCUCUGCAAAACCAGCGUUUAUCCAUCCCCACAAGAGCAUCCAGCUCAGUCUUUUGGUCGACAUCAUCAAUUACAAGUAAGACCAUUUUAGAGGAUAAACUCCUCUUGACCUCAGUUAUCCCUUCUGCAAUGUCAUGGAUUGGCAGACAUUUCCCUUUUCGGAGAGUAGAGAUGAGUUGAUCCUGUGAAUUCAAAAUUCCUUUAUGUCGAACGCCGAACAGGAAGCAACAGUUAUCAAAAUUAGCCGACAAUUUAGUAUAGACGAUUCUAGCAAGAGUUGUCUUUCCGACACCGCCCAUUCCAUGGAUACCAAUAAUCUUUGUUUCAGAGGUGUCUUCGCCUAUCAUUUCCAUGAUCUUGUCCACUUGAUCAUCCAUUUCAACCAAGCAAUCAGGUGCUCCCAAAUAGCUCUUUUUCAACUCAAACAAAACCUUAGAAACGACUUUGUUCUUGAACUCGCCUUUGCCUCUGAUAGUUUUGAAGCCAAAGAGCCAACUGUUAAAUUGAGAUGAACAGAACAAUAUUGAAGGUACGAACCAAUUGUGCACAAUAAUAAAUUCAAGCACAUCUUAUUAAGUCCGCAUCCCUUUAAUUUUCCAACCUUGUUGAGAGCUACCUUCCAGCUCUGAAUAGUCUUAUCAGUGUGCUUAUUCAUGUGUGACUGGAUGGUGUCACCGUAGGUUGCAGUCUGCUUACGAACCAUCCGUGGUUCAACGUCAUAGAAAAUUGGUAUGAUCUUUUGUCCCCACUUUUCCUUGCACUCCACCAUCUAAGUCAAUUCCACGAGGCACCAUUUACUAGCAGCAUAUUCUUUACAAAAGAUAGGAAUCGAGAUUUUCGACUGCACCAUUCAAAUUUUACAUAUAUUAAACCAAAAAAUAUAGAAUUCAUAUAUUUUAAUUAUGUCAAAAUUAUACACAAUAAGUUCGUAAAAAAAAGAAAAUUAGAAAAAAUAACAUUAUUAAUGUCAUAACUUUCAUACAAUACUCACCUAAUGCUAUAACUUUUUUGGGAUUGGUUAGGUAAUAUAAUUUUCAUCUGACAUUCACUGAAAUGCCAUAAUCUUUUAUUUUUUGCACUUGUUCAAAUUGUUUACCCAAGAAUGAAUGUUCCCACAAGGACCGCUGGUCUACCGCUGUCCUUGGUUCUCCACUAUUUGACGCUUCCUCUUUUCUCCAAAUUUUAAAAUUUUUCUUUUUAAUUUUUUCUUAAAAAUUGAUGACAUGGCAGCUAUAUCAAUGCCUCCAUCUUCAAGGGAAAAAAAAAUCACGUUCGUUUUUUCUAUUAGCUGAAUUGGAUGAAAUUAAUAACAAGACUUGAUUGCACGAAUUUAAUGAAUUUUAAAAUUUGAUCGUACUUUUUGCAAGGGAUAAUAACACAAAUGGUUUUUAAACUUUGACUUAAUAUGUAAUGUCAUAUUUAGAUUUGUAAUUUAUUCAAUAUGAUCUCUAAAAUAUUGAUAGAUGUUCAAUUUAGUCUUUAGAUUAAAUGUGCUAUUUUCAUAUAGUUUAACGACUAGAUUAGAUAUUUAUUAAUAGUUCAUAAAUCACAUCAAAUAAAUUAAAAUUUUUAAAAAUGACAUGACAUAUUUUGCCAGAGUUUAAAGAUCACAUUAAACAAAUUUCAAAUUCAAAGACCGGCUGCUUUUGCAUAAUCUUUUAUUUUUUGCACUUGUUCAAAUUGUUUACCCAAGAAUGAAUGUUCCCACAAGGACCGCUGGUCUACCGCUAUCCUUGGUUCUCCACUAUUUGACGCUUCCUCUUUUCUCCAAAUUUUAAAAUUUUUCUUUUUAGUUUUUUCUUAAAAUUUGAUGACAUGGCAGCUAUAUCAAUGCCUCCAUCUUCAAGGGAAAAAAAAAAUCACGUUCGUUUUUUCUAUUAGCUGAAUUGGAUGAAAUUAAUAACAAGACUUGAUUGCACGAAUUUAAUGAAUUUUAAAAUUUGAUCGUACUUUUUGCAAGGGAUAAUAACACAAAUGGUUUUUAAACUUUGACUUAAUAUGUAAUGUCAUAUUUAGAUUUGUAAUUUAUUCAAUAUGAUCUCUAAAAUAUUGAUAGAUGUUCAAUUUAGUCUUUAGAUUAAAUGUGCUAUUUUCAUAUAGUUUAACGACUAGAUUAGAUAUUUAUUAAUAGUUCAUAAAUCACAUCAAAUAAAUUAAAAUUUUUAAAAAUGACAUGACAUAUUUUGCCAGAGUUUAAAGAUCACAUUAAACAAAUUUCAAAUUCAAAGACCGGCUGCUUUUGCAUACCCGCUCACCAUGGAAGUGGCUGACACUAUAUUUCUGGUAGGCAUUCUAUCAAAAACUGCUCUGGCCUCACUAAUUCUGGAGCACUUAGAGUACAUAUCAACCAAUGCAUUUCCUAAAACAACAUCUUUCCCAAAUUUGUCACAUUUUACAACACGGGCAUGAAUUUGCAUCCCUUCCUUAAGUGCUGACGAGCUAGCUCAGGUGCUGACCACACUGGCUAAAAUAACCUCAUCUAUUUCGAACCCACAAUCCAUCAUGCUCACAAAAACCUCAAGAGCCUCGCUGGCGGGACCAUUUUGUUCAUAACACGUAAUCAAGCUGUUCCAAGAAACUAUGUUUCGAGAACUCAUUUCAUCAAAAGCCCUCUGUGCACAAGCCACGUUCCCACACAGCCGAGCACUCAGACUUCGAUAUCAAAGCCUGAAUCCGUUGGGCCAGAUGCAUAUCUGCUAACCCGGCACAUGCGCUAAGCACACUACCAAAUGAGUACUCAUUAAGCACAUAAUUCUCCCUAUGCAUCUUACCAAAACAUUGCAGGGCUUCUUCGAACCUUUCAUGCUGCGCAUAACCUGAGAGCAUCGAAUUCCCGAGCACUGGUCGGGUUCCGGCAUUGACCCGAAUAUCUUUUCCACUUCAUCAAGAGACCCCGAUCUGAUCAACCCGCCUAAGAUCGCGUUCCACGUGAAGGUAUUCUUCUCGGGCAUUCUAUCGAACACCCUGCGGGCAUCGUCGAGGCACCCGCAUCUCGCGUAGACGUCGAUGAGCCGGUUCUGGAUAAAAACCUCGGCGGAGAACGGGGUCUUGAUGAUCCGAGCGUGGACGCGGCGUGUGUUGCGCGCUGACUUGGACAGGCCGCAGCCGUCCAGGAGCUUGGUGAACGGGGUCGAGGUGGCGAAGGAGAGGUCGCCCGCCAGAGCCUUGACCCGCGCAUGCCUCGCCAUUCCAUCAUAUCAUCGUACGAGGCGAAAUCUGUCGGAGUAGAUUUGCAAAUUGAAUGCGACUGGGGGGUUUCUGUUGACCGUUAUAUGCUUCCCCCCUUCAGCCAGGCGCGGGAAUAUGAUACGAGCGCUCGUAUGAAGUGGGGCAAAGUUGCGGUGGCAGAAUGGUAAUUUAGCAUAACAAUCUAAUCUAAGCUAUAAAUUGAAAUAUGACAUAUAUUUAAUAUCUUGUUGUAAGUCACUAAAUUAUGAUUAGUCAUACUUAAAAUCUAUACUUAUUGCUUUAUCAAUUAUAAUUAUAAGUUUAAGAUAAGUCAAUUUAAUUUUAUUAAGAGACUGCCGGAUUAUUCACAAAUAAAACAUACAUUCUUGUUUAGUAAUUAUGAUCAUUCUAAUUGUAACUCAUUCUCGCCAAAAAAAAAAAAUUUGUAACUCAUCAUUAUAAAAAUGCAAAAACCAAUACUAGAGACUGAAAAUUAGAUCUAUGCCGGAUUUGAUGGGAUAGCUUUUCAUUGGCCCCCUCCCUCGAGGAAUAGCUAACCUUGAUUUAUGAAAAUAGCUAUUUCUUUUAUGCAACUAAUCUUGAUUUACUUCUUGACCAACUAACGACUAAUUGUCUCCUCAUGAAAAGAUUGAAAAAUGAUGUAGCUAUUGUGAUAUUUCUAUGUUAACUCUCUUUUGAGGUAAUGUCCGUUUUAUCUCGUCCCAUUUCAAAUCUCAUAGUUUUGUAUUUUGGCAUAUAAGCAGACUUUUUCCCAUUUUAGUAGUGUUCUAACUUGACUAUGCUUAACUUUGGGUAAAACUACCAAGAUAGGUGACUGUACUUUCAAGAGGCCACCCAUCUUGAUCUAACUUGACCACACUUAACUUUGGAGUGGAACUAUCUAUUGAUCUCAUGGGGAAGUGCUUGCUUGCACGCCAGAUGAUAAAAUUGUGAGGCUUGAAAUGGGAUGGGUGCCAACAAAUAAUAUCACGAGUGAAUUAAUCCAGAAACAUCACAGUUAUUUGUCCUCGAACAAAACAUGCAGUUGGAUUUUCGAUUAAGACGUAUCUUCUUCUAGUAAGGUCUGUCCCUUUUGUUUUGUUUUGUUUAGUGUUUUUUGCUUCUUCUUUUUUUUUGUUAAAUAUAUAAUUUAGACAUUGUCCUGUUAUGGUAAGAAAAAUCAAUUGACCUUCUAAAAUGUGCACUCCUGUGAACCUUUGCAAAAGAAGCCCAUCCGAACGCACAUCCACUCCGUCAAGGCUUUGCAACUCUUUCGGCUUUAUGGGACCAAGAACCGUCACAUCUGAGAGUUGUCUCAAGCUUUGGAAAGGUCUAUUGAUGUUCUUAUUUCCUGGCAAAGUAGGAUAUGUAAAAUGGACAAAACUCCCAGGAAGCCUUGGCAAGAACCUGAGGUUCUUAAAAAUUGAGAACAAGUUUCCUGAGCUUGCAACUCUAAGGACUCCAGACGGCAUAACCUUUCAGUCCACCGAGGAUCAUGGAGCUUCCUUAAGUCCGUGACCGUCGUAAUAAUACCUCGACACAUAUAAACGCAAGCAUCUCGGAUUUAAUAGGCACAGGAGAUCUGGAAAUGUGUACAUUGAGAAAAUUACAAGCACAGGUUAAUUCCAAGCCCAUGGCACCAUAGAAUUUUUCCCAUGACAAGAUUAAUUACUAAUUGCACCCGCUAAAAAUUUUAGAAGUAGGGCCACAACAGACCCAAAAAAGAAGAAAGAAAGUGCAGAACCGAUCGAUUACAGUAAGCUUUCACGCCUUCCAGGACAAUAGUUCGGUUUUAGCUCGACCUUGACAAGCUCAGAAGAACAACUGAUUCCCCAUGUAUGUUUUGAACUAGUUCCUAAGGAGCGAAAAUCAAUCCCCUGAUUGGUGCAGAAGUGAACUGACGCACAGGAGUUGCGAUGUGUUUCAAUGCAUGUGACCUUGUUAAGGCAAGCUAUUAAAGAUUAGAUGCAGAUGGAACAAAAUCAAUCGAGUCAGCUGCCGAGUGAGUUCAUUGGAAGGCUGUUUUUAUUGUGUAUGAAUGGUAAGUCAUGACUGAAAAUAAUGAAAACAACUCAAUCCGUUCCGAAUCUUUUCCUAAUCGAUCACUGAUUGCAUCAAAGAUUCGCAAGCGGACCCAAUUCAUGCCAAUGUGAAGAGAGAAAAUUACCAGAAAACCAAAUAAAGAUGGGGAGAAGGAAAAAGCAAGACUUUUUUCUAGAGAACAUAUUCAACUCUCGUGGAACAAAUCAGCGGGCAGGAAGACAGGGGUCGCAGUCCCUGGAGGGAUAUCUCCGCCAGGUUGGAUCGCGUCUUGUGAUGCCACUCGGGGUUGCCGUUGCAUUCCUUGAUGGCCAGUGUCUGUUGCUGCUGGUUCUGGUCGAGCUUCUCUCUUGGGACAUCACUGAUGAGGAAGGAAGAUGAAGGGAGGAGAAGGUGAGAAGGUGUUGUUUUGGGGGGGUAGGAGCAACGGGAGAAAAAAGAAAGAGAGCUUCAAAAAAGGGGGGAGAGAGAGAGAGACCUUGACGGCUUCAAGGUAAAAGAGAGGAAUCCCUAACCCUUUUAAUUCUACUGUCUCCAUAUAACUGCAUGUCGAAUAGAUGAAAUUUCCAUCCGCGGAUCUAUCCUUGGAGGCAACUCCAGUGAUUCCUCGAGCACCUUGGUCAGGUGCAACUCCAGUGAUUCCUUAAGCACCUUGAUCAGGUUAGAAAACUUCUUUGGAGGCAACUCCAGUGAUUCCUUGAGCACCUUGGUCAGGUUAGACAACUUCGCUGGCAACAGUUCUAACAACUUUUGCGAAGAUUUGCAGCAAUCAAUAUGAAGCUUCUCCAAUGAUUUUGGCCUAUGUUGAACCUCAACCAGAUGAGGUAGCUUCGCACAGCCUUCUACGGUGACAUGUUUGAUAUUCUUGACGUUUGAUGGAAACUUUUCGAGUGAUUCACAGGACAUUAAAUAAAGCUUCUCCAACGAUUCUUGCUGAUCUCCUACCUCAAUCAGUUUAGGACAUAGUGAUAUAGUAAGUACCCCCAGCUUCUUCAAGUGGGUCAGGUCGGGCAACUUCACCAGUGAAGGAAGAUGGCAAAGAUAAAGCCAUUUCAUGUUUUCCAAAUUUUCAAGGCCUUGAAUCUCUGUUAGCUGUUCACAAUUACGUACUUCCAAUUCUGAUAACUUCUUCAAAUAUGAAAGAUCUCCAGACUUUUCCAUUGACUUGCACCCACAAAUACUUAAGUAUGACAAAUGCUGGGGAAACCUAUGUAGGCAUUCUAGUUUAUUUCCAACAAGUUCAAGCUUCUCGAGCUUCGAAAAGAGAUUAAGAUCUAAAGGUAUGGAGACCAGACUAUGCCAACUCAACAGCAAGGAAGUUAGCUUUCUUAAACCUCCGAUCCAGUUGAGGCUUGGAGUUGGAUGGAACGAGAAUUCAGACUUUAAAUCCAACUUCAAAACUCUCAAAUUUAAUAGGUUAGAGAGAUCUGGGUAUUCCUUAAAUGGACCAAUUGUAAGGUGUAGAUUGGUCAUACUUUCAGGAAGCUUAGGUACAUCAGAAAUUCUUGUGUUCAGUAACAUCAAGAUCCUCAGAAAUGAUAAUCUUCCGAUCUCCCUAGGAAUUUCCCCAAGGAAAUUUCUACAGUCACGAGCAUAGAUCUCUUCAAGCUUCUCCAACAUCCCAAGGGCACUAGGUAGCCUUUUUAAGGGGGUGUGUGACACCCUUAGUACUCUCAAAUACUUCAUUUUCUCUAUUGAACUGGGUAACUCUUGAAUUUUCGACUGAGAAAGAUUCAACUCAACAAGAGAUGCAAAAUUUCCAAACGGAAGCACAGUAAUAUUUGUACCUCCCAACCUUAGAUUCAAUAUUGAUGUUAAGCAACCAGAAAAAUUGCACAUGCUCAGUGAUUCACAUGAACUUGCACUGAGAGUUUCCAAUUUCUUCAUUCCUUUCCAUUCAGGAAUUUCGGUAAUGGAUGUCCCAUCAAUAAUAAGUUCCCUUAAGGCUUCCAGUUCCUCCAUCUUGUCCGGCAAUGUCUGAAGUUUCCUACAACCUCCCAAGUUUAAUGAUACUAAAUGAUUUAACUUAUUAAUAGAGCUAUCAACUUGAACCAGUUCCGUGCACCCUUGAAGAAUCAGUUGCUCUAAAUUUUCAUGAGCAGAAAGGUCAGGAGUUCUACGCAAGUAUCUGCAUCCAGUCAAAUUUAAAACCUUCAAAUCCUCUGCCAUCUGUAAUGAAGAGAAGAAGUUAAUUCUGCAUCAUUUUGAGAUACAUGACAACAAAGUCAAUAUAGCAAAUUCAUGUUCAGAGAAUACCAUACCUUGAGGUGGUUCCAUCCAUCCCACUCAUAUGUAAUUUCACUCCAUGAUACAUCAAGAAUCACUAACUUCCUAGGGGAACAUGCAAUGAACUUGAAAAAGAUAGGAAAGUUAUGCCAUGAGAGCCAUCUCAAUUGUGGAAGCAUGAUCGGAUUCCCCCCGAACCAGUUGGUAGAAUGAAAAUUCAAAAGCAUGAUCGGAUUCCUCAAUAACCAGUUGGCAGAAUGAAAAUGCCGAAUGUUGUUCUCAUCCAAGUCUACACCAUCCACUUGAAGAAAUCUUAAAUUUGGUAGGCUUAUGGAUUCUUCCUUCUCAAUGAAGUCUUGAAAUUGAUGAUCAGAUUUGAGACUUAUUGCUUCAACAUUUUCUCUUCCCUGCCAAAGCAAAAAAAUUAAACAGAAGCUAGUGAUCACAUAAUUGCCUGUUGAAGGCAUUCAAGUUGAGCAUACUUGAGGAAUGUACAUUUUAAAUUAAUAAAAUUAAUUUACAAUAUAAUUUACAGAUAAGCAUGUGGUCCCACUAAGCACACAAGUAAUGACUCGGUUUAGAUAAAAACAAAUAAGCAAAGUCAACGUGUAUAAUUCGUUUCUUUGAAAAGGAUUAACAUUGCAAACACUUUACCUCCUUUGUUUCAAGAACAUCAGUUGCUUUCUCUUGAUCCCACACUCGACUUUGCUUCUCUGGUUUAUAAUCACCAGUCUUACGAACGAAAUCUCGCCCAAGGUCUCUUACAAUAUCAUGCAUCCACAGUCUGUUAUGUUCUGUAAUCUUUAUUAACGACAUCUUUUGGAGGACACUAAGAUAAAAGUCAGGUUGAAACCCACAGCUUUCCCACAUGUGCCUCACAAUUCUCACAUCAAACCCAACGAAGAAGCAACAAACAUCAAGAAAUAUUUUCCCCGCUAAUGGUGGUAAUGCCUUAAUACUGAUGUUCAACUUUUCUUCAACUUUUUCAUCGGGAAUAGUUUCCAGCUUCUUUAAUGUGGUCUCCCAAGAUUUUCUGUCUUCCUCAGCUAAAAGAGAACCUAUGAUCUCAAGAACCAAAGGAAGACCACUGCAGAUUUUUACCGCUUUUUUCGAGAGGCCGACGUAUUCAGCCGGAGCAUGAUCACUUUUAAAGGCAUGUUUGCUAAAUAGUAUAAGGGAACGAUCAAAAUCCAUUUCAAUAACUUGGUGCUUCAUAUCAACAUGUUUGAGAACUUCCUCAUUUCUUGUGGUGAUAAUAACCUUACUUCCUCUGCAAAACCAGCAUUUACCCAUCCCCACAAGAGCAUCCAGCUCAGUCUUUUGGUCGACAUCAUCAAUUACGAGUAAGACCUUUUUAAAGGAUAAACUCUUCUUGACCUCAGUUAUCCCUUCUGCAAUGUCAUGGAUUGGCAGACAUUUCCCUUUUCGGAGAGUAGAGAUGAGCUGAUCCUGCGAACUCAGAAUUCCUUUAUGUCGAACACCAAACAGGAAGCAACAGUCAUCAAAAUUAGCUGACAAUUUAGUAUAGACAAUUCUAGCAAGAGUUGUCUUUCCGACACCACCCAUUCCAUGGAUACCAAUAAUCUUUGUUUCAGAGGUGUCUUCACCUAUCAUUUCCAUGAUCUCGUCCACUUGAUCAUCCAUUUCAACCAAGCAAUCAAGUGCUCCCAAGUAGCUCUUUUUCAACUCGAACAAAACCUUAUCAACAACUUCUUUCAUGAACUCGCCUUUGCCUCUGAUAGUUUCGAAGGCAAAAGAAUCAAACUGUUAAGUCGAGAUGAACAGAAUAAUAUCUACGGUACAAACAAAUCGUGCACAAUAAUAAAUUCAAGUACCUCUUAUUAAGUUCGCAUCCCUUUAAUUUUCCAACCUUGUUGAGAGCUGCCUUCCAGUUCAUAGUCUUAUCAGUGUUUUCAUUUAUGUGUGACUGAAUGGCGUGACCGUAGGUUCCAGUCUGCUUACGAACCAUCCGUGGUUCAACGUCAUAGAAAAUUGGUAUGAUCUUUUGUCCCCACUUUUCCUUGCACUCCACCAUCUGGGCCAAUUCCAUGAGGCACCAUUUACUGGCAGCAUAUCCUUUAGAAAAGAUAGGAAUCAAGAUUUUCAACUGCUUAAUCGCAUGGAGAAGCUCCGGGCCAAUCUCUUCCCCAACGUGAAGCUCUUCAUUAUCUCUAAAUGUUCGUAUUCUGGCAUCAGUGAGGCUGUGGUAAAGGUAAUCAGUGAUGUCGUUGCGAGUAUCUGAUCCUCUGAAGCUCAAGAAUACAUCAUAACAAGGUUCCUUUGGCUCCUCCAUUCCUGAAUUUUCAGAGGACUUUGCUAGGACUUGAUAUGCCACCUGAAAAAUGCUUAUUAUGAAAGUGGAGUGAUGAUGAUCAUGAUUUCUCUCAGAAUUUUUUUUUUCUUUUUUUUUUAAAGUCACUAUAGAAAGACACCUUGAUGACAAAUGCAUGAGCUCCAUCUGCGGCCUUCUAGACAACAAAAUAUAUUUCCUUCCUUUAUAAAAAAUUUAGUAGAGAAGUCAAACCAUCUCAAUUCUAAAGGAAGAAAUCUCCAAAUUAUUGCAGAAUUAUGGGUUUUAAUUCACACUCCAGAUUGAUUGAAAAAAAAAAAAACAUUUCGUGCAAAGAUAAAUCACUGCCAACCUAUAUUUGUCUUAAACUCUUUCUUUAGGUGAUAAAGUAUCCCCUGAAAGGUGAUGUCGAAUGUCCUCUGCACAUAAGCGCCUAAUGUUGCUUGUUGGUUGACUAAUUAUCUUAUUAUCUGAUAAGAAAUUAUGAUCAAACCUUCCUAAUUUCGUUUAACAAAAAUAGAUUUGACAAACAACACUCAUUUAGUUGCUUCCUCAACCUUAACAGUUGCUGGUGAAGAAUUCAUUCCCCUAUGAUGAUCUCACUAGAAUAAUGAAAUCAAGAAAUUACACUAAAGCAAAUGCAACUCUCACCAUAUUGGACUAGUUUCUUAAGAUCAUAAACUGAUCCCUAAUUACAGCCAUCUCAUAGGUUAUCAAAGAACAGAUACACGGUCAUGGGUGAGCAUCAGUUAGGGUUGAAGAUAUUUUCCACACUUGCAAGUACCAGCAUAUUAAAAAAAUGGGAUUUACUCACUAAUCAACUAUGGGGUUAAUAAGAUUUCAACAGAAAAAAUAAAAGCAUGAAUGCUAUAUUACUGUUUUUUUAAAAUAAGUUGGAAAACACAGGAGUGUAGGGAUGAGAGCCGCAUUUUAUGAAAGCAGAGAGUUCUGGUUCACCACAGAGUGCAACAGUAUAGUGUAUUCAGUCCGUCUCUACUGUUAAAUACAGAGUUGAGGGUAUCAAUUUUCUGCCUAGAAGCGUUCUUACUGCUAAUCACUAGACAAUAAUGUACGAAUUUGUCAUAUCAAAGUCUCUUAAAGAUACCACCAUCACUAUUCGCACAAAAAAAAAAAAUCCCAUCAAAAAAUGAAAUCAACAGAUCCACUCUAACAAAUUUAGCUUUUAGCGCCAGCAAUCCACGCGAAAACUCAGAGAGAGAGAGAGAGAGAGAGAGAGAGAGAGAGAGAGUACGUGGGUGACGAGCUCGUAAGACUGAGCGUUGUCGAUGAUGGAACCGGACUUGCCUCUGCCUUCGCUGCCACCGCCGCCCUUCCUCCUCUUCUUCUUCUCGCCGCUCCUCUUCUUCAGCUUGUAGUCGCGAGGGCCGCCGCCGCCGCCGCCGCCGCCGCCUUUGAGGAGCUCACUCCGAGGCUCGACACUGCUCGCGUCCGCUUCAGCUUCAUGCCGUCUCUUCUUCUUCGCCACUCCCGCUCUCCGAUAUCAGAAAGUUUCGACUUUUCGACAUGGUACGAGGUCGACUGGUCAAGGGUUUAGGCGUCGAUCUUGGUGGUGGUAUUGCGUUUCGGGAUCUGAGGCCCGACACUUGCACAGAUGGAAGCAGAUGAGCAAGGUUUUAGCACCGGACUAGAGUCAGAGGCUAAAGCUAUUAGUGUUAGACGCAACUGACUGUGAUCAGUCAUGAAGUCAACUGAGAAAGAAUUGAUACUGAUCUGAGAGCCCUCUCUUGUUUCCAUCAAAUUCUGCAUCUAGUUGCCUUACAGAACAGACCCAAUUCAUUAUGAAGAAGGCAAUCAACGAGAGGAAAUUACCGGAGAUGGAGGGGGUGAAGAUGAAAGGUCCGGAUCAAAUGCUGAGAAGCAGAUAAAAGAUCCCAAAAAUAAACGCUCUUGGCUUUCGAGUUCAGCUGAAGAGAGGCAAGACAUACAUAAGAAGGUGAAUUCACCCUUCUUCGCCGUGCCCUUCCAGAAAAGUGAGGGCUUGCUAGUUGCAGGGAAAUUUCAAGCAGACCGUGAAAGAGUCAAUACGCGUUGCUGUUGACUUUCCAGGUAAACGAGUCGAGUUACUGGAAAAUUUCUCGUAGUCCGAAAACUUUUUGGCACGAAAAGCAAGAGCAUAAGAGGAUUUUCAUUGCACGUUAUUAGUUUAGAAAUCAUAUAAUUUAUAUUAAUCGAUAUUCUUUCGAUGACGAUCCUCGUCAUUGAAUUCAUGUAUCAAAUCAAAAAAUGUUGAAUUCAUGUAUGUCAGAGUUAUACACAAUGAGUUUGUAAGAUAAAAAAGUUAGAAAAAAUAAUACCAUAAAUAUUAUAACUUUCGUACAAUAUUCACUUUAGUGUUAUAAGUUUUUUGAAAUUAGUUAAGCAAUAUAAUUUUUGUUUGACACUCACUUAAAUGCCAUAAUCUUUUAUCUUUUGAUCACUUGUGCCAUGACUUCUUAAAAUUGUUCAUUCAAGAAUGAGUGUUCCCCCAAGGACCACUGGUCUACCACUGUUCUUCUUGGUACUCCAUGUUCGGCGCUUCCUCUUUUCUCCAAAUUUGUACUUUUUCUUUUUGAAUUGUUCUUAAAAUCUGCUGAAAUGGCAGCUCUAUCAAUGCCUCCAUUUUCAAGGAAAAAAAAAAUCGUGUCUGUCUUUUCUAUUAGUUAAAUUUGAUGGAGUUAAUAGCGAGAUAUGAUCGCAUCAAUUUAAUGAUUUUUAAAAUUUGAUUGUACUUUUUAAAAGUUUUAAAAUUUGAAAGCAUUUUUGCAACAUAUUUUAAGAUUUAUGGAGCAUUUAUCCUCUCUUAUGGGACAAUAACAUAAAUGGUCCUUAAACUUUAGCUCAAUAUAUAAUGUUAUUCUUAUAUAUUUUAAUUUGUUCAAUGUGAUAUCUAAAAUAUUGAUACAUGUUCAAUUUAGUCUUUAGAUUAAAUGCGUUAUUUCCAUAUAGUUUAAUGACUAGAUUGGAUAUCUAUUAAUAAUUUAUGGAUCAUAUUAAAUAAAUUAAAAAAUUUUAAAAUGACAUAACAUAUUUUAUUAGAAUUCAAUGAUCACAUUAAAUAAAUUCUAAACUUAGAGACAACAUUAGAUAUUGGACAAGAUAUAUGGAUUAUUUAUGUCAUUUUUUUCAUUUUUUUUAAAUCUAAAACUCCAGAGACUUAAGGAUAGACAAAUAAAUUCACAUAUAUUUUUUUGAUAAUUUUCUGAAAUCUGAACAAUAAUUUAAAUUUUAACAAAAAGGUAAAAAAACUACUAUUAACUUCUUUAAGUCCUAGCAAAGAGGCACUAAAUCAAUUAACUUUCGCCAUUUCUUUACGAUGUCCCUUCGCGUGGGCACCAUUUCAUGGGAGAGACGACUGGUGCAUUGACGCUCAGGAAAGUGACGAAUUGCUAGUAGUUGAAGGGAAACUUCAAGCCGACCUUGAAAAAGGGAGUCCGCGUUUUGCUUUUGACUUUUGGGGUAAUUGAGUUGAGUUCCCGGGAAAUUUCUCCAAGUCCAAAGACUCUUUGGCACGAAAGGCGGAGUACAAGAGAUUUUCAUGCGUGUUAUUAGAUUAGAAAUCAUUCCAUUUAGGCUAAUUGAUAUUCUUUUAAUGACAAUAAAACCAUUCUUUUGUAGGUGAAACCCAGGCCCAUUCAAAUUUUACAUAUACUAAACCCAGAAAUGUAGAAUUCAUAUAUUUUAAUUAAUUAAGACGAAUAAUAUGAUUAAAAUAAAAUAAGAAAAAUAGAUUAAUAUGUUGAUGCUAUUUAAUCAAGUAAAAACUAUACCAUUAUAAUAUUCUUAAUUUUGAAACAACGACAAGUAAAUUAAUUUAAAUUUCUAGUAUCGAGAUAUAAUGCUAUCAAAUAUCUAUAUUAUGAAGAAAAUGCGGUCAUAUUGCAAAUACUAUGUUAAAAAUUGGUAUCUUUUUUUCAUUACAUUCUCAAAGUUUCUUUUUUUUUUUUAAUACAAUCAAUAAAUGAGUCUUUGUUUCAUUUUGCUACCUACAUUUUUGUUAGCUUUCUUGGGAAUCCACCGAUUGAAAGUAGUGUGAGUCCUCGCUCAAUUUGAUUUUGUUAAUGCUUUGGUUCAUUUACGCAUUUAAUCUUUUUUUAUCAUACAAAAUACAAUGCAAUGGAGGGAUAUGCACAAUAUUUUUAUGCAUCAAAAUUUCAUUAAUCAUCAUCCAACUAUGUUUAUGUUUAUGUGAGCAUUUGGUAAUUGAUAUAGUAAUAGGUGUUACACUGUUUUUCUUUCACAGAAAGCAAAGGUAAUUAAUAAAAAUUAAAUUAAAUUAAACUAUAUCAAUUUGGAUUGACUUUUAAAUUUUUAUUUUUAUUUUUGCUCCAUUUAAUUUACACUGCCCACGCACUUUAACUCUAUUUCAAAGUCCCAAAACUUUCCAAAUAGUUAUAUGUUAACACGUAAAUUUGUAUUAAUUUUUUCAUAAUUUUUUGAAAUCUAAAUAAUAUUUCAACUUUUAAUAGAAAAAUAAAAUAAUUCCAAACAAAGUGGCAUUAAAGCCAUUAAUUUCUCCAUUUCAUCUCAAUAAAAUUUCAACUUUUAAUAGAAAAAUAAAAUUUAUUUUAUUUAAUUCCAAACAAAGUGGCAUUAAAGCCAUUAAUUUCUCCAUUUCUUAGGCAUGAGGCUAUUGUUCACAUCUGCCAGAAAGUAUCAUCAUAUCAGAAGAAGAGGAGCGGAUUACUAAUUACUUAUGGAGUUAAUAAAAUUUCAACAGAAAAAAAGAAGCAUGGACGCAAUAACUGUUUUUCCAGUAAAUAAGUUUGAACACAUGGCCUGUAGGGAUGAAAGCUGCAUUUCACAAAAGCUGAGAGUUCCGGUUUGCCACAGAGUGCAACAUUAUAUACUCUUUAGUUUGUCGCUUCUGUCAAAUACAGAGUUGAAGGUAUCAAUUUUCCGUCUAGGAGCGUUCUUUCUUACUGCUUAUUUACCAGACAAUAAUGCACUAAUUUGUCUCCACUGUUAAACAACUGAAAUCAACCGAUCCUAAUUCUAACUAAUUCAGCUUUGGGUGCUGGCCGGUUCCUAAAGAGUGUAAAUUCAGUCCUGAAUUACAUAAACCUCUGAGUAUAUCAACAAGCUGAUGUAUAGGAGUGGGAUUGUGUUUCAAGAUCUGAGGCCUAACUAUUGCAUAGAUGGAAGCAGAUGAACAGGGUUUACACGUGACUAGCGUUAUGCUAAAACUGUUGGUGUUAGAUACAAAUUGUAGCGAUCGAUCAUGGAGUCAACCAUGGAAAGAAUUGAUACUGAUAGGAGAGUCCCUCUAUCGUUUUCAUCAAAUUAAUGGAAAAAAGGCAAUGAAUGAGAGGAGAUUACCAAAGAUGGAGGAGUGAAGAUGAAGAGUCCGGAUCAAAUGGGAAGAAGCAGACAAAGAUCCCCCAAAUCAAUCGUUCUUGGGUUUGCGCUCCGUUGAAGAAAGACUUUUCACAAGAUGGCCCGCUGGCCCUUGCACGCAAUGCUCUUUCAGGUAGGUGAGGACUUGCAAGUUGCAGGUUUACUUAAAGCCUGUCGUUGACUUUUGAUGUAAUAGAGAUGAAGGCCGGCCGUUGACUUGCCAAUGAUUUGCCGGCGCAAACCACCAGAGUUCUAAUAGACGAGAAUUUAAUGCAUGUUAUUAGUUUGGAAAUCAUAUAAUUAUAUUGAUUGAUAUUCUUUUAAUGACGAUGAAACCGUUCUUUUGUUGUAGGUGACACCCUAGGCCCAUUUAAAUUCAACAUAAAUUGAAUCUACAAAUGUAGAAUCCAUACUUUUAAGUCUUUGAGAUGGAUUAUAUUAUUCAUAGUAAACUUAUAAAGACUAGAGUUAGGUUUUUAUGCUCUGUUUGUUUCAAGAAAAAAUAAAUAAUUUGGAAACAAUUUCUUAAAAAUGAUUACUUGUAUCACGUAAAAUAAUUAGCUAAUAAAAAAUAUUUUUAUUGUGGACAACAAUUUAUGUCUAAAUAAUUUCAUGGAUAAUAAAAAUAACUUUUGUUUAUUCAUUUUUGUAAGUGAUAUAAAUAAUUAUUUUAGCAAAAUCCUUUUCAAAUUAUCUACUUUCUGCAAAACAUGCAUACCUUUGAACUCUAAAAGUUAUAUCAUCUAGAAAUUGAUAAAGCUCCGAAAAGGUUACAAUAUAAGUGGAAGGUAAUCGACAAUCAUUUUUUAAUCGGCUAUAGAAUCUCAUUACGUUCAUUAAAAAAGAGAGUAUAUCUUGGAUCUCCCUUGGGAGCAGAGAAAUACAACGACUUCCAAAAGAGGUACUGAAAAUCCUAAUUCUAAUCUAAGUAUAAAUUGGAAAAUUACGUGAAAAACAUAAACCUUAGUCAAUAACCCUUUUGGGAAGAUGUGCAUAGCACAUCAUGCACGGCACAUGUAAGACACAUGAAAAUUGCAACGAUUGCCGAGGAAAAAUGUGUCUGAGUUGCAUAGGGUUUAAGGCUCAAAUGGGCUAAAUUUAAUAAUUCAACGAUUUAAAGAGUUCAAUUUGAAUGAAAUUCAUAAAAUCGCCUCAGUUUAAAAUUUAAUACAUUGAAAUUAUUGUGGAUCAAAUGCUAAGAAGCAGAUAAAGAUGCCAGAACCGAAGGAAGAGUUUUAUUAAAGAGUCUACUCACCUUCACGUGCCAUGCACCUGCAGGAAGGUAAGGACUUGCUACUCAUCCCAUCCGCAUUACAAUUUUACAUACGUUAAACCUAAAAUAUAGAACUCAUACAUAUUAUGUAUUUGAGAUGGAUCAUGUUAGACUUAUUCCCAAUAAAUUCAUAGACAAGAAUUAGGUUUUAAUUUCAAAAGCUGCAUUUGUACACAAAGGAAUAAAGCACCAAAAAAUUUACGAUGAGUCUUCAAAAAUAGCUACAGUUGAAAUAUUCCAGAUGAUAUAUUUAUGGUUUUGUCCCAAUUUAUUUCUCAUAUGCAGGUAACGGAAACGCUUUCAAAAUAGACAUCUCUCCAACCUAUUCAGAAGCCAUUUGAGUUUCUAAUAAAUCAACGUUUCCCUCAGCAUGGAGAGCAGAGAAAGCGUAAGUUCUAGACACAAGGUUUGCAGUACACAUGACCUCUAUGAUCUCUGGCCAAAGCGGCAUUGGAGGCAUGAGAAUCUUGCAUCGAUGUUCACUUGAAGUAAGAGGGGAGGAGUCCAUUUUGGAGGGUCGUUGUUCACAACUGGUGACUACGAGCAACGUUCCAUCACAACUCAGGGUAGAUGUCCUGUAUAUGUCGAAUUACUGAAGGAAAAUCCAUUUGGGAACGAGCUUCCAGAAUUUUGUUUCGACGCUCCGAUAAACCCACUAAACUAUCUCGACCAUAUUGCGAAAAUCUUCGCAAUAAAUGUCUGGUGGAAGGCCGAAAGCGAGGAGGCGCAGAGAUCACAUGGCACACGUGUAAAAAACAGAACCGCAAAAGAAGUUGAUAUGUCCAAGCCCCAGCCAACUCGACUCCAUACAAUUCAGGUCAUCCACUCUCUUUCCCUUUUGUCAGGGCGAAUUUGACUGAUCAAUAUUUUUCGAAGUAAAAGAGCAGUUUUGUUCUAACUAGAUCUUCGGGAGAGAUAUGACCUUUACCUAUGUAUGGAAUAAAUACGACAUCUUGCCCAUGGAAUGUUGACAAGACAUCGAAUGCAUUUUGUGCAGAUCUCAACAACCGAGAGCAGAUUCUUAUGAAGACUCUACUUGUGAUUAACUUGGAGGUAAAGGACAACCAUGAGGAGGCAGCAACUGGAGCUCAGCUUGCUUUAAAUCUUUGUCGAGAGGUCUUUGACUGGCUGUGCUUUAUGUAUUAAUGAUAGUAAGCUUAAUUUCUGUAUGCUGAGAAAUUGCUUAUUGUAAUUCCUGGUCCCCAGAUAGAAGCAGCCGAGGAGGAAUCCAUUGAUGAAAUUGUUUCUAAUUUCAGAACCAGAACAGGCGGAAAUUUUUAUUCAGCAUUUCCUUCUAUUGAUGACCGUGGUGAGGGCAAGACUCUUGCUCUGAAAGCUUUAUGAUCCAUGUCGUUGUUCUGUUAGUAUUUUGUCUGCAAAUUUAUAUGUCGAUGUUCUGUUAGUAUUUUUAUUCUGUCUGUCCAUCUACUUGCACAAUUGGUAAUAUACUUAAAUACAUUACCAGAUUUCUUCCAACGCUGUUACUGUUUGCUUUGCACGAAGCCUUCCCUAGAAAUCUUACCUUUCUAAGCCCAACGAGCCCUAUUUAAUCCAUUACACAGCUAAUCAUUUCUUUAUACCCUAUCCUGAAUUUGAUCUCUUCUUAUGUCAGGAAGAAUGAAUCAGGCUCUCCCAUGUUUUUACGCCUUUGCUUGAUCUUGGUAUUCCAUGCGAAUUGUUGGGUUUGAUGAGCACUUUCCUUGACUACUCGUUAGUGGUAGGUGAUUUUGCAACAAUAUCUCUAUCUGCAUAAUGAGAAUUGUCAUUCUCACGCUUUGAAUUUAAUUUGCUAGAGAAGCCUAUUCUUUGCUGUUAUUGCCAAGCCUGUCAUACUAAUGCGCUGCAUCUAUCCACUUUCAGAUAACACUGCAUCGAUGUGGAAAAGAAAUUCUGAGUCGAACCCUUUUACACUCACUUUAUCUCUGGAAUGUCGACGCAUGAUGAUGUAUUAGUAAUUGGAAGCAAGCCAGUCUUGCUUAGGAGUGAAAAUUCUAUUAUUUCUUGUAGUUUCAUUCUUUUUCUUUUUCUUUUUUCAUUUUAAGUUUCUUUGUACUGCAGAACUAAUUCUGCGAUGGUACUCAUGUCGAGAGAGCAGGCAGAAAAGAGAUUCUGGCGUAUUGCAUAUAAUUUCUUUGAAUGCGAUGGGUUGAAAACCGCCUCUAUUUUCAUUUUACUGUAUCGUGCAUAUGAAAAGAAAAAACAGGAGAAACGAACCAACCUGACCUGGUCAGUCAUUUGAUGAUCUGGUUCUGUAUUUUUGGCAGGGUUCACAAUUCAAUCGAUCCUAGUUAUUUGAGAUGAGUUGGUUUGUGAAAAGAAAAUUACGUAAAAAGCAGAAAGUUCUAAUUUGAGUUCAUUUAGAGAUCGUCAGUUUUCUUGCUGGCUUGUUGGUCAUUCCUAGGAUCUUGUCCUUCAACUUGCUUUCCUCACUGUUUGAAUCAAAAUUCCCUUGCGUAUUCAUUUAAAACAACAGGCUCUGAUAAUUUGUGGAAAUUACCUACUACUGACACACAAAAGUCAUCUCCAUGUUUGACUUGCACCAAGAUUAGCAGCUUCACAUCUCCAACGGCAGAAUGCUUGCUUGACCUCGGCACAAGUGUCUUUUUGGAAUCUCUCAAAUACCAGUCUCUUGAGCAGGUGAAUUCUUCUCCUAUUCUACUGUUCCGUCGAGCCGGUGAAUUUUCUUCUACUCUGCUGUUCCUCCGGGAGGACGUUGCGGUCUAUUGAUCUAUCUGUGGAAAUAAAAUGUCUCCUCUCUCUGAACCGUCAAUCUCCUGUGGGUUAAUUUGUAUAACACCAACCACACCAAUUAGCUGUGGUACGCUCUACCCUCAUGCAGAUCUGCUUCUUAUGGCCAAAUAGACUUGUGUUUGCAUCGUGUCAGCUACAACCCAAAAGUGCCAGUGAAACUCGGCCAAACAACAGUGCACAUUAGACAGAGAAAAGAGAGCUCUUCUGCUCACGCAUUUUAUCAAAUGUUACUAUGGUAUGAAUGAUGAAGAGAAAUUGAAGGAUGAUGACUCUCCAUGAACUAACAAACAGCGGCAUCAACCGGCAUUUCCAUUUCAUAAGACAUCAAGUUCGAUUCACUCAGCUCCUCAUGGGCAUUGUAGUCAUCCGUACUGGCAACAUACCCAUCUCGCUUCAUCUGUCCUAAGAGAGACUUUAACAAAGAAUAAAUAUCACCCUUCUGAGGGUGCCUCUUGUCCUUGACAAUGAAGACAUGAACUUGACCCUGAAUUUCUAUCCAGCUACAACCAGGCUGCUUGACUACUCCCCGUUGCCUCAUCAGCUUCCUCAUUCUGACAACUUUGCCCCAUUUUUUACGUUCUGCGUACAUGUUUGAAAGCAGAACAUAAGGUCUGGAGUUUGAAGGGUCGAUCUCUAAGAGCUUCUCCACUACAUACUUUCCUAGUGUUAUAUCCUUAUGAACUUUGCAGGCUGCAAGCAGUGAACCCCAAACGACAGCAUCGGAUUGCAUGGACAUUGUCUCUAUUAAGUCCUUAGCUUCACUGAGACCACCAGCUCGGCCGAGCAAAUCAACCAUGCACGUAUAAUGGUCCUUUACCGGUGCCAGAUCAUACUCCUUGACUGUCUACUUGAAAUAAUGGUGCCCCUCUUCGACCAGCCCUGCAUGGCUGCAUGCACAUAGAACCCCGAUCAUGGGGACAUGGUCUGGUCUCUCGCCAGAUACCAACAUUUUCCUGAAUAUUUCAAGCGCCUCUAUUCCAUAACCGUUCUGCACAUAUCCAACAAUUAUGGCAUUCCAUGACAUCUUGUCCCUCUCCAACAUAUUCUUAAACACCCAUAAACCAUCUUCCACAGCUCCACAUUUAACGUACAUGUCUAUAAGAGAAUUUCCAACAAAAAUAUCUGCUUCUUCUCCAGAGUGGAAGCGCAAUCCAUGCUUCAAGACAUGAGCAUGAGCCUGCUGGCCCAACUGCAAAUCAGCUAGAUUUGCACACGCAUUAAGCAAAUUUCCAAAUGUGUAGUGCGUCGGCUCAAUGGCUUCCCUCUCUGGGUAUACCCUGCAAUGAGGGCAUUCCAAAAAAUUACAUUCUUCUCCAUCAUCCCCGUGAACAUUGCUCUUGCAGUUUUGAGACUGGCUGCUUUUGCAUACCCGCUCACCAUGGAAGUGGCUGACACUAUAUUUCUGGUAGGCAUUCUAUCAAAAACUGCUCUGGCCUCACUAAUUCUGGAGCACUUAGAGUACAUAUCAACCAAUGCAUUUCCUAAAACAUCAUUCCUAAAUUUGUCACAUUUUACAACACGGGCAUGAAUUUGCAUCCCUUCCUUAAGUGCCGACAAGCUAGCGCAGGCACUGACCACACUGGCUAAAGUAACCUCAUCUAUUUCAAACCCACACUCGCUGGACCAUUUUGUUCAUAACACGUAAUCAAGCUGUUCCAAGAAACUAUGUUUCGAGAACUCAUUUCAUCAAAAGCCCUCUGUGCAUAAGCCACGUUCCCACACUUGGAGUACAUGUCGAUAAGAGCAGAGCCCAUAUGAACAUCAGACGGGCACUCGGACUUCGAUAUCAAAGCCUGAAUCUGUUGGCCCAGAUGCACAUCUGCUAACCCGGCACAUGCGCUAAGCGCACUACCAAAUGAGUACUCAUUCAGCACAUAAUUCUCCCUAUGCAUCUUACCAAAACAUUGCAGGGCUUCUUCGAACCUUUAAUGCUGCGCAUAACCUGAGAGCAUCGAAUUCCACGAGCACUGGUCGGGUUCCGGCAUUGACCCGAAUAUCUUUUCUGCUUCAUCAAGAGACCCCGAUCUGAUCAACCUGCCUAAGAUCGCGUUCCACGUGAAGGUAUUCUUCUCGGGCAUUCUAUUGAACACCCUGCAGUUGUCAUCGAGGCACCCGCAUCUCGCGUAAACGUCGAUGAGCCGGUUCUGGAUAAAAACCUCGGCGGAGAACGGGGUCUUGAUGAUCCGAGCGUGGACGCGGCGUGUGUGGCGCGCUGACUUGGACAGGCCGCAGCCGUCCAGGAGCUUGGCGAACGGGGUCGAGGUGGCGAAGGAGAGGUCGCCCGCCAGAGCCUUGACCCGCGCAUGCCUUGCCAUUCCAUCAUAUCAUCGUACGAAGCGAACUCUGUCGGAGAAGAUUCGCAUAGAUGCAAAUUGAAUGCGAUGGGGAGUUUCUGUUGACCGUUAUACGCUUCCCCCCUUCAGCCCGACGCGCGGGAAUAUGUUGAGAGCGCUCAUAUGAAGAGGGAAGGCAAAGUUGCAGUGGCAAAAUGGUAAUUUCGGCAUGACAAUAUAUUAAUUAGACUCAUAACCAUGAAUUAUAUUUUUUAUUAUGAGUAAAUCUAAGCUACAAAUUAAAAUGUGUCAUAGAUUUAAUAUCUUGUUGUAAGUCACUAAAUAAAGAUUAGUCAUAUUUAUAAUCUAUACAACUUAUUGCUUUAUCAACUAUAAUUAUAAGUUUGAUAUAGGACAAGUCAAUUUUAUAACCGAGUUAUUUAUACAUCAAACAUGAAUUCUUGUCUAGUAAUUUUGAUUAUUUUAAUUGUAACUCAUCAUCAAAAAAAUGCAAAAAGCAAUUCGAGAGAAUGAAAAUUGGAUCUAUGCCGGAUCCCCCCUCCCACGAGGAAUAGCUAACCUUGAUUUUAAGAGAAUAGCAACUUCUCUGAAGUAACUAAUCUUGAUUUACUUCUUAGCCAACUAAGGACUAAGUGUCUCAUCAUGAUUAGACUGGACAUAAGGUAGUUAUUGUGACAUUCUUGGAUUAAUCUGAGGUACUAUUCAUUUUGGUCCGUCCCAUUUCGAGUCUCAUGGUUAUGUUCUUCAAGCAUGUGGGCAAGCACUUUUUCAAUAGAUUAUUGUGAUAUUUUUGGAUUAAUUCACUUGAAAUAUUAUCCACUUUUACCCAUCUCAUUCCGAAUCUCAUGAUUUUGUCUUUGGGCCAUACGAGCAUACACUUUCUAAGAAGGUAACCCAUGUUAACAAUAUUUUAGUCUAAGCACGCUCAACUUUGGAGUGGAAAUUACCAAAUAGGUGAAGUGCCUACCCGUAAGCUAAAGGAAAAAACCGUUAGGCUUAGAAUGAGACAAGUUAAAGUAGAUAAAAUCUCAAGAGAGUUAAUGUAGAAACUAUCACAUCAUUCUUCCUCGAAUAAAACGCACGGUUGGAUUUUCCAUUAAGAUGCAUGUUGUUCAAGUAAGGUCUAUCCCUUUUGUUUUGUUUUGUUUUGUUUUGUUUUGCUUUGCUCUACUCUUUUUUUUCUUUUUUUUCAAAUGAAUAAUUUGGACAUCGUCAUGUUUUGGUAAGAAAAAUCAAUUAACCUUCUAAAGUGUGCGUUCAUGUGAGCCCUUGCGAGGGAGAGCUUCAUGAUAAGAAAUGAAGCCCAUCUGAACUCACAUCCUACUCUUCAAGGCUUUGCAACUCUUUCGGCUUUAUGCGACCAAGAACCGUCACAUCUGAGAGUCAUCUCAGGCUUUAGAAAGGUCUAUUGAUGUUCUUAUUUCCUGGCGAAGUAGGAUAUGUAAGACGGACAAAACUCCUGGGAAGCCUAGGCAAGAACCCGAGGUUCUUAAAAAUCGAGAACAAGUUUCCUGAGCUUGCAACUCCAAGGACUCCAGAUGGCGUAACUUGUCAAUCCACCGAGGAUCAUGGAGCUUCCUUAAGGCCACACCUAUCGUAAGAAUACCUCGACACAUAUAAAUGCAAGCUUCUUGGAUUAAAUUGGUACGGGAGAUCUGGAAAUGCGUACAUUGAGAAAAUUACAAGCACAGAUUAAUUCCAAGCCCAUGGCACUGUAGAUUCUUGCCCCCAAAGAUUCAUACGUCUCUACUUCUACGACAAGAACUUAAAUCCCAACUGAUAAUUUCAAUUAUUGAAACUUGAAACGCAGUCAUUAAUCAUUCAAAAGCUCUGUAGAAAUCUGUCUUAAGUUAUGAAAACUAAAGGACCUUUAUGACCAUUGCAAAUGAUCAUUAACUAGGGAGGGUUAUGUUCAUGCUAGACAAGAUGUGUUGCCCCUACUUCUUCAUUUCCUCAGUGUGGAAUUUUUCAUCGGAAGUCUGUGACAAUUCUGUGAAUAUGGUUGCUGAUGUCUAAUUGAAUUCGAGACACUGAAUGCAACACAUUGAACAUAAUCUCAGUGAAUGAAUUCUGGACCAAGUCAUCUCGAAUCCUCGAUAAAUUUCUCCCAUGACGAGAUUAAUUACUAAUUGCACCCGCUAAAAUUUUUAGAAGUAAGCAGGACCACAACAGACCAAAAAAAGAAGAAAAAAAUUGCAGAACCAAUUGAUUAUAGUAAGUUUUCAUGCUUCCGAGGACAAUAUUUUGAUUUUAGCUAGAACUUGAUAAGCUCGGAAGAAGAAUUGAGUCCCAAUCGACUAUCUUGCAUAAGAUAAAUAAAAUCAGAUAAAUCCACCCCCCCAGGAGCGAAAAUCGAUCCCUCAAUUGGUGCAGAAGUGAACUGACGCACGGGAGUUGCAACGUGUUUCAAUAGAAUGUGAUUUGGUUAAGGCUACAGCUAUUAAAGAUUAGAUGCAGUAGUUACGGAAGAAAAUCAAUCGAGUCAGCUCCCCAGUGAAUUCAUCAAAAGCUGUUUUCAUUGCGUAUGAAUGACAAGUCAUGACUGAAAAUAAUAAAAACCAACUCAAUCCCUUCCAAAUCUUUUCCUAAUCCGUCACUGAUUGCAUCAAAGAUUCGCACGCGGACCCAAUCCAUGCAAAUGAGAAGAGAAAAUUACCAGAAAAUGAAGACGAGUGAAGAUGAAGAAAACCAAAUGAAGAUGCAGAGCAGGAAGAACCCUCGUUGGCCUGAGUCAGCUGCAACCAAAAUGGAAAAGGAAGACCACAAUCUGUUAACCCCUCGCGGAACAGAUCGGCGGUUACGAAGACGUGGUCGCAGUCCCCGUAGGGAGAUCUCCGCCAGGCCGUAUCGCGUCUCGUGCUUCCGCUCAGGGUCGCCGUCGCUGCUGGCUCUGGGCGAGCUUAUCGCUCGGGUUGUCGCUGAUGACGGAGCAGAAAGAAUGUGAGAAGANNNNNNNNNNNNNNNNNNNNNNNNNNNNNNNNNNNNNNNNNNNNNNNNNNNNNNNNNNNNNNNNNNNNNNNNNNNNNNNNNNNNNNNNNNNNNNNNNNNNGGGGGGGGGGGAGAGAGAGAGAGAGCAACGGGAGAAAAAACGAAACAAAAAAACAGAGAGAGUUGAAAUUUCACAAGAGUGGGUCCCACCUACACCUAUACGCACCAUUUCGAGAAAAUAUUCCUCAUACUCUAGUAGGUAAUCUCUUCCCCGUGAUUUCCUGUCCGGUGGUAUUCUUAUCUUAAAAAAAGCGAAGGGUCCUCUCACUUUUUUCAAAUCUCCAUACUCAUCAGAUUCCAGAAUCUCCUCCAAUCUCUCACAUUCUUUUAUCGCCAAUUUCUCUAGCUUCUUGAAGCUUGAAGGCUCCGAAAACUUUCGCAGGGACCUGCAGCCUUCAAUAGAAAGCCUCUUCAGUGAUUCUAGCCUACCUCGAAUCUCAAUCAAACGAGGACAACAACCUAAAACAAGAUCAACAAGCUCCUUGGCAUUGGUCAGGUCAGGAAACCUCUCUAGCAACGGAAGAUUCCUCACACAUAAGUAACUCAAGUUUUCCGAAUCUUCCAGGCCUUGAAUCUCAUUGAGCUUCAAACAAUGACUUAUCACUAAUACUUCUAUAUGCUUGAAGGUUAAUGGAUCAGGCAGCUUUUCGAGUGAUUCACAGUGCCAUAAAUUGAGAAGCUUCAAUGAAUCUGGCCCACAUUGAACCUCAACUAGUUUAGGACACUUCCUUAUAUAAAGUCCCCAUAACUUCUUCAAGCUGGUCAGGUUGAGCAACUUCACCAGCGAUGGAAGACCAACAAGACGAAGGCAUGCCAAGUUUUUCAAAUGUUGGAGGCCUUGAAUCUCCAUUAGUUGUCUACAGCAAUGGAAUUCCAAUGUUGAUAACUUCUCCAAAUACGAAAGAUUUAUCGACUUUUCCAUUAACCCACGCCCAUGAAUACUGAAGUAUGACAAAUUUUGGGGAAGCUUAGGUAAGUAUUCUAGGUUAUCUACAAUGAGGAAAAGCAUCCUGAGCUUCGAAAGGAGAUUAAAAUCUGAAGGUAGGGAGAUCAGACCAUCAUAACGCAACCACAAGGUUUGUAGCUUUCUUAAUCCUACGAUCCAAUUGAGGCUUGGAGCUAGAAGGGAAGGAGUUUGACACUCUAUAUCCAACCUCAAUUCUCUCAAAUUUAAUAGGUUCGAGAGGUCUGGACAUCUCAUUUGUAGAUUAUGGUACAAGUAUAUACUGGUCAUACUUUCAGGAAGCUUAGGUACAUCGGAAAUUCUCGUGCCCGUUAAUCUCAAGAUUCUCAAAAAUGAUAGUCUUCCAAUGUCACUUGGAAUUUCCCCACACAAAUAUUUACAGUCGUCAGCUUCAAUCUCUUCAAGCUUCUCCAACAUCCCGAGGGCACUAGGUAGCUUUUCUAAGAUAGCGCCAGAGAUUCUUAGUACUCUCAAAUUCUUCAUUGUCUCUAUUGAAUUGGGUAACUCUCCUAUGCUCGACCGAGAAAGAUUCAACUCAAUGAGAGAACCAAAAUUCCCAAUUGAAAAUUCACUAAUAUUUGUACCUGACAAGCGAAGAUAUAACAGUGAUGUUGAGCAACUAGCUAAAUUGCAUUCACUCAGUAAUCCACAUGAACUUGCACUGAGAGUUUCCAAUUUCUUCAUUCCUUUCCAUUCAGGAAUUUUGGUAAUCGAUGUCUCGUCAAGGAGAAGUUCUGUCAAGGCUUCCAAUCCCUCCAUCUCAUCCGGCAAUGUAUGAAGUUUCGUACAACCUUCCAAGUUAAAAAACACUAACUGCUUUAACUUACCAAUAGACCUAUCAACUUGAACCAAUUCCUUGCACCCUUGAAGAAUCAGUUGCUCUAAAUUUUCAUGAGCAGAAACGUUAGGAGUUUUAUGCAAGUUUCUGCAUUUAGUCAAAUUUAGAACUUUCAAAUUCUUUGCCACCUGUAAUGAAGAGAAGAGGUUAAUUCUAGAUCAUUUUGAGAUACGGGACAAUAAAGUUAAUAUACCAAAUUCAUGUUGAAAUAAUACCAUACCUUGAGGUGGUUCCAUCCCUCCCAAUCAUUUGUAAUUUGACUUCGUGAUAGAUCAAGAAUCACUAUCUUUUCAAGGGAAAAUGUGGUCAACUGGAAAAAGUUGGGAAACUCAUGCCAUGAGAGAUAUCUCAAAUUCGGAAGGAUAAGCAGAUUUUUCCGGAGCCGCUUGGUUGAAGGACAAUGCUGAACAAAUUUAUGCCAUGAGAGCCAUCUCAACUUUGGAAGGUUAGAUAGAUUCCUUUGGAACCAAUUGGUUAAAGAAAAAUGCUGGACAUUUUUCAUAUCCAAGUCUCCACAAUCCACUUGAAGAAACCUUAAAUUUGAUAGGCUUUCAGAUUCUUCCUUCUUAAAGAAGCGUUGCGAUCGAUGAUCAAACUUGAGACAUAUUGCUUCGACGUUUUCUGUUCCCUGUCAAAGCAAAAAAAAAAAAUUAAACAGAAGCUAGUGAUCACAUAAUUGCCUGUCGAAGGGAUUCGAAUUGAACAUACUUCAUUAAUGUGCAUUUUAUUCAUACUUUCAAAUUGAUUUAUAAUAUGAUUUACAGAUGAGCAUGUCAUCAUGGUAAGCAAAACAAGUAACGACUAGGUUCAGAUAAAAGUAAAUAGCCAAAACCAACAUGUAUAACUCGUCUCUUUGAAUAGGAAUAACAUGGCAUAAACUCUACCUUUGCUAUAAGAACAUCAUUUGCUUGCCCAUGAUCCCACACGCGACUUUGCUUCUCUGGUCUAAAUGUACCAAUCUGACGAAUGAAAUUUCGCCCAAGGUCUCUUAACAAAUCAUGCAUCCACAAUUGGUCACGUUUUGUAAUCUUUAUUAACGACAUCUGUUGGAGGACAUCAAGAUAAUAGUUAGGUAAAAACCCACAGCUUUUCCACAUGUGCCUCACAAUUUUCACAUCAAACCCAAUGAAGAAGCAACAAAUAUCGAGAAAUAUUUCCUUCGCAUGUGGUUGUAAUGCAUUGAUACUAAUGUUCAACUUUUCUUCAACCUUUUCAUCGGGAAUAGUUUCCAGCUUCUCUAAUGUGGUCUCCCAAAAUUUUCUGUCUUUUCCAGCUAGAUAUGAACCAAUGAUCUCAAGAGCCAAAGGAAGAUGACCACAGACUUUUACUGCUUUUUCAGGGAGAGGGGCGUAUUCUGCUGGAGGAUGAUCACUUUGAAACGCAUGUUUGCUGAAUAGUUGAAGAGAAUGGUCAAAAUCCAUGCCAAUUAGUUCGUGCUUCAACUCAACAUCUUUGAGAACUUCUUUGUUUCUUGUGGUAAUAAUAACCUUACUUCCUCUGCCGAACGAGCAUCUGCCCAUCCCCACAAGAGCAUCCAACUUAGUCUUUUGGUCGACAUCAUCAAGUAGAAGUAUGACCCUUUUAGAGGAUAACAAGUCCUUGAUCACUUUUUUCCCUUCGUCGAUAUCAUUGAUGGUCGGCCGUUUCUUUCCUAGGACACGAGAGGAGUUGAUUCUGCAAAUUUUCAAUUUUCCUAUCUCCAACGUUGGACAGGUAGCAACAUUUAGUGGAAUCAGUGGUCCGUUCACCUAUCACCUCCAUGAUUCUGUCUACUUGAUCGUCCAUUUGCUCCCAGGAAUUAGACCGGUUGUAAUGUUUAGUGGAAUCAGACAACAGUUUGUUAUAGACAAUUUUUGCAAGAGUUGUCUUUCCCACACCACCCAUACCAUGGAUACCAACAAUCUUUGUUUGAGUGGUCUGCUCACCUAUUAAUUCCAUGAUUUUGUCCACGUGAUCAUCCAUUUCAACCAAGAAAUCAGGUACUGCCAAGCAGUUCUUUUUCAAUUUGAUCAAAACCUUCUGAACAACUUCGUUCGUGAACUCGCCUUUGCCUCUGAUAGUUUUGAAGGAAAAGAACCAAACUGUUAAAUUGAGAUGAACAGAAAAAUAUCUAAGGUACAAACAAACCAUGCACAAUAAUAAAUUCAAGUACCUCUCCUUGAGUUCCCAUCCCUUUAACGCUCCAACCUUGUUAAGAGCUGCCUUCCAGUUUCGAAUAGUCUCAUCGGUGUACCGCUGCGUAUUUAUGUGUGACCAAAUGGCUUCACCGUAAGUUGCAGUUUGGUUACGAACCUCGGAUGGUGCAACGUCAUAGAAAAUUGGCAUGAUCUUUUGUCCCCACUUUUCCUUGCACUCCACCAUCUGGACCAACUCCAUGAGGCACCAUUUACUGGCAGCAUAUCUUUUAGAAAAGAUAGGAAUCGAGAUUUUAGAUUGCUUAAUCGCUUGGAGAAGCUCCAGCCCAAUCUCUUCCCCAACGCGAAGCUCUUCAUCAUCUCUAUAUGCCCGUAUUCCAACAUCAAUAAGGUUGUUGUAAAGGAUAUCAGUGAUGUCGUGGCGAGUAUCCGAUCCCCUAAAGCUCAAGAAUACGUCAUAAUAAGGUUCCACUGGCUUCUCCAUUUUCUGAAUUUUCAGAGGACUUGCAACAACUCAAUAUCGCACCUAGAAAAACUUUUAUUAUGAAAGUGGGGUGAUGAUUAUCAUGAUUUCUCUCAGAAAUUCUUCUGUUUGAAGUCAUUCUAUAAAGAAACCUCGAUGACAAAUGCACGAGCUCUUUCUGGAAUUGCACUGGACACCAAACUAUGUACAAUUAUUUUAUUAAAAAUAUAGUAGAGAAGUUGAUCCAUCUCAAUACUAAAGGAAGAAAUCUCCAAAUUAUUGUGAAUUUAUGGGUUUCAAUACACACUUGAAAUUGAUUGGUAAAAGGAAACUUUUGAGAAGAUAAAUCACUGUCGACUUAUUUUUGACUUGAAUUUUUAAUUAUGAGACAAAAUUUUUCUUAAAGGGUAACAUCGAAUAUCCUCUGCAUAUAAGUGCCUGCUGUGGCUUGUAGGUUGACUAAUUAUCUUAUUAUCUCAUAAGAAGUUAAGCCGAAACCGUACUCUUUUAGUUUUACCAAAAUCGAUUUGACAAGAACAUUUCACAACAGUCAAUUAGUUGCUCACUUGACCAUGAUGAGCACAGGCAAAGAAUCGCAUUCCCCUAUGACCAUCUCAUUUGAAAAAUGAAAUCAAGAAAUUACUCUGCAGCUAAUUCAACCCCCAACAUCAGACUAGUUCUGAAAAGCAUAAGCCGAUCCCCGAUUACAGCCAUCUCUUAGGUUCUUAACAAACAGAUACAGGGUAAGGGGGGAGCAUUAGCUAGGCAUGAGGCUUUUAUUCACUUCUGUCAGACAGUAUCAGCAUAUCAUAGAAAGAGGAGUGGAUUACUAAUCACUUGUGGAGUUGAUAAAACUUGAACAGAAAAAAGAAGCAUGAAUGCUAUAAGUAUUUUUCCAGCAAAAUAAGUUUGAACACACAAGAGUGCAGGAACGAGAGCCGCAUUUUAGAGAAGCUGAGAGUUCUGGUUCACCACAGAGUGCAACAUUAUAGUCACUCCAGGGUUUACCCGCCAGCUACCGGCUGACGGGGUUCCCUGGGUAUCAAAAAAAAAAACAUUAUAGUCUCUUCAGUGUGCCUCUUCUGUUAAAUACAGUGUUGAAGGUAUCAAUUUUCUGUCUAGGAGUGUUCUUGCUGCUAAUAACCAGACAAUAGUGUACUAGUUUGUUGUAUCGAAGUCUCUUAGAGACACCGGUAUCUCUGGCCGCACAAGAAAAAUCCCAUUAAACAAAUCUAAUCAACCGAUUCCACUCAAAUCUAGUUCAGAGCGCCAGCCCAGUUCCUAACAAGCGAAAUUCAAUCCCUAAUUACAAAACCAACAAGCUGAUGCAUAGAAGUGGCAUUGUGUUUCAAGGUCUGAAGCCUGACAGUUGCAAAGAUGCAGAUGAGCAGGGUUUAAGCAUUUGACCAGAGUAAGAGGCUAAAGCUGUUAGUGGUAGACGCAACUAGUAGUGAUCAAUCAUGGAGUCAACUGAAGAAAGAAUCGAUGCUGAUCCGAGAGUCCCUCUCUUGUUUCCAUCAAAUUCUGCACCUAAUUGCAUUACAGCACAGACCAAAUUCUUAAAAAAGAAGGCAAUAAAAGAGAGGAAAUUACCGGAGAUGGAGGGGGUGAAGAUGAAGAGUCCGGAUCAAAUGCUGAGAAGCAGAUAAAGAUCCCAAGAAUAAUCGUUCUUGGCUUUCGAGAUCGGCGGAAGAGAGACCAAGACUUCUAUGAGACGGUGAAUUCACCCUCCCUCGCCGUGCCCUUCCAGGAAAGUGAGGGCUUGCCAGUUGCAGGGAAACUUCAAGCCGACCCCGAAAAAGUGAGUGCGUGGUGCGUUUGACUUUUGAGGUAAUCGAGUUGAGUUUCUGGGAAAUUUCUGAAGUCCAAAGAUUCUUUGGCACGAAAAGCGAGAGCGCAAGAGAUUUUCAUUGCAUAUUAUUAGUUUAAAAAUCAUUCAGUUUAUACUAAUUGAUUUUCUCUUAAUGACGAUGAAACCCUUCUUGUAUAGGUGAACCCCAAGCCUGAUCAAAUUUUACAUAUACUAAACCUAAAAUUUAGAAUUCAUAUAUUUUAAGUAAUUAAGUUAGAUUAUGCCAAAGUUAUUUACAGUGAAUUGGGGAAAAUAAUACCACAAACGUCAUAACUUUCUCACAAUACUCAUUUUUUUUUUAAGCAAGCUCACAAUACUCAUUUGGGGAAAAGUGCCAAAAAAGUCCUAAACCUUUUGGGUUUGUGCCGAUUUAGUCCUAAACCUUUUUUUGGUGCCGAUUUAGUCCUAAACCUUUUUACGUUGUGCCAAUUAAGUCAUUUCCGACCAAUUUUGGCCGGAUUUUGCUGACUGGACGUCGGCCGGCUGACGUGGCCUGAUCGGCACUGACGUGUAUAAUUUUUAAUAAUAUUUUAAUAUUUUUGAAUAUUUUUUAUUUUAUUUUUUCUCUUUUUAUUUUUAUUUUUAUUCUUUUCUUUAUUCUUUUUCUUUUUUUCUUUUUCUUUUUUUCUUUUUCUUUUUUCUUCUCAUCUUCUUCCUCCAGCCGGUCGCCGGAGCUCGGCGACCGGCCAGAGGCGACGGCCGGCAAGGUCGACCUCGCCGGCCACCUCGCCAGUGGCCGCGAGGGCAGCCUCGCGCCGGGCGGGCAAGGCUGCCCUCGCGGCCUAGGUGGCGAGGCUCGCCCUNNNNNNNNNNNNNNNNNNNNNNNNNNNNNNNNNNNNNNNNNNNNNNNNNNNNNNNNNNNNNNNNNNNNNNNNNNNNNNNNNNNNNNNNNNNNNNNNNNNNUCCAAGGCCGGAGCCGCGCGACCGAAGAAACCCCGAGCUCCCGUAAACCCUAGAGACGACGACGACGACGAGCGGAGGAGGGAGGAAAUUUCUAGGGCGAGAUUGGGAUCGGAGAACGGAGCCGGGGAGGAGUCCAGCUGGCCUUGCGCCGAGCUAGCGGGGCUCGACCCUCGCCGGCCAUGAGCGAGGCUCGACCCUCGCCAGAUCCGGCGAGGGCGAGCCUCGCCCGCCUGGCGCGAGGCCGCCCUCGCGGCCACUGGCGAGGUGGCUGUCGAGGUCGACCUCGCCGGCCGUCGCCUCUGGCCAGUCGCCGAGCUCCGGCGACCGGCUAGAGGAAGAAGAUGAGAAGAAAAAAGAAAAAAAUAAAAUUAAAAUUAAAAAUUAAAAAAAUAUUAAAAUAUUAUUAAAAAUUGUACACGUCAGCGCCGAUCAGGCCAUGUCAGCCGGCCAGCGUCCAGUCAACAAAAUCCGGCCAAAAUUGGUCGAAAAAGACUGAAUUGGCACAACAUAAAAAGGUUUAGGACUAAAUCGGCACCAAAAAAAGGUUUAGGACUUUUUUGGCACUUUUCCCUACUCAUUUGAGUAUUAUAAUUUUAUUUGGAUUGUUGGAGUGAUAUAACUUGGGAAAAAUCCACAAAAAACCCCCAACUUUACCUAAAGUGAUAAAUUUAUCCUAAAUUUUUUUUUUCUGUAGCAUGAAAAACCCCGAAAUUUAUUAACCGUGACAUAUCUACCCUGAACUUUCAUUUGUGACACAAAAAACCCUAAAUUUUCAUUUGUGUGACAUAUUUACCAUAAAUUAUAAGAGCAUUCUGGUUUUAAAAGCUUUUUUCUUUUUCUUCCCUCCACCUGGCAAGGGCGGCCCUCGCAAGACGCUGGAGAGGGAGGCCCUUGCCUGAUGCCAAUGAGGGCCACCCUUGCUUGCGUUGGGCGAGGGGUGCCCUCGCCAAACCCUCGCCAGAUUUGGCGAGGGAGGCCCUCACCCGACGUCGAUGAGGGCCGCCCUCACCCGACACCAGUGAGGGCAGCCCUCACUGACGCCGGCUUCCCUCCGCCGGGACCGAUAGAGAAAAGAAGAAGAAAAAAAUAGAAAGUAUAAGACAAACAUGUCCUUAAUGGGGUAAAUGUGUCACAAUUUGCAAAGUUUGAGGUUUUUCGUGUCAAAAAAAAGUUUGGGUAAAUUUGUCAUUUUAAGCAAAGUUUAGGGUUUUUGGUGGUCUUUUCCCAUGUAGCUUUUGUUCGGGACUCACUUAAGCACUCUAACUUGAUUUUUUAUUACUUGAGUGUUAUAUAACAUUUUAAUCCAUCGCUUAUGCCAUAACUUUUUAAAAUCGUUCACCUAGAUACUGAAACUCAUAUUUGUACUUAAAUUUUCUAAAAGUUGUAUCACUUUCGCAAUCAAUUAAAAGUCAUGAUACUCAAGCGAACAUUUUCUUAGAAUAUUCAAGACUCAAAUAAUCGAAAAAAAAAAUAGUUAUAACAAUUAGGAAAAUGACGCAUAAAAAUUAUAGCACCUAUAAUAUUAUCAUCUCUCAAAAGCUGCAUACGGCCAAAAAGGAAUAAAGCACCAAAAAUAUUUUAUGUUUAAUCACAAUAGUGUGUUUGGUCAGCACUUAGUAGGUUGGGUAGCCACCCGACCUUAUAUGUUGUCGGAAUAUUAGGGGUGAAAUGGUGACGUCAAUAUCCGCACUACAAGUCAUCCUGAAACUUAUUUUUUACCAAGGAAACUUUUAAGAAAAAUCUAGCCAUCCUACGGUCCAAUCAUUGGAAAUUAUGACCGGCUAUAGAUAUCACGAAAUUAUAAGUAAAUCACGAACUUCAAAAUAUUAGUCAACUUAACUUAUAUUUAUAAAUUAUUUAUGGUUAAACAUAAAAUUAAUAAUAUGUUUAUAUGCAUCAAUGCUGAUCAAUCAACAAAAGAGUUAUUCCAUUGUUUUUAAACAAUGACUAGGAAAUUAAUUUAAAUUGCUAGCACAAUAUUAUACUAUAGAUAUCUAAAUCUAAAGUGAAUGCAAUCAUAUUGUAAUAUCUAUAUUUAAUAUUGAUAUUUUUAUUACAUUUUAUUCUCAAAUUGUUUUUCAUAAAAUCUCUUAUUCGUUUCAUUGCCUACAUCUAUGUCAGCUCUUACAUUAAUUUAUCAAUGAAAGUAAUGAGAUUUAAUGGCUUAAUUCAUUUACUCAUUAUUUCCCUUUUGUCGUACCAAAGACGAUGUGAGGGAGUGAAAAUCACAAUAUUUCUAUGCAUUAUAAUUAAUUAAUCCUCGUCCAAUUACUUUUCUUUUUGGAUCACCAUUUGGUAAUUGAUACGGUAGUAGUUAGUGCACUAUUUUUUUCUUUUACAGAAAGCCAAUCUUUCAGCUUCUCAGUAUUUUUUUUGGUCGGUCUUAAGCUUCUCAAUAUUGUUCAUGAACAAACAUGUUGGCUUCUAGAAGCUGGAAUGGUCGAGUAGCUUUUUCGACCCAGUCAACAUGAGGCAUCUCCAAAUUGUUUUGCUCUGCCUUGAAUCUCAACCAGUUUAGCACAACUCCAUGGGAGAAGUUUAGGACAACGUCUUCAGUGAUGGCAGACCUGCAAGCAUUAGCAAUAGUAUACAAUCCCCUGCAUCAAAAUUGUUUAGUGGUUUUUUUAAUUCUAGAAUUUCUAUCAACUCAAUUCGAUAGAGAUGAUGCUGUCAUUUUGCCUAAUAUAGUAUUGAGGAUCAUAUCGCAGCCAUGUCGAAAGGUAUCAAGUAGUACUCAUGGUGAAGUUCUUAGAUCAAAUCAGCUGAGACAAACUAAAUCUAAGGCAAGGAAAAAAGAGCUAGUGGAAAGUUUAGUUAUCUAAUUUUCUGUCAAUUUUAUCCCUCAAAAGUUUGUGUGCUUUGGAAUCUCUAGUUUCUUACAGCACUUGGGAAGUUUGCAAUUCAAUUUUUACUCCCUCACUCUCACAACCGCUAUAGGAAAGAAUACGAACUGUGGGGAGGAAGAAUUCGCAUCUGAAACAUUGACAGUCUGCACCUGAGGCAAUGGUAGGAACAGAAGAUCCACAGAAGAAGCAAUACGAAGAAAAACCUUCAACGUUGGAAGCUUAGCUUGGAUACAAUAGUAACACAAUUGAGAGAAGAAAUGUUUAUACCAUAUUUUCUGAUUGUUACAUGUGUAUAUGGAGCUUGCCACAUAUAGAGUUUUUGAGUUACUGGCCAACCACUGAAAUCAGGUGCGCAACCAACGUUUACAUUCUACCAUUAACCAAACUCAGAACAUAAAAGUAUCCUAACAACAACAAAAGAUGCUCAGACAAGUAGGAUUUCGCAAGAUCGGUUUGCAUCUUUUCCUUCAAGUCCACCACCAUCAGAACUCAGAGAAUCUUCUACCUCCUCACGCUUGUGUAUAUAAAAGAUUUUAGCUUCUUGAAGCUUGAUGGAUCUGGUAACUUCUCCAAAGAUUUAAAAGAACCUAUCCAAAGUUGCCUCCAACGAUUUUAGUCUGCCUUCGAUCUCAACCACCCUAGGACAUCACUGCAGAGAAAAUUUCUGGAGCUUCUUUAAGUUGGUCGGGACAGGCAACUUGUCCAUAGAUGGAACUCCUCCAAGCUUUAAGGCACUCAGGUUCUCCAAAACUUGGAGGCCUCUGAACUCUCCCACUUUAAAGCAAUGAGCAACUUCCAAAUCUGACAGUGCCUUCAAAUUUGAAGGGUCUAUUGAUGUUUUUAUUUCCCUGCAUGAUUCGGUAUCUAAGCACAGCAAAUUUGGGGGAAGGCCAGGUCGGCAUUGCAGCUUCUUGGAGAGGACCAUUUCCGGUUCCUUGAGCUGUGAAAGAAGAAUGAUGUGUGAAGAUGGGUGAUGAAAUAAUGAGAUUCCAACAGCAAGGAUUCCAGCUUCCCUAACCUUCUAAGCUACGAAGGACUUGGAGAUUCAAUGAAUUUAGAAGCAUCAUGGAAAUUGUCAAAACCUGAAUGUUACAUACAAUUUGAAUAUCAAAUUAAUAAAUAACUUAACAUCAAAUGAAUGUCUACAAUGAGAUUCUAACAGCAAGGAUUCCAGCUUCCCUAACCCUGUACAGAAGAUCCACCUUAAAAAGAUAUGUAGAUGUGCAAAUCUAAACGUCUCUACUUCUAAAAUGGGAGGCCUACUCACUACUCGUCGACCUGAGAACACAAUAAUAACAAUUGGCAAAUAAGGUCACAUAUCAUUUAUAUGACCAAAUCUCAUCAUGCGUAGAUAUCAGUAGAUCAUCGAUAUACACAAGUAAAUAUUUAUUCUCUACUCGUUAAUAGCCACGACUCAUCUCGACUAAAUCAAUGUACAGCUGCUUAUUUAUGUGUGACUUAAUGGCCUCACCGUAAGUUGCAGUCUGCUUACGCACCACCCAUGGUUCAAUGCCAUAGAAAAUUGGUAUGAUUUUUUGUCCCCACUUUUCCUUGCACUCCACCAUCUGGACCAAUUUCAUGAGGCACCAUUUACUAGCAGCAUAUCCUUCAGAAAAUAUAGGAAUCGAGAUUUUCGACUGCUUAAUCGCUUGAAGAAGCUCCAGGCCAAUUUCUUCCCCAAUGCAAAGCUCUUCAUCAUCUCUGUAUGCUCAUAUUCUGGCAUCAAUGAGGCCGUUGUAAAGGACAUCAGUGAUGCCAUGGCGAGUAUCUGGUCCUCUGAAGCUCAAGAAUACUUCAUAAUAAGGUUCCACUGGCUUUUCCAUUUCCUGAAUUUUCGAAGGACUUGCAACGGCUUGAUAUCCCACCCGAAAAACAUUUACUAUGAAAGUGGGGUGAUGAUUAUCAUGAUUUCUCUCAGAAACUCUUCUGUUUUAAGUCAUUCUAAAAAGCAAUCUCGGUGACAAAUGCAUGAAAUCCUUCUGGCAUUGCACUAGACACCAAAAUAUGCCCAAUUAUAAUAGAGAAGUUGACCCAUCUAAAUACUAAAGGAAGAAAUCUCCAACUUAUUGCGAAAUUAUGGGUCUUAGUUCACACUUGAAAUUGAUUGGAAAAAGGAAAAUUUAGAGAAGAUAAAUCACUGUCGACAAAUUUUUGUCUUAAACUUUUUACUUACGAGAUAAAUUUUUUCUUAAAAGGUAAAGUUGAAUGUCCCCCUGCACAUAAGCGCCUAUUGUGGCUUGUAGGUCGACUAAUUAUCUUAUUAUCUCAUAAGAAGUUAUGCCGAAACCGUCCUCUUUUAGUUUUGCCAAAAUCAAUUUGACAAAAAGAUUCCACAACAGUCGAUUGGUUGCUUACUUGAACUUAAUGGGUGCAGGCAAAGAAUCGCAGUCCCCUAUGACUAAAAGUUAGGCACAAGGCUACUAUUCACAUCUGCCAGACAGCAUCAGCGUAUCAGAAAAAGAGGAGCGGAUUACUAAUCACUUGUGAAGUUGAUAAAAGUUCAACAGAAAAAAGAAGCAUGAAUGCUGUAACUAUUUUUCCAGCAAAAUAAGUUCGACCACACAGGAGUGCAGAGACGACAGCUGCAAUUUACAGAAGCGGAGAGUUCCGGUUCACCACAGAGUGCAACAUUAUAGUGUAUUCAAUCUGUCUCUACCGUUAAAUAGAGAGCUGAGGGUAUCAAUUUUCUACCGUUCUUAAUUCUAAUCGCUAGAAAUUAUGGUACCAAAAUAUCUUAAAGAUACGAGUAUCUCUGUUCAAAAAAAGAAAAAAAAAAACAUCAAACAAAUGAAAUCAACAGAUCCACUCAAAACUAAUUUAGCUUUUAGCGACAGUAAUUCACGCCAAAACUCAGAAGAGAGAGAGAGAGAGAGAGAGAGAGAGAGAGAGAGAACACGGGUGGCGAGCUCGCAAGACUGAGUGUUGUCGAUGAUGGAACCGGACUCGCCUCCGCCUUCGCUGCAGCUGCCGCCGCCGCCGCCGAGGAGCUCACUCUGAGGCUCGACACCGCUCGUCUCCGCUUCAGCUUCGUGCCGUCUUUUCUUCUUCGCCAUUCCUGCUCUCCGAUAUCACAAAGUUCCGAUUUUUCGACAAGGUACGAGGUCGACUGGUGAAGGGUUUAGGCGUCGAUGUUGGUGGUGGUAUUGCGUUUCAGGAUCUGAGGCCUGACAGUUGCAUAGAUGGAAGUGGAUGAGCAGGGCUUUAGCAUGAACGUUCUCGGCCUUUGAGAUCGGCAGAAGAGAGACAAAGACUCCUAUCAAACGGUGAAUUCAGCCUCCCUCGCCGGGCCUCAAAACGGGAGGCGGGCUCGGGCUACGCUACACCAAAACGGAAAGUUGAGUGAUAUGGACGGCCCUGAUUUCUCCGGCUACCGAAUGGAGAAUCCUCGCUGUCGACUGUCGAGUGAAAGGGCUGGUUAAGUUUCUUGGGCCUUAACGUUGGUGAUUGGAGAUGGGCAAGGCCCACAAUCCAUGUGGGGAAUGCAGCGCAUAAAACGAGCAGUCUGGCCCAAGGCCUUAAGAUCCACAGCAGAAGCAAUACGAAAAACCCUUCUACGUUGGAAGCUUAGCCUGGAUUCGAUAGUAACACAAUCGGGAGAAGAAAUAUUUGUACUGAUGUUUUCUGAUUAUUACAUAAGCAUAAGGAGCUUGCAAUAUACAGAGUUUUGAGUUGCCGGCCAACCACUGAAAUCAGGUGCGCAACUUACAUUUACAUUCUCUACCAUUAACCAAACUCAGAAGUCCAAGAGAUAAAAGUAUCCUGAAAACAACAAAAAGAUACUCGGACAAGUUGGAUUCCGCAAGAUCAGACUGCCUCUCUUCCUUCAUAUCCUCCACCGAUCAUCAGAACUCAGAGAAUCUUCUACCUUCUCACGCUUGUGUAUACAAAAAGAUUUUAGCUUCUUGAAGCUUGAUGGAUCCGGUUUAGUCUGCCUUGGAUCUCGACCACUUUAGGACAUCACUGCAGAUAAAAUUUCUGGAGCUUCUUCAAGUUGGUCAGGUCAGGCAACUUGUCCAUAGAUGGUACUCCUCCAAGCUUGAAGGCACUUGGGUUCUCCAAAACUCGGAGGCCUCUGAACUCACUUUAGGGCAAUGAAGCCGAGUUAUCCAGACAAGUGGAAAGGAAAGAACGGCUUAUACUGCGUGGGACUGUUGAGGAGAGGGUUCUUGGGAGCUUCUCUCGACGCCCAGGGGCAACUUCCAAAUCUGACGGCGCCUUUGAAUUUGAAAGGUCUAUUGAUGUUUUUAUUUCCCUGCAUGAUUC
rnacentral:lncRNA from 1 species